GAAGAAAUUUUCAUCAUGGGUUGGAGGUCAUUUGUUCUCUAAUAUGGGGCUUGUGCGCUUAGAGGAAUGUAACAAUUGUUUGUCGUUGCCACCUCUCGGACAAUUGCCUCAACUCAAAGAACUUUAUAUUAGGAGGAAUGAAUGCAGUGGAAAGGGUUGGUGCUGAGUUUUAUGGAGAGCGUAACUUGCCUUUUCGGGUAUUAGAGACUCUUGAUUUUGUGGAAUUGCAGCAUUGGAAGGAAUGGCUUCCUUUCUUACUGGAUCACGAAAGUGGUGCUUUCCCUUGCCUGAAAAGGAUGUCAAUAACAAAAUGUUCUAAACUGGAGGGUAAGCUGCCAGAGAACCUCAAUUCUUUAGCGAAGCUUGAAAUUGUUAAAUGUGAAGAAUUAGUGGUUUCAAUUGCCAACUACAAACAACUUCGUCAGUUAAACAUUGACGGUUGUAAAGUGUUGGUGCAUACAGCUGGUAAGGUUGAGUUUGAGUUAUUAGAGUCCUUGUGGCUUUCAAACAUUUCGGAGGUGAUGUCUCUGGAAACAGGGGAAUUGUUCAAGAAGGGAUUAACCAAGGUUAGUGAUUUGAUGAUUAAUGGAUGUGAGGAGGUGACGUCUUCAUUGAAGAAUGAGGGUAGAUUAUUGCAGCAGUUGACUUCUCUUAAUAGUUUGGAAAUUGAAGACAACUAUCGUCUAGUUGAAGAAUUGGGAAAAGAAGCAGAGGAGUUGCAAAUAUUGGAGUGCAGGCUUGAAUAUCUAAAGUUUAAAAAGUGCGAAAAUCUUUUGAAGCUACCAAAAGGAUUAAAUCAGCUGUCGUCUCUUCAAGAGCUUCGCAUACACGAAUGUUCACGUCUAGUUUCUUUCCCAGAUGUAGGUCUGCCACCUUCUCUUGAAAACGUCGAGAUUAGAGAGUGCCAUUCGUUGAUAUAUUUUGCAAAAUUCCAGAUUCCCCAAAAUCUCAAAAGAAUAGAGAUAAGAAAGUGCAAAAGUUUGAAAUCACUAGUGGAUGAGGAGGCUGUUGGUUCUUCUUGGUCGUCUUCUUCUCAUAUUUGUCUUGAGUACUUGAAGAUCGAAGGAUGUGAAUCUCUGACGUCGUUAUCAUUGAGUGGCCAGCUUCUCAGGACACUUAAACACCUUGAGAUACUUGGUUGUGAACAACUGGAGCUAAUCGCAGAGGACGGGUUCUUCCACGACAACACUAAUUAUUGUCUUGAAUACCUUAAUCUCUGGAAGUGCCAAAAUCUGAAAUCCUUACCGGAUGGCUUAUGCCACCUCAGCAAUCUGAGAAAGCUAUAUAUUCAAGAUUGUGGAAGUCUUGUUUCUUUCCCGAGACUGAGCGGGGGGAGACUACCCUCCAACCUGAGAGAGAUCCAGAUCACCAGUUGCGAGAAAUUGGAGGCGUUGCCUGAAGACAUGCACAAUCUCAACUCUCUUGAGGAAUUGAGGAUCGAGUACCGUGAAGGUUUGACUUUUCCUUCCAACCUCACGUUUCUUGAAAUUUGGAAGGUAAGGAGCUGUAAGUCAUUUUGGGAGUUGGAAUGGGGGUUGCACAGACUCACCUCUCUUAGAUACUUGUGGAUCGGAGGUGAAGACCCGGAUACGGUGUCGUUUCCACCCGACAUGGUCCGGAUGGAGACGCUCAUUCCCAUAUCUCUUACUCACCUCACAAUAAAAGGCUUCCCGAAUCUGAAGAAACUGAGCAGUAAAGGCUUUCAACUCCUCACCUCCCUUCAAUCUCUGCAUCUCUGGAAUUGUCCAAAGCUAGCAUCCAUUCCAGAGGAGGGUCUGCCUCCUUCACUAGAGCGACUUACCAUCUCUGAGUGCCCAAUGCUAAAAGAGAGAUGCCAACCAGGAAAAGGACGCUACUGGCAAAAUAUCCCACAUCCCUAAAAUACAGAUCGAUUGACAGCCGAUUUGAAGCUGAUAGUUGAUUCGAUCCCAUUCUCUAGGUCCAGGUAUCAUCUUCUCAAGGAAUGUUUUGUUAUUAUUAUUAUUAUCCACAAUAUUUGUUUUUUAUUUUUUUUAAAUUUAUGUCCUUCAUGUGGCUGAAGAUUUUCGGGGUUUCAUGAGUGGCUGCUUUGGGAGACCUUCAUUUGGCUCACACAGUAGAGCUGGUUCUGUCUUGCUUUGAGGGCGAUUCUUUGACGACAACAACCAUGGCUAUUUCUGGGCCAAGGUUUCUUCUCUCGCGUUCCUCGCAACACUAGUUUAUUUGGAGCCCAUGGGAUCUCAGAUCGAGUUGAGUGAGCAGGAUAGUUUUGUUGAAUUUGAAUAUGAUUUCCUGGCGUGGGGGGCAGAGGACUGGAAAAACUGGGAAUCUGGUGUGGUGGGAAAAAAAAAUGCAUGAAAUCGUUUGAUCUUGAAGGGACCAUUUGGAUCUCCACAUGGCCAAUCCUUGGAUUUGAUUGGUUCUGAUGAUACAAAAGCCUGAGCUUGACGGGUUCGUUAUGCAAACAGAUGAUGAACCAACUAGCAUUGCUGGAAAGGGAAAUAGCUUUGACGAGUGAGGAUAGUCAUAGUUGCUCGAGAAAGAAACUUUAUGAUAUUGGUCAGGCGUUUUAUGGAAGGUCAAGAGGGUGUGGAUAUGAGGACCAUAUAAGUUGCAUAAUUUUCCACAUCUCUACCAGUCUCUUCCAACUGGGCUUCUAGAGGGUGUGGAUAUGAGGACCAUGAAUGGUGCUGUCAAGCAAUUAGAGGAUGGUCUGAAACUUGAGCGGUCAAGAAUGGAGCAGGAGAAUAUGAAGCAGUUGGAGCUGCAGAAAAUGGAAAGAAGAAGAGAGGAAGAAAAAAGAGGCUGAUAUGGCAUCAAAGAAGAGACAAAGGGAAUAGGAAGAAAGGAAGGAGAAGGAAAGAAAAAGAAUGCGUGUUGAAGCUCGUAGACAGCGGAGAGAACAUGAAGACAAGUUACCUGCUGAAAAACUAGAGAAAGAAAUGAAAAACCACUCCACUGUAUGAUUCUUUAUGCUCUGCCUCAUUUCAUAUAUAUUUUGCAAUGUUAGAUUUCACAUUCUAUAUUGGGCUUUCUUGUAUAGGAUGGAAGAAGCCCUGGCGGUAAGAAAUUUAAAAUGGACAAAGAAAGGGGAUUUGACAAUUCCAGAAAUAUUUUGGAGACUGAGCCUAGUACUUCCAGGAUUUCAAUAAGCAAUGCCAGAAGAAAAUAUUAUCCACGAAAAGUUCCAUGAGGCCUCGAGUAGUUAUGGAUAUAAAGCAGAGGUAAAUGCUAAUGACUUUUUAACAAUCGAUACCCGCCAUAUCUUAGGAUCUAGUUGCAUAUGUUGAGUGCUUUUACUUGCAUAGGCAGGAGCAGAGUGAUAAACUGUGAGCAUAGCAUGAAUUAUAAUCCUCUGUUGUUGAAGUUUGCAUACGACCUCUAAAUUUGUUGGGUUGAACCUAUUUUGAGGCCUUCUUUAUACCAGGAAAUAGGGCUACACUCGCCUAAGUGCAAGAGUUCUCUUCUUUUAAAACUCCUAAUAGCUUAUUGUAAACUCAAGUCUGAACCACCUUUAGAAAGUUUUUCAAGUCUGAACCACCUUUAGAAAGUUUUCUUAUUCAUGAAUAGCUGCAUGCUGUUGUGCACUUUUACCUUGUCUGUAAAGCCUCUCGCUGAUACUUCCUGUGAUAUUUAAGGUACCUAGCAAUUUAGACAGAGAAAUGGAGAAUUCACUUGGCAUUACAAGUCAAGUGCAGUAUUAUGACAUCUCUGCAUACAAAGAAUCUGAUGAUGAAAACGACGAUGACGAUAAUGUCAUACCAAAUAGUAAAUUUAUUCCUUCAUGGUUAAGGUAUGUUUUUCAAUUGUUAUAUAUGAAAUAUGAUCUUCAAGUUAAAGAGCGUCACAAUCAUCUUGGUGAUAUGUAUCUUUAGCGAAAGGCAUAGAUUGUGUACCCUUUGAAAGUGUCAACUCAGCUGCGCUAUAAAAUAUCUGUUGUUUGGUUCUUGUUUUGUGCAGUAAAAACUGCCUGGCUUUUGCCGUUUCUAGCCAGAAUAGAGCAGAUCCAAAGACGAUAUUCGCCCCCCCCCCCCCCCCCCCCCCCCCCCCCCCCCCCCCCAGAAAGCUUUUGCUGCAUCUCUGAAGGUACUUUUAUGGUUUAAAGUCCCGAUCUUCGUAGCUAUUGCAUUGGCAUUUUGGCUGGUCAAUUUUUAGAUACUGCUGGACUAAGUUCCAAUAUGCUCAUUUGCAGUCCUCUUGCCCGAAAAGCAUCAAUUAAACAACAGCGGAAUGUGCUAAACUCUAUUCAGUAUAUUCCUCAGUAAUAAGAGCUUUUGAUCAUGAAGAGGUAAUGUUUACCUUUAUUGAUUAUUCUCAUUUUUCCUCUCCAUGCUCUAAACUACAUUUACGCUGCCAGUUUGGUUGUUAAAGGAGCAAUUUUCCUUCUGCGAAAUGUAAAAUGCCUUUAGUUACUGCCUAUCAAACCAAAAUACUUGUAGUAAUUGGUUUUUAUUUCUCGUUGCAGAUUUUCAAAGUCUAUUUGUGAACAGUUUCUUGAGCAGGCAACACCCUUCCAAGCCGAAAUGUAGCUGAAACGUGUAGAACUUUUUUUUUUAAUUUUUUUAUUUUUAUAUAUAGGAGUCUGUUGUAACUUAUCUCAGAUAAUUUGCAGUGUGAUUGUAGUUAAGAAGAGUAACAAGUUCCAUUGGCAGAAGGGCAAUUGCAUGAGCUAUUGAGUAAUUUGGUCAGCAUCUCCUGCUGCCUUGUUUUUUCUUUGGCACCGCCACUUUGGUCGGCAUUGGUUUCAGUUUUACUUUUAGCCCUCCUGAAGGAUGAUAAGAGAAGGCUAGAAAAAGUAUGUAUUUUGCAUGUUGAGUGCUUUUACUUGCAUAGUCUGGAGCAGAGUGAUAAACUGUGAGCGUAGCAUGAAUUAUAAUCCUCUGUUGAUGUAGUUUGCAUGGGACCUUUAAGCUUGUUGGGUUUUAACUCUUUUGUGGCCUUCCUUUUGCUAUCGUUACCACAAUAUAGGAAAGAAGGCUACAAUCGACUAAGUGCAAGAGUUUUCUUAUGUUAAAACUCCUAAUAGCUUAUUGUAAACUCAAAUCUGAACCACUGGUAGAAACUGCCGGGCUCCAAAAUAAUCUAUUGUUUGGUUCUUGUUUUGUACAGUAAAAACUGCCUGGCUUUUGCCGUUUCUUGCCAGAAUAGAGCAGACCCAGCGACGAUCUUCCCCCGAGAAAGCUUUUGCUGCAUCUCUGAAGGUACUUUUAUGGUUUAAAGCCAUGGUCUUAGUAGCUAUUGCUUUGGCAUUUUUGGCUAAUCAAUUUUUAGAUACUGCUGGACUAAGUUCCAAUAUGUGGGCACACGAGAAAGGAUAAGAUUAGGAAUGAGGAUAUCCGGGGUAAAGUAGGAGUAGCCGAAAUUGAAGGAAAGAUGAGAGAAAAUCGGUUACGGUGGUUUGGACAUGUGCAAAGAAGGCCUACUGACGCUCCGAUUAGAAGAUGCGACUAUGGGACACAGGUUCAGGGCCGAAGGGGUAGAGGAAGACCUAGGAAAACUUUGGAAGAGACUCUAAGAAAAGACUUAGAGUACUUGGAUCUAACGAAGGACAUGACACAGGACCGAGCACAAUGGCGUUCUAAGAUUCAUAUAGCCGAUCCCACUCAGUGACUUGGAUUUUCCAAGUCUCCAACCGAGAAGUUUUCCUCAUUCGGGAAAUUAAGGGAACACUACCUCAACCUACAUGCUCCACUCACAAAGCUUCAACAUACAAGCUUCAAUAAAAGAAAAUUCAAAGAACUUAGCGAAGAAGGCUUUGGUGUAUUUAACACAAACGUUGAAAUGAAGGAAAGCUUAUUUAUUGAUAUUCCCGAUAAGAUACAAAUAUGUACAUAUACAUAAGUCAAAAUAAACAAACAAGAGGGAGUCUUCACAAAGGUUGCUUAGGAGAAGUCUCAGCAGUCGGUAGCCCCAGAAAGAGAAGGCACCGGAGGGGGAUCAUUCAGAGCCUCAGUACUGGACAGAAUCCUAGAAGGAGGAGGAAUCAGAGGUUGAUCAUUUGGAGCUUCAUUACGCGGUACAGCCCCAGAAGAUGAAGGCAAUAAAUGCUUUUGGAUUAAACCCACAAAUCUUUGAUGAUCAAGUAAAACCUGACCAUCAGAUUCCUUCAUCUGGUCAAGCUUCCUCUUCAUGUUUGUAGCAUAGUCAUGGGCGAGCUGGUGCAACUGUUUAUUCUCAUGCUUAAGCCCUCUAAUCUCCUGUUUGAGACUCAUCUUUUCAGCCGCCAAUGAUUCAACUUGGCAGGUUCGAGCAAAUAGGCGUUGGGCCAUAUUAGACACAGAACCUGCACACUGAACACUGAGAACUGGCGAAUCCUUAACAGCUAACUCAUCAGACCGUUUGGAAAGUAGUCUGUUAUCUUUGGGAGUGAGAAGGUUCCUGGCCACCACCGCAGCGGUCAUAUCAUUCUUCAUUACGGAAUCCCCAACGGUAAGAGGACCAGUAGGGGAGACGAAGGAUGGGCGCCAUAUGUUGUCUGGAGAAGGCGGGGCUGCCUCUUCAACAAGGUUCAAGUCAAAACGACGGUCGGAAGGGCCAGACAUUUUCAAAGGUGUUGAAGAGAGAAGAGGUCGGACAAAUCAAGAUCUUAGAAGUGCAAGAAUGGAGCUUCUACUGGUGGAUUUCAAGUGUGCUUUAGAACUUAAUGCCAGCCCUUAUAAAAAUCUGCACUCGACGGAGCUUUAGAAAUCGAAGAGGCGUUUGCUUUCUCAAAAGCUGGGCUGCUCAGAGACCACGAGGGUUGAUCUCAGAAAUCGAAGAGGCGUUUGCUUUCUCAAAAGCUGGGCUGCUCAAAGACCACGAAGGCCAAUCUCAGAAAUCGAAGAGGCGCUCGCUUUCUCAAAAGCUGGGCUACUCAGAGACCACGAGGGCCGAUCUCAGAAAUCGAAGAGGCACCUACUUUUCCAGCCUUGUCAGCACCUGUCACACGCACACUCAACUUUGCGGAAAUUAUGGGCAUUCUGUCGAAGACUUCUGGUAAAGUAGAAAACACAUGAACCUUACUGCUCAAUCACCCACUUCCCACACGCAACAAUAGCUCAUGGGUACCACAGAUAACUUUGCCAAAGUUCUCUGCCAAAGUUGAGCACGUGAAGCUUGCAGCUCCUACUACAUCGCUCUAACCAAGAAGGGUAAAAGAAUAGUAAAGAAACAGCACUAACAAAGUUUAGACACAUAAAUUUUGAAGGCCUAGCUACCAUAUUAUUACCCACAAGGGUAAAGGAACAGUACCACUGCUGGAUAAUUGGAAAGUCCCUGUGUGUCAACCUCUGUGCUUCGUGGCAAGGUAGACUAGCAAACAUGCCCAACAUUUACUCACAUUCGAGAAAACUCCCAACAAGAUUGCUUGCUCCAAAAUCGAAGAGGCACCGUCCUCCGAAUCUCGGGAGCCAGACUCCCAACAUGACUACUGUCUCAAAAAUCGAAGAGAGGGUAAGGGAACAGUACCAUUGCUGGAUAAUUGGAAAGUCCCUGUGUGUCAACCUCUGUGCUUCGUGGCAAGGUAGACUAGCAAACAUGCACAACCUUUACUCACAUUCGAGAAAACACUCCCAACAAGAUUGCUUGCUCCAAAAUCGAAGAGGCACCGCCCUCCGAAUCUCGAGAACCAGACUCCCAACAUGAUUACUUUCUCAAAAAUCGAAGAGACACCGCUCUCCGAAUCUCGAGAGCCACACCCCCAGCGCGAUUACUUUCUCAAAAAUCGAAGAGGCAUUGUUCUCCGAAUCAAUCGAAGAGGUGCUCGCUUUCUCAAAAGCUGGGCUGCUCAGAGACCACGAGGGCCGAUCUCAGAAAUCGAAGAGGCACCUACUUUUCCAGCCUUGUCAGCACCUAUCACACGCACACUCAACUUUGCGGAAAUUAUGGGCAUUCUGUCGAAGACUUCUGGUGAAGUAGAAAGCACAUGAAUCUUACUGUUCAAUCACCCACUUCCCACACACAACAAUAGCUCAUGGGUACCACAGAUAACUUUGCCAAAGUUCUCUGCCAAAGUUGAGCACGUGAAGCUUGCAGCUCCCACUACAUCGCUCUGACCAAGAAGGGUAAAAGAAUAGCAAAGAAACAGCACUAACAAAGUUUAGACACAUAAAUUUUGAAGGUCUAGCUACCAUAUUAUUACCCACAAGGGUAAAGGAACAGUACCACUGCUGGAUAAUUGGAAAGUCCCCGUGUGUCCACCUCAGUGCUUCGUGGCAAGGUAGACUAGUAAACAUGCCCAACCUUUACUCACUUUCGAGAAAACACUCCCAACCAGAUUGCUUGCUCCAAAAUCCACCGUCCUCCGCAUCUCGAGGGCCAGACUCCCAACAUGACUACUUUCUCAAAAAUCGAAGAUGGUAAAGGAACAGUACCAUUGCUGGAUAAUUGGAAAGUCCCUGUGUGUCAACCUCUGUGCUUCGUGGCAAGGUAGACUAGCAAACAUGCCCAACCUUUACUCACAUUCGAGAAAACACUCCCAACAAGAUUGCUUGCUCCAAAAUCGAAGAGGCACCGCCCUCCAAAUCUCGAGAGCCAGACUCCCAACAUGAUUACUUUCUCAAAAAUCGAAGAGACACUGCUCCCCGAAUCUUCGAGAGCCAGACCCCCAGCAUGAUUGCUUUCUCAAAAAUCGAUGAGGCAUCGUUCUCCGAAUCAAUCGAAGAGGCGCUCGCUUUCUCAAAAGCUGGGCUGCUCAGAGACCACGAGGGCCGAUCUCAGAAAUCGAAGAGGCACCUACUUUUCUAGCCUUGUCAGCACCUGUCACACGCACACUCAGCUUUGCAGAAAUUAUGGGCAUUCUGUCGAAGACUUCUGGUGAAGUAGAAAGCACAUGAAUCUUACUGUUCAAUCACCCACUUCCCACACACAACAAUAGCUCAUGGGUACCACAGAUAACUUUGCCAAAGUUCUCUGCCAAAGUUGAGCACGUGAAGCUUGCAGCUCCCACUACAUCGCUCUGACCAAGAAGGGUAAAAGAAUAGCAAAGAAAUAGCACUAACAAAGUUUAGACACAUAAAUUUUGAAGGUCUAGCUACCAUAUUAUUACCCACAAGGGUAAAGGAACAGUACCACUGCUGGAUAAUUGGAAAGUCCCCGUGUGUCCACCUCAGUGCUUCGUGGCAAGGUAGACUAGUAAACAUGCCCAACCUUUACUCACUUUCGAGAAAACACUCCCAACCAGAUUGCUUGCUCCAAAAUCCACCGUCCUCCGCAUCUCGAGGGCCAGACUCCCAACAUGACUACUUUCUCAAAAAUCGAAGAGGGUAAAGGAACAGUACCAUUGCUGGAUAAUUGGAAAGUCCCUGUGUGUCAACCUCUGUGCUUCGUGGCAAGGUAGACUAGCAAACAUGCCCAACCUUUACUCACAUUCGAGAAAACACUCCCAACAAGAUUGCUUGCUCCAAAAUCGAAGAGGCACCGCCUUCCGAAUCUCGAGAGCCAGACUCCCAACAUGAUUACUGUUUCAAAAAUCGAAGAGACACCGCUCUCCGAAUCUCGAGAGCCAGACCCCCGCAUGAUUGCUUUCUCAAAAAUCGAAGAGGCAUCGUUCUCCGAAUCUCGAGAGCCAGAUCCUCGAUAGGAUUGCUUGUUCGAAAAUCGAAGAGGCACCACUUUCCCAACUUCAAGAGCCGGAUCUCCUUGGAUAAAGCUUGUCUGUAAUCUUCACACGCAACAUCAGCUUUCUAGAUACCACAGACCACUUUUUCAAAGUGCUCUGACAGAGUUAAAACAUGUGAAGCUGGCAGCUCCCACUACCGUGCUAUGACCAAGCAGGGUAAAGGAAUAGCAUUACUACUUGUUGUUAGGGAAACUCCUAUAUAUGUCGACCUUCAUCCCUAACGGACAGGCAGACCUGCAAAAAUGCUCAACCCUUCCUUAUAUCUGAGAGGGCACUCCCAACGAAGCCUUUCGAAAUAUUCAGCUUUCUUCCCCCCGAUAAUACCUCUGCAAACAAGCUAUACUAGAGCAAGAAUAUCUCAUAUCAUCAGGGUUAAAAGCAAGAGUAUCCCAUAUCAUGCUUUUUCCCUGUCUUUUCCUUUGGCCUUGUUCUUACCUGCAAGACAAGGAGAAAGAGAGCAAUCAGUCAGCACUUGGAAUCAAGCUUCCAGCCAGGAACUGACUGCCUGGAACCCCUUACCUGAUUACUUACCUGGCAUUGCUCUUGAGUACUCAUCUUCAACAUCUUAUGCUCCCAGGGAAGAUACCGCAUAUGCCUGAGGAACAGAUAGGGCAAGUGAGAAGGAUACAAGGAAGCAUAUGGAGACAAGCGUAACAGCACACGUGCCGAUACAUCCAUUACUCUGUCAAAAGCAAAAGUAUCCCAUAUCAGCAAGGUCGAACAUACUCUAGAUUUGAUGGACUUGUUUUGACCCUCAAAUUCUUCAGUCGGCCUUAUACACUGGAGGAAACCAGAAAACCCUCCAGCUCAGUUCAAGAAUAAGCCUGUGGAAAGUUACUUCUUCAAAAGCAAAAGUAUCCCAUAUCAUCUCUUCUCAUUUUUCUUCUCUUUAUCCUUCAUGCUGCCUGCAAGAUAAGGAGAAUGUGAACAAUCAGCCGGAGCUCUGAUUGCUUACCUUGUCUGUCACCUCUUUCAGCAGAUCCCCUAGCUCGGCGACUUGGGGACUCCUACUACAUGGUUUGUAUCGCGCUUGACCAAGCUUGAAACUACAAGUAAGCUUCAAGUGAAAUUGAUACAUUACCUUGUGCAUCUCCACCAGUUACAGAUACCACCCCUGGAUGGAGGAAGAGUACUUCCAGAGAAGAUGCCACAUCUACCUAUGAGACAGAUAAGGCAAGUCAAGACGAUACCACACUCCGGUACUUAGAAGUUUCGUGGUUACGAGAUCAUUCUCCCACAAUAUUUCCUAAUGUCAUUUGUACUAAAUCAUUCACUUGUACUCACUAAAGGAGAGCUUGAACCUACGUACUUGUGUAAACCCUUCACAAUUAAUGAGAACUCCUCUAUUCCGUGGACGUAGCCAAUCUGGGUGAACCACGUGCAUCUUGUGUUUGCUUUCCUAUCUCUAUCCAUUUAUAUACUUAUCAACACUAAUGACCGGAGCAAUCUAGCGAAGAUCACAAAAAGUGACCGUUUUCGCUACCUAGGAUCUAUCUUGCAGGAGAACGGAGAAUUAGAUGGAGAUCUCAACCAUAGAAUACAAGCUGGAUGGAUGAAGUGUAAGAGUGCAUCCGGCGUGUUGUGUGACCGUCGUAGGCCACUGAAGCUCAAGGGAAAAUUUUAUAGGACGGCAAUAAGGCCAACGAUGUUGUAUGGCACAGAAUGUUGGGCGGUGAAGCAUCAACACGUACACAAAAUGGGUGUAGCGGAGAUGAGGAUGCUUCGUGGGAUGUAUGGGCACACGAGAAAGGAUAAGAUUGGGAAUGAGGAUAUCUGAGGUAAAGUAGGAGUAGCCAAAAUUGAAGGAAAUAUGAGAAAAAAUCGGUUCCGGUGGUUUGGACAUGUGCAAAGAAAGCAUAUUGACGCUCCGGUUCGAAAAUGUGACUACGGGACAGAGGUUCAGGGCCGAAGGGGUAGAGGAAGACCUAGGAAAACUUUGGAAGAGACCCUAAGAAAAGACUUGAGUACUUGGAUCUAACGGAGGACAUGACACAAAACCGAGCGCAAUGGAGUUCUAGGAUUCAUAUAGCCGACCCCACUUAGUGGGAAAAGGCUUUGUUGUUGUUGUUGUUGUUUGACUAGAGCAGUGUACUUACUUUUUUGCACCCAAGUUGAAUUUAGUAUAAAUUAUUCUAUGGUUUGGAAAUGGAAAUAAAAAAAAUAAAAAAAGUCAAUUCAUGAAUAAUUCAAUGUAACGGAGUGUUUAAACGCAAAACUUGAGCGAGACAUUAGCGGAAUGAUAGUUUCAAUCCCGACCACAAAUUUGCUACACCAACUAGUAUAGGGCCUCGUAUCGGAUGGAAGAUGUCGAAGAGGACGCUUUCUGAAAAAAAACAGCAUACAUCACAGCCAUGAUGCGUAGUCUGAAAACUUUCUGACACAAAUCACCAAAUGGGCAAGCUCAAAGUUUACAAAUUUCCAAUUGGGUAAGUUCAAAGUUUACAAAUUUCCAAUUGGGUAAGCUCAAAGUUGACAAAUUCCCAAUUGGGUAAGCUCAAAGUUCACAAAUUGUCAAUUGAGUAAGCUCAUAUUACAAUAUUCACUUAACAGAGCAAUUUUUAAAAUGUGUGAUCAAAAGUAUAAUGAUUUGUCAAAACGUGCCUAUUGUGAUUAAUUAUCCUUGUAUUAUUAAAGCAAUGUCAUAUCAGAACGACAAUGUACUCACUUUAUGAAAAUUCUUCGCGUCCGUUACAUUUUAGAAUGUACACAUGGAAGUCAUUCAAAACAUAAUCACAGUUGCCAUGUGUUUUCCUGGUCCGCCAAAUGAUCAUUUUCUUGUCCUUUGUGUUUUGUUAAGUAGUUCCUGCAUUUUGGCCCCCAUUUUCUGAUUAAUAUAUGAAGGGCAUGAACCUUCGCAUAUAGAAUUGAUUAAACAGCAGUUUUAAAAAGUGAAAUCAAAAGUGCCACAAUUUGUCAAAAGUUGUCAAACUGUGAGUUUGUGACUAAUUGCCCUUGUAUUACUCGAGCAAUGUGAUACCACAUCAAUGGUAUGGUAUACUCGUUCUAUGGAAAGUCUUCAUGAUCUUUAUAAUUUAGAUAAGACAAAUGAAUGAAUCAUUCAAAACAUAAAGUUUUUUUAAUUUUAUUUUUAAUUUUUUAUGUUAAAUUUUUUUUCACGCAUUAUUGUGUUAUUUAUUUAAAAUAUUGACUAAAUGGCGAACUAGAUAAGUGAUUCUCGUGGAAAGAAUACAAGUUAGGGAUGGGCAAACAGGUAUAGGAACCACGGGUCGAGACGGGUUCAAAAAUUAUAAAUACAAAACGAGACGGAACAGAACAGGACGGGACGGGUAUAGGUAAAUAAUGGGGCGAGAUGGUUCUAGAAAUUGGAAAAAAAGGCCCCGGCCUGGACCGUUGAUUUCCCACCGUUGACUCUCUCUCUCUCUUUUUCUUGUCCGAGACUCCCAAGACCCCAUUCCAUUCUCAGACCUCCCCUCUCUAGGUCUCUCCUCCUUGAAUCUCAUUUGCUCUCUCGCCGCCACCAUCAUCAUCAGACCUUGAUUUCUCCUCCUGAUUCACUCUUGUCUUCCUCACUCGGUCCGCUGCCAUCAUUAUCAGGCCUCGUUCGCUUGAUCUUUGGCGACUCUUUGUGGUGCGCCGACGACAAGGUCGUUGAUGAGUUCCUGAUGGAGUAGCCAAUCCCGCCGUACCUGUUCGCGUUCGCCGUCAACAAAGGGUUUGGGUGGUUCUUUCCGGUGGUGGCUCUGGGAAUGCUGAGGUACAUGAUCGCCACAUCAAACAUCAUACAUGACUGCGACGAGGUCUUCAACUUUUGGGAGCCUCUCCAUCUCGAUUCUCUUUCUUUUUCCUCUCUGAAAAAUUGAAACUUUGUUCUUUUUAGGUGUUUUGUUUCUGGGUUUUGAUUGUUUGUUAUUUUCUGGGUUGUUUUUAUUUUGCUUGUUAUGAAAUUAUUUGUCUUUGUGGUUAUUUGAAGUUUAUUUGAUAUUAAAGAUGUUAAUAUAAUGCUAUGUUUGGUUAUAAUUUGUAGAGAACUAUUAAGCUCUGGAUUUAAUUUAUUGGGGAAGUUGGUUGUGUAAUUUCUCAAAAAAAAAAAAAGGAACAUAGGGCCCGUGUUCUCGGCCCAAACCGGCCCGUCCUGUUUCCUUUUUAAGUGGAUCAGGUCCGGUCCCUCCAAAUUUGAGUCUGGCCCGGCCCGGCCGGUGCCCAUCUCUAAAUUACAAGUUUCUAACUUUUCUUGUGCGCGUGGAUUGUCAUUUUGUGCUGUUGGUGGAAUACUGACACAAUUGCAAACCUAAUUCUUUUAAAAAAGGAAAACUAAUGAAAAAUGCUUGAAAACUUUGAGUUUUAAUGAUAAGGACAAAAUAAAGGGUAAAGUGAAUAGUACCAUGAUUGACUUUUUAGUGUAAAAAUGUGGUUUUUCGUUAAAGUGAACAGUACCGGGUGCUUUUAGUUAAAGUUCCCUUUAAAAAAUUUGUUUGUUUUGUAGCUUCUUAUCUUCAAAGUUUUGUUUUAGAGGCGUUUGGUCAUAUGUCAUUUUGUUUUGUCUAUUUUCGUUACAUUAGGUGUAACUUUUUUCUUUUCUUUUCAUUUUAAUAAAUGGGGGUAAGGCUAGCCGACAUUCACCUCUCACAGACCCUGCGUAAAGCGGAAGCCUUGUACACUGGGUACGACCUUUAAUAAAAUUUCCUUCUACCAUUGAGGUUCUACCAGAAGAAAAUGACAAAUGAAAAAUAAUCUACCCACAAUUCAUCUAAAUUAUGAAAACAAAGAAGAAUUUAGACCCAAAACACAAUGGUUUGAAUAGAAAAACCUUAUCCCAAGAUAACCCACAAUUUGUGAUAUUUCACUCCAUGAAAAUCCUGCUCAAUUUUCAUUCCUUAAACAUCUAUUCAGGAUAUGGCAAGUAAAGCGUGGAGAUUGGUUACAGCCCUUGUGACUAAACGUAAACGAUGGUAAAAGGAAUUAGCAUAGCAAAUUGAAUUAUUGCAGAGCUCUAAAUGUUGUGAACUGUAAUGGAGGAUCGCUCAGUAGAAGAAAUAAAUAAGUAGUGGUGAUGUAGGACUGUUUUGUAAGGGAUUUUGGGUUAAAGUGUAAGGGUUUUUGUAAUCGGGUUCAAUUGUAAUCACCUAAGUCUUUAGUGGAGCCUAGUUAAUUUGUUAGUGGUGUCCAGCUGGCACACAUGUAGUGGGGAAAAUAACACUGGCGCGUGGUUAAAUGGUGGCCAGAGGAAAUUGUAAGGGCAUGAUGAAAUUAAUGAGCAGAAUAUCCUUCUCUCUUUUCUCUCUACUCUGUCCCUUCAUCACUGUCGCCACAGCUGCCAUUGCAGGUUGAGGCCAUAGCAGGUCUGGGUCUUAUCACUAAAGUCUUUUGUGGUCUGGAAUCUGGAUGCGUUGACUUUCAUAAGCGAUCAGAUGAGUUCGAUGGAAACAAGUCCCUUCAUCUUCAUGAUCAUCUGAAAACUUCAAUUGAUGCAGUAAGUUCUUCUUCCAACAAUAUCUAUAUGGGAAAGCCAUUAUUUAUUCGUUAUUUAUUUCAUUUUCUUCAUCUUAAUUGCAGCUAAAUAUAUAUAUGGUUUCAUGUUCAACACUUUGUUAAUUGCACUAAAGUUUUCAAAUUCAACUGAAAUCUGAUUGAGCCCCUGUGUAGCCGAUUGAACAUAAAGAUUUUAACAUGUAAAAAGCAUAUGGUUUUUAACAUAUAUACCCGAUUGAGCCCCUGUGUAGCCGGUUGGACGGUUAUGGAAUUGCAUAAAUUUGUAUACAAUAAUUAGUUUCAUCUGUUUUAAUUGUGCAGCUGUGACUACUUGUGAGUCUUGAUUGGUAUUGCUUAACGGAUCAAACUUCCAAUUCAAGAAACUAUGGCGGCAGAAAAUUUUCUUGUGGCAUUCCUCCAAGUGCUGGUUGACAAGUUGGCGCAACGCGAGGUCUUCAAGUACUUUGGACUCGUAAAGGGCAUCGAUCAGAUACUGAAGAAGUGGAGUGCCACCUUGUCUGCAAUUGGAGCGGUGCUGAAUGACGCGGAGGAAAGGCAACUGACUGCUGAGAGCAACGCACUGAAGCUCUGGCUCGAUGAUCUCAGGGACUUGGCUUUUGAUGCGGAAGACGUGUUGGAUAAAUAUCAUACUAAAAUGUUGAAACGUCAGAUACAACAUGCUCAUUCCAGCACAACAAGCAAAGCAUGGAAAUCAAUUCCUAAUCGUCUUUUCAACUUCAAAAUGAAUUUGGAAAUACAGAAGAUUACUGAGCGAUUACAAGAGAUAUCUGAAAGAAAAGACCAGCUUAGUUUGAAAAUUGAUACUGGGAUGUUGACUACAAGGGCACAUCAACACAUAUCGCCUAGUUCUAGUCUACCGGAUGGACCUGUGAUUGGAAGGGAGGAGGACAAAAGGAAGAUUGUUGAGCUGCUGUCAAAGCAAGAGCAUCGUGCUGUCAAUUUCGAUGUAGUUGCAAUUGUUGGUAUGGCUGGAGUUGGAAAGACAACACUUGCUGGACAAGUACUCAAAGAUAUUGUUGCAACCCAAAUGUUUCAACCAGCCAUUUGGGUGUGUGUAUCUGACGACUUCAACCUUCAAAGAGUGACAAAGCAAAUUCUUGAAUCAAUCACAUCUCGACAAUGUACCACAGAAGAUCACAAUAAGGUUCAAGAUGAUCUGCAUAAGGAGUUAGCAGGGAAGAAGUUUUUAAUUGUUUUAGAUGAUGUUUGGAAAACGUGUAGCUACAGAGAAUGGAUGAAGCUGCAGUCCCCUUUUCGUGAUGGAGCACAAGGAAGCAAGAUAGUUGUGACAACACGUGAUACAGAUGUUUCAAAAAUGAUGGGAGCUGCCACGCUGGUUCACAACUUGGUGCCUAUGGAAAAUCAUUUUUGUUUGCAAGUAUUUGAGCAGCAUGCAUUCUUAAAUUUUAACGACAAACCGCCAAAUUAUGAGUUACUUCAGGAGAAAAUUGUUGCAAAGUGUAGGGGAUUGCCUUUGGCUGCGAGUACCCUCGGUGGUGUUCUACUUCGUAAAGAAAUAGACAAAUGGGAAGAAAUAUUGAACAACAAGUUGUGGAGUGUCUCAAAUGAGCAUGACAUACUUCCUGUGUUGAGACUAAGUUACUUUUAUCUUCCUUCACAUUUGAAAAGAUGCUUUGCCUAUUGCUCAAUACUUCCAAAUGACUAUGAAUUCGGGGAUAUGCAAAUGAUCCUUCUGUGGAUGGCCGAGGGUUUGAUUCUUUCUCGACCAGAAGAUAAUAAGCAAAUUGAAGAUUUAGGCGCUGAUUAUUUCCGGGAGCUCGUAUCUAGGUCAUUGUUUCAAAAGUCAACCAAAAAUACUUCAAAAUAUGUGAUGCAUGACCUCAUUGGUGAUUUAGCAAGAUGGGCAGCUGGAGAUAUUUGUUUUAGAUUGGAGGAUAAGCAAAAUGAUGAUGGUGUACAACUUAGAUGUUUUCCAAAGGCACGCCAUUCGUCUUACUUUAUGGGUCACUAUGAUGGGGCUAAAAGAUUUAAGGCAUUUUCUAAAGUGAAAUGUCUGCGAACCUUCUUGCCACUAAGAAAGGGUUCUGGCUACAAUUACUUAAGCCAUCAGGUUACUUCUGAUUUAUUGCCAAAAUUGCAGUACUUGCGGGUGCUCUCUUUUAAUGGCUAUAGAAUAACUGAGCUGCCAAACUCAAUUGGUGAUUUGAGAUAUCUACGAUAUCUUGACCUUUCCUACACAGCUAUAACUAGUUUGCCUAAAUCAAUCAGUACUCUUUACAACUUGCAAACAUUGUUAUUGGAACGCUGUUCCUAUUUGAAGUCAUUGCCUGCAGACAUAAGUAAUCUAAUUAAUUUGCGCCAUCUCAACAACUCAGAUGUAUCUUGGGUGGAAGGAAUGCCUCCAAAACUAGGUAGAUUGGUGAACCUCCAAUCUUUGCCUAAUUUUGUGGUCAGUGGUAGAAGUGAUCAAUCAGGAAUAAGAGAGAUAGGGCCUCUAUCGCAUCUCCGAGGGACAUUGUGCAUAUCAGGAUUGGAGAAUGUGACUGAUGUCAAGGAUGCUCAGAGGGCCAAUUUAAAAUACAAGGCGAGGCUUGAUUCGUUGGUCCUAAAAUGGUCUUAUUCAAGCGACACAAGAGAAAUGGAAUCUGCUGUGCUUGACAUGUUAGAGCCUCAUAGAAAGAUCAAGGAGCUCACCAUCAAGAGUUAUGCCGGAAAGGAAUUUUCAUCAUGGGUUGGAGGUCAUUUGUUCUCUAAUAUGGUGCUUGUGCGCUUAGAGGAAUGUAACAAUUGUUUAUCUUUGCCACCUCUUGGACAAUUGCCUCAACUCAAAGAACUUUAUAUUAGAGGAAUGAAUGCAGUGGAAAGUGUUGGUGCUGAGUUUUAUGGAGAGCGUUACUUGCCUUUUCAGGUAUUAGAGACUCUUGAGUUUGUGGAAAUGCAGCAUUGGAAAGAAUGGCUUCCUUUCCAACUGGAUCACGAAAGUGGUGUUUUCCCUUACCUGAAAACACUCAUAGUAAAAAAAUGUUCUAAACUGGAGGGUAAGCUGCCAGAGAACCUCAAUUCUUUAGGUAAGCUUGAAAUUGUUGAAUGUGAAGAAUUAGUGGUUUCGACUGCCAACUACAAACAACUUCGUCAAUUAAACAUUGACGGUUGUGAAGUGUUGGUGCAUACAGCUGCUAAGGUUGAGUUUGAGUUAUUAGAGUCCUUGUGGCUUUCAAGCAUUUCAGAGGUGAUGUCUCUACAAACAGGAGAAUUGUUCAACAAGGGAUUAAGCAAGGUUAAAGAUUUGAAGAUUAAUGGAUGUGAGGAGGUGACGUCUUCAUUCAGGAAUGAGGCUAGAUUAUUGCAGCAGUUGACUUCUCUUGGCUGUUUGGAAAUUGAAGGCAACUCUCUUCUAGUUGAAGAAUUGGGAAAGGAAGCAGAGGAGUUGCAAACAUUGGAGUGCAGGAUUGAAUGUCUGGAGUUAAACAAGUGCGAAAAUCUUAUGAAGCUACCAAAAGGGUUAAAUCAAUUGUCGUUUCUUCAAAAGCUUGGCAUACACGAAUGUUCACGUCUAGUUUCUUUCCCAGAUGUUGGUCUGCCACCUUCUCUUAAAGACAUCGAGAUUACAUCGUGUGAUUCGUUGAUAUAUUUUGCAAAAUUCCAGAUUCCCCAAAAUCUCAGAAGAAUAGAGAUAAGAGAGUGCAAAAGUUUGAAAUCACUAGUAGAGGAUGAGGCUUUUGGUUCUUCCUGGUCGUCUUCUUCUCAUAGUUGUCUUGAGUACUUGUUUAUCGAUGGAUGUAAAACUCUGACGUCGUUAUCAUUGAGUGGCCAGCUUCUCAGGACACUUAAACACUUUCAGACAUACAGAUGUGAACAACUGGAGUUAAUUGCACAAGAUGGGUUCUUCUACGACAACACUAAUUACUGUCUUGAAUAUUUUAGGAUAUGGAAGUGUGAAAAUCUGAAAUCCUUACCGGAUGGUUUAUGCCACCUCAGCAAUCUUCAAAAGCUACAUAUUCAAGAAUGUGGAAGUCUUGUUUCCAUCCCGAGACUGAGUGGGGGGAAAAGACCCUCCAACCUGAGGGAGAUCGAGAUCAGAAAUUGCGAGAAAUUGGAGGCGUUGCCCGAAGACAUGCACAAUCUCAACUCUCUUGAGGAUUUGAGAAUCGACUACCGUGAAGGUUUGACUUUUCCUCCCAACCUCACAUCACUUACAAUUUGGAAAGUCAAGAGCUGUAAGUCAUUGUGGGUGUUGGAGCGGGGGUUGCACAGACUCACCUCUCUUAGCAAGUUGGGGAUCUAUGGUGAUAACCCGGAUACGGUGUCGUUUCCACCAGACAUGGUCCGCAUGGAGUUGCUCCUCCCUAGAUCUCUCACUCAACUCCAUAUUUGUGGCUUCCCGAAUCUGAAGAAACUGAGCAGCAAGGGCUUUCAAUUCCUCACCUCCCUUCAAUCGCUUACACUAUGGAAUUGUCCAAAGCUAGCAUCCAUUCCAGAGGAGGGUCUGCCUCCUUCACUUACGAAACUUUGGAUCUUUGGGUGUCCUGUGCUAAAAGAGAGAUGCCAACCAGGAAAAGGACGCUACUGGCACAAAAUAUCCCACAUUCCUUCCAUGCAGAUAUAGAUUUUAAGAUGAUUUGAAGCUGAUGGUCGAUUCGAUCCCAUUCUCUAGGUUCAGGUAUCAUCUUCUCAAGGAAUGUUUAAUGCCAUGGUCUUCCCCCCAGAAAGCUUUUGCUGCAUAUCUGAAGGUACUUUUAUGGUUUAAAGCCAUGGUCUUAGUAGCUAUUGCUUUGGCAUUUUUGGCUAGUCAAUUUUUAGAUACUGCUGGACUAAGUUCCAAUAUGCUCAUUUGCAGUCCUCUUGCCCAGAAACCAUCAAUUAAACAACAGCAGAAUGCGAUAAACUCUAUUCAGUAUACUCUUCAGUAAUAAGAGCUUUUGAUCAAGAAGAGGUAAUGUUUACCUUUAUUCUCAUUUUUCCUUUCCUUGCUCUAAACUACUUUUGUGCUGGCAGUUUGGUUGUUAAAGGAGCAAUUUUCCUUCUGCAAAAUGUAAAAUGCCUGUAGUUACUGCCUAUUGAAACCAAGAUACUUGUAAUAAUUGGUUUUUGUUUCUCGUUGCAGAUUUUCAAAGUCUAUUUGUGGACAGUUUCUUGAGCAGGCGACACCCUUUCAAGCCGAAAUGUAAUUGUUAUCUCAGAUAAUUGGCAGACUGAUUGUAGUUUAGAAGAGUAACAAGUUCCAUUGGCAGAAGGCCAAUUGCCUAAGCUAUUGAGUAAUUUGGUCAGCAUCUCCUGCUGCUUUCUUGUUUCUUUGGCACCGCCACUUCGACUGCCACUGGUUAGUAUAGGGCUUCAUAUCGGAUGGAAGAUGUCUAAGAGGACGCUUUCUCCAAAUAAAAAAAAAAAAGCAUAUCUGAAAACUUUCUGAUACAAAUCACCAACUGGGUAAGCUGAAAGUUUAGAAAUUUCCAAUUGAUUAAGCUCAAAGGUGACAAAUUUCCAAUUGGGUAAGCUCAAAGUUAAAAAAUUGUCAAUUGAGUAAGCUCAUAUUUCACCCCCUUUCCAAUUAAUGAAGGACACUAUAUAACUUCUUACGGAUACAAUUUAUCAAAACGUACCUAUUGUGAUUAAUUACCCUUGUAUUAUUCAAAUGUGAUAUCAAAAUGAUAGCGUACUUACCCUAAAAAAAUUAUUUAUGGCCGUUACACUUUUAGACUAUACACAUGAAUUAGUCAUUCAAAACAUAGGAACAAUUGCCAUGCGUUUUCCUAGUCUGCCAAAUGAUCAACUUUGUCUUCUUGUCCUUUGUGUUGUGUUAAGGUAGUUGUUGUAUUUUUGCCCCCUUUUAUAGAUAAAUGAAGGGCACUACGAACCUUCACAUAUAUAUUAUAAAAUUGAUUAAAAAAAGCAGUUUUAAAAAGCGAAAUUAUAAGUGCCACCAUUUGUCAAAAGAUGUUCACAAUAAGUUUGUGACUAAUUUUCUUUAUAUUAUUCUAAUUUUCUUUAUAUUAUUCAAGAAAUAUAAUAUCAUGAUAACUGUAUAUUGUUUUAGUACCGUUACACUUAAAACUAGGCACAUGAAUCAAUUCUUCAAAACAUAAAAGUUUUUCUAAUUAUUUUUCUUUGAUGCUAAGUUAUUCAUCGCGCAUUAUUGUGUUAUAUUUGAAAUAUUGACUCAAUGAUAAAGUAGAUAAGUGAUACUCGAAAGAAUAUAACUUAUUAACUUUUGUUGUACGUGGAUUGCCAUGAGGAUAGUGGAACUGCAACUUUUCUAGCAUGUGGAAUUCUGACACAAUCGCAAACCUAAUCCUUUUAAAAAUUGUUUGUUUUGUAGCUUUCUUAUCUUUUAUAUUUUGUUUUAGAGAGAUUUUGUCUUUUAUUUUUUUAUCUAUGUAUUUUUUUUUACAAAGAGUAAGGUUUAUGUUUUUUUUUAUAUCAAAAAAAUUCCUUGUACCAUUGAGAUAUUACCAAAAUAAAAUGACAAAAGAUAAAUAAUCUAUAUUAAAUUCAUCUAAAUUAUGGGAAGAACUAGGAUUUAAACCCAAAAUACUGGGGCAAUCCACUUGUAAUAACUUCACUCCAUCAUGAAUCUUACUCAAUUUUCAUUUCUUAAACAUCUAUUCAAGGGAUAGGCUUUUUAGCCAAAAUAGUUUCUGAGAUUUACAUAACUCAUCAUUUUGUUUCUGAGAUUUGAAAUCAAUAUAAGUGGUCUAUAAGAUUGUCUACCAUCAAUCAUUUUGAUUAUUCCGUGAAACAUUAUGUUAAAUAAGGAUCAAAAUGAUAAAAUACAUUUAAUUUAAUAAACAAUAGGCCAAAAUGAUCUGACAAAAAUUAAGAAUAUUUUUGUCAUUUUAUUCUUAUUUAAUGAAUAUUUUUCAUAGAAUAACCAUUAAUGUGGACAAUUUCAAGAAUCAAUUCUAUUAAUUUCAAAUCUUAAAAACCAAAAUAAUGAAUUAUACAAAUUUAAAGAACUAUUUUAACUAAAAAAUCUUCGGGACAUGGUAAGUAUAAGUGUGGAGUUACUGCUCUUGUGACUAAACGAUGGAAAAGCCGAAUCAGGACUCAUGGCGGCGACUUCGGUAAAAUCUAGUGUCGGUAGGGUUAAGAGCUCUUGGGGUGUUUGCCAAUUUCCAAUGCUUUUUCGUGAUCUGCCAAAUCAUCAACUUUGCUUUCUUGUCCUUCCAACUGUGUGGCUCACGAUAAAAGUUGCAUUUUUACUCCUCAUCUUAAAUUAGGAUGUACUUUCAUCAUAUAUUUUAAAAGAAAAACUAAUGAAAAGGUUUUGAAAACUUUGAGUUUUAAUGAUAAGGAUAAAAUAAAGGGUAAAGUAAAUAGUACCAGGAUUGACUUUUUAAUGUAAAAAUAUGAUUUUUCGUUAAAGUGAACAUUACAGAGUGCUUUUCGUUAAAGUUCCCUAUUUUAAAUUCUGUUAUGUAUUUUUAAUUUAACUCUGAUUAAUUUUUAUAUUAAACAUUUUUUUUAAUUUACAAAUUUAAUCAUCUUAACAUUAUUUUUUUUAUUUUUUUAUAACAAAAAUUUAUGACCCAAGGAUAGUAAAGAGGGGAUAACAAAAAUUUUUGCCACAAAGGAUAUAUCAUGGUAAAUUGAAUUAUUGAAGAGCUCUAAAGUCUUUUGCCAUAUGGAAUCUAGAAUUGUUGAUUUUCAUAAGCGAUCAGAUCGAUGGAAACGCGUCCCUUCAUCUUCUUGAUCAUCCGAGAACUUCAAUUAAUUUAGUAAGUUCUUCUUCCAGCUAUAUCUAUAUGGGAAAUCCAUUAUUUAUUCAUUAAAUAUUUCAUUUUCUUCAUCUUAAUUGCAGCUAUAUAUAUAUGGUUUAAUGUUCAACACUUUGUGCAGUCUUAAGCUCGAGAGAUCAAGCUUCCAGGGAACUACUUAAAUCUUAAUUGCACUAAAGUUUUCAACUGAUCCUCGGAAGCAAGUGUCCUCGUGAUCCGACGACUUCCAUGUAAGUUCUUGCUACACAUCCGGUUUUAUAUUCAUUCGAGUUUCGAGUUAUGUAACUUGUCGUGUCCUAAAUUAAUAGUGGUAGUUUAAAAUGUAAACAAUAUAUAAUUUUUGACAUAUCUGAUUGAGCUUCUGUGUACCCAUAUAAUUAGUUUCAUCUGCUUAAAUUGUGCAUUUGUGACUACCAUGUGCUGCUUCUUGUGCUUUGUGCUGUGCGCUCAGGACAAUAGUUUUUUAUUACACAGAGGAAACAGGAGAAGACAAAAUUAUGCCCUGCGACAAUGAAGAGAUAGAGAAAAGAAAGAGGAGGAUUUAUCAUAGCAAAUUGAACUAUUGAAAGCUCUGAAGUCUUUGUCGUCUGGAAUCUGGAUUCUUCGACUCCAAUACGAGAUCAGAUCAGAUCAGAUGCAAUCAAGUCUCUUCGUCUUCAUGAUCAUCUGAAAACUUCAAUUUAAUGCAGUAAGUUCUUCCAAUUAUAUUUAUAUGGGAAAUCCAUUAUUUUUAUUUAAUUAUUUCAUUUUCUUCAUCUUAAUUACAGCUAUAAAUAAUAUAUAUAUUUAUGUGGUUUAAUGGUCAACAGUUUGUGCAGUUUUAAGCUCGAGAGCUCAAGCUUUCAGGGAACUACUCAGUCUUAACUGCGCUAAAGUUUUCAACUUCAACAAAAACUUGAUCCCUGGAAACAAGUGUUCUCUUGAUCUGACGACCUGACGACUUUCACGUAAGUUAUUGCUACGCAUCUGGUCCUCUUACUAGUGUAACGUGUUUCAAGUUGUGUACCGUGUCGGAUUAUAAAUUAAUAAUGUUAUUUUAAAAUGUAACAAAGAUAUGAUUUUGUAGUCUCGAAUUUAUCUUUUGUGCUUUGUCUGUCAAAUUAAGCAAUUUUGAGUAAAACGUAAUUGAACUUAUCAUGUAAUUGAACUAUUUGACAGUAAAACGUAACGUGACUCACAUACCCGAUGGAGCCCGUGUACCCAAAUAAUUAGUUUCAUCUGUUUAAAUUGUGCAGAUGUGACUACUUGUGGGUCUUGAUUGGUAUUUUUUCAACGGAUCAAACUUCCAAUUCAAGAAACUAUGGCGGCAGAGGCUUUUCUUGUGUCAUUCCUCCACUUGCUGGUUGACAAGUUGGCGCGUCGCGACGUCUUGAAGUACUUUGGACUCGUAAAAGGCGUCGAUAAGAAACUGACGGAAUGGAUUGCCACCUUGUCUGCAAUUGGAGCUGUGCUGAUUGACGCGGAGAAAAGGCAACUGGCGGAUGAGAGCAACAUACUGAAGCUCUGGCUCGAUGAUCUCAGGGACUUGGCUUUUGAUGCGGAAGACGUGUUGGAUAAAUAUCAUACUGAAAUGUUGAAACGUCAGAUACAUCAUGCUCAUUCCAGCGCAACAAGCAAAGCAUGGAAAUCAAUUCCUAAUGGUGUUUUCAACUUCAAGAUGAACUCAGACAUACAGAAGAUUACUGAGCGUUUACAAAAGAUAUCUGUACGAAAAGACCAGCUCGGUUUGAAAAUUGAUACUGGGACGUUGACUACAAGGGCACGCCAACACAUACCGCCUAGUUCUAGCCUACCAGAUGGACCUGUGAUUGGAAGGGAGGAGGACAAAAGGAAGAUUGUUGAGCUGCUGUCAAAACAAGAGCAUCGUGCUGUCAAUUUCGAUGUAGUUGCAAUUGUCGGUAUGGCUGGAGUCGGAAAGACAACACUUGCUGGACAAGUACUCAAAGAUAUGGUUGCAACCCAAAUGUUUCAACCAGCCGUUUGGGUGUGCGUAUCUGACAACUUCAACCUUGAAAGAGUGACAAAGCAAAUUCUUCAAUCAAUCACAUCUCGGCAAUAUACCACAGAAGAUUACGAGAAGGUUCAAAAUGAUCUGCAUAAGGAGUUAGCGGGGAAGAAGUUUUUAAUUGUUUUAGACGAUGUUUGGAAAACGUGUAGCUAUGGUGAAUGGAUGAAGCUGCAGUCCCCUUUUCGUGAUGGAGCACAAGGAAGCAAGAUAGUUGUGACAACACGUGAUACAGAUGUUUCAAAAAUGAUGGGAGCUGCCACGCUGGUUCACAAUUUGGUGCCUAUGGAAAAUGAUGUUUGUUUGCAAGUAUUUGAGCAGCAUGCAUUUUUGAAUGCUAACAACAAUAGACCACCAAACUACGAGUUACUUAAGGAGAAAAUUGUUGCAAAGUGUAGGGGAUUGCCUUUGGCCGCGAGGACCCUCGGUGGUGUUCUACUUCGUAAAGAAAUAGACGAAUGGGAAGAAAUAUUGGACAACAAAUUGUGGAGUCUCUCGAAUGAGCAUGACAUACUUCCCGUGUUGAGACUAAGUUACUUUUAUCUUCCUUCACAUUUGAAAAGAUGCUUUGCCUAUUGCUCAAUACUUCCAAAUGACUAUGAAUUCGGGGAGAUGCAAAUGAUCCUUUUGUGGAUGGCCGAGGGUUUGAUUCAUCCUCGACCAGAAGAUAAUAAGCAAAUUGAAGAUUUAGGUGCUGAUUAUUUUCGGGAGCUUGUAUCUAGGUCAUUGUUUCAAAAAUCAACUGCAAAUAUUUCAAGAUAUAUGAUGCAUGACCUCAUUGGUGAUUUAGCACGAUGGGCAGCUGGAGAUAUUUGUUUUAGAUUGGAGGAUAAGCAAAAUGAUGAUGGUGUACAACUUAAUCCGAAGGCACGCCAUUCGUCUUACCUUUUGGGUCAUUGUGAUGGGGUUAAAAGAUUUGAGGCAUUUUCUGAAGUGAAAUGUUUGCGAACCUUCUUGCCACUAAGAAAGGGUUCUACCUACUUUUUUAAGUCGUCUGGUUACCUUUGAUUUAUUGCCAAAAUUGCAGUACUUGCGGGUGCUCUCUUUUAAUGGCUAUCGUAUAACUGAGCUGCCAAACUCAAUCGGUGAUUUGAGACAUCUACGGUAUCUUGACCUUUCCUACACAGCUAUAACUAGUUUGCCUAAAUCGAUAAGUACUCUUUACAACUUGCAGACAUUGAUAUUGGAAGGCUGUAAUGAUUUGAAGUCAUUGCCUGCAGACAUGAGUAAUCUAGUUAAUUUGCGCCAUCUCAACAACUCAAAUGUAUCUUCGUUGGAAGGAAUGCCUCCAAAACUAGGUAGAUUGGAGAAUCUCCAAUCUUUGCCCAAUUUUGUGGUGUGUGGUGGAAGUGAUGAAUCAGGGAUAAGAGAGAUAGGGCCCCUAUCGCAUCUCCGAGGGACAUUGUGCAUCUCAAGAUUGGAGAAUGUGACUGAUUUCGAGGAUGCUCAGAAGGCUGACUUAAAAUGCAAGGAGUGGCUUGAUUCUUUGGUUCUAGAAUGGUCUCAUUCAAGCGACACAAGAGAAACUGAAUCCGCUUUGCUUGACAUGUUACAGCCUCAUAGAAAGAUCAAGGAGCUCACCAUCAAGAGUUAUGCCGGAAAGGAAUUUUCAUCAUGGGUUGGAGGUCAUUUGUUCUCUAAUAUGGUGCUUGUGCGCUUAGAGGAAUGUAACAAUUGUUUAUCGUUGCCUCCUCUCGGACAAUUGCCUCAUCUCAGAGAACUUUAUAUUAUUGGAAUGAAUGCAGUGGAAAGUGUUGGUGCUGAGUUUUGUGGAGAGCGUAUGUUGCCUUUUCGGGUAUUAGAGACUCUUGAGUUUGUGGAAAUGCAGCAUUGGAAGGAAUGGCUUCCUUUCCAAGCCGAUCACGAAGGUGGUGCUUUCCCUUGCCUGAAAACACUCUUAGUAAAAAAAUGUUCUAAACUGGAGGGUAAACUGCCAGAGAACCUCAAUUCUUUAGCUAAGCUUGAAAUUGUUGAAUGUGAAGAAUUAGUGGUUUCAAUUGCCAACUGUAAACAACUUCGUCAGUUAAACAUUGACGGUUGUAAAGUGUUGGUGCACACAGCUGCUAAGGUUGAGUUUGAGUACUUAGAGUCCUUGUGCUUUUCAAACAUUUCGAAGGUGAUGUCUCUGCAAACAGGGGAAUUGUUGAAGAAGGGAUUAAGCAAGGUUAGAGAUUUGAAGAUCAGUGGAUGUGAGGAGGUGACGUCUUCACUGAAGAAUGAGGAGGGUAGAUUAUUGCAACAGUUGACUUCUCUUGGCAGUUUGAAAAUUGAAGACAACUCUCGUCUAGUUGAAGAAUUGGGAAAAGAAGCAGAGGAGUUGCAAAUAUCGGAAUGCAAGCUUGAAUUUCUGGAGUUAAAAAAGUGCGAAAAUCUUUUGAAGCUACCAAAAGGAUUAAAUCAGCUGUCGUCUCUUCAAGAGCUUCGCAUACACAAAUGUUCAAGUCUAGUUUCUUUCCCAGAUGUUGGUCCGCCACCUUCUCUUAAAGACAUCGAGAUUAGAGAGUGCGAUUCGUUGAUAUAUUUUGCAAAAUUCCAGAUUCCCCAAAAUCUCCGAAGAAUAAAGAUAACAUGGUGCAAAAGCUUGAAAUCACUAGUAGAUGAGGAGACUGUUGGUUCUUCUUGGUCGUCUUCUACUCAUACUUGUCUUGAGUACUUGAGUAUCAAAGGAUGUGAAUCUCUGACGUCGUUAUCAUUGAGUGGCCAGCUUCCCAGGACACUUAAACACCUUGAGAUAGAGAAUUGUGAACGACUGGGUUUAAUAGCACCGAACGGGUUCUUCAGCGACAACACCAAUCACUGCCUUGAAUAUAUUACCAUCUGGAAUUGCCAAAAUCUGAAAUCCUUACCGGAUGGCUUAUGCCACCUCAGCAAUCUUCAAACUCUAGGUAUUCGAAAAUGUGGAGGUCUUGUUUCCAUCCCGAGACUGAGUGAGGGGAGAAGACCCUCCAACCUGAGAAAUAUCGAGAUCACCGAUUGCGACAAAUUGGAGGCGUUGCCCGAAGACAUGCUCAAUCUCAACUCUCUUGAGUACUUGAGCAUCGACUACCGUGAAGGUUUGACUUUUCCUCCCAACCUAACAUCACUUAUAAUAUGGAAGGUCAAGAGUUGUAAGUCAUUGUGGGAGUUGGAGUGGGGGUUGCACAGACUCACCUCUCUUAGAGAAUUAUGGAUCAUCGGUGAAGACCCAGAUACGGUGUCGUUUCCACCCGACAUGGUCCGGAUAGAGACACCCCUCCCCAAAUCUCUCACUCUUCUCAAAAUAGAAGGCUUCCCGAAUCUGAAGAAACUGAGCAGCAAGGGCUUUCAAUUCCUCACCUCCCUUCAAUAUCUGGGACUUUGGAAUUGUCCAAAGCUAGCAUCCAUUCCAGAGGAGGGUCUGCCUCCUUCACUAGAGCAUCUUAACAUCCAUAAGUGUCCAGUGCUAAAAGAGAGAUGCCAACCAGGAAAAGGACGCUACUGGCACAAAAUAUCCCACAUCCCUGCCGUACAUCUGUUUUGAGAUGAUUUGAAGCUGAUGGUCCAAGUAUCAUCUCUCGAGGAAUGUUUUAAUAUUAUUAGUAUGGUUUUGGGGGUUGAGGAGUGGCUGCUUUGGGAGGCCUUCAAUUGGCGACAACCGGGAUAUUUCUCGGCCAACGUUUCUUCUUCCGGAUUCCUAUGUUUGCUUGCUCCCCUUUCACUUAUCUCUACUUAUUAAUGCAACCCCCUUUAUCAAUCAAAAGAGGGUAAAAAGAUAAUUUAAUCUUUUAUCACACACAAAAAAAAUGAUGGACAAUAAUGUAAUUUUAUAGGUCUAAAUUUUACUGUUUUUUAUUAAAGUUUCAUCCACAAGUGAUAUUAAAAUACCUUCAACAUUAAAAAACAAAAAUAAACAAAACAAAAAAAAACAAAAACAAAAAUCUCCCACUCCCCUCACGUUCUCUCUCUCUCUCCCUCUCUCCUUCUCAUUUUCUAAAAAAAUAUGUUCAUACACACAAAAGUGUGUAGGCAAAUGCUAGUUUGUAUUAUAAGUGUGCUACUCCUUCUCCUAACUUUAUGCCAACUAUGCCCCUUAAGUAUACUUAAUUCUUUAAUUUUCUUGGGUUAGAGUCAAGGUUAACAUGUUUUUGCACAAAACUAACUAAGAAAACACUCUAGUUACAUUAUAUUGUCAAAUUAUCGAAUUUGAUACUAAAGAAUUAUACAUAAUUAUAUUUAACCGUUCUUAAUUGAGAUUAACAGUGUAAUAAUAUAAAUUUAUCAUCCUUCAUGAUAAAAGAAAGCUUUCUUUAAUGAUAAACUGGUGUUAAAUAAUUGAUAACCGUUAAUGAAUAACGAGUCAUGACUUGCAAUAAACCUCACACACACCAUCAAAAAAGUUUGCAGUCGUGAAUAGACUUGGCAUACGGGUCUUAUUUGUCUCAUCCCGUUAUAUCUUCAUGGAUCUUAUCGUGUCAAACUAUUAUUUUAACAUGUUCUUAACAGGUGACCCUAUAACGACCUAAUUCGUUAACGAAUCAUGUCAUUUCUUGUCAAGAUAACGGAUCAUGCAAGAAAUUGAUAUAUCUAAUGUCUAGAUCAUGCAAGAAAUUGACAAAAUGCAUAAUUGAGAGUGAGACCCACUCCUCCAUGUUAUUAUAUUGACAAUAUGUUCCCUAACCUGGAAUUGGAUCCUCGCCGGAUCUAAUUGCUGGGGAUCCUAGGGAUCAACCCACGUGGGCCGUUGAUCAAAAAUCGUGCGGUCACAAUUAAAUGUUUUAAAAGUAAAACAGUCUCGUUUUGAUUGAAAAAUAUAAAAAAGAAAAAAAUUGUGGCCGCACAAUUUUUUAUCAACGGCCCACAUGGAUUGAUCCCUAGGAUCCCCAUGAAUUAGAUCCGGCGAGGAUCCAAUUCCCCCUAACCGCACAAUUUAUUAUAUCCAAUGUCCAGAUCUAGCAAAAGAUGUCUUAUCGAGUUUUUAAUGGGUGACACCUAAUGACCCGAUUCGUUAACGGGCUCUUAAUGGAUGACCUGAUUCGUUAACGAGUUGAUCAAAAACAUGUUAUUUUUUGUGUCAUUGCGUGUUAGAUUAAUAGUUGAUGCAAGAAAUUGACAAAAUGCAUAAUUGAGAGGGAGACCCACUCCUCCAUGUUAUUAUAUUGACUAUGUUCCCUAACCUGACCAAAAUCCACCAUGAAAUUCCAUAGCAUUGAAACAUGACGCCCCCAGCUCCCUAAUACGCUGUCGUUUUGAGAUUCCCCCACCCCGAAAAGUCCCUCAUAACCGUUGCUAACCCUCUCUCAGAACCCACGCGCCCAUUCUCCAACCGUUUAAACCCCACUCACUCCCACUCUCUCUCUCUCUCUCUCUCUCUCUCUCUCUCUCACUCACUCUAUACAUGUUCUCAGUCAAAAUCUCCAAGUCCUCUGCUUUGGCAACGAAAAUCGAAAACCCAUUUGUUUCCAUCCAUCAGAACUCGAAAUCUCCAUAUUCAUGUCUCCAAGAAAGCUUCUUGUUUUCUGGGUCGACGUCUUCUUCCUCAUAACUCUCUUCCUCCGCCGUGGCUCGGCCGAGAACGUCAACUUCUACUUCCCAUCUUUGAACUUCCGAAACCUCACCUUCCUCGGCGACUCCCACAUCCGAAACGGUGUCUUGGGGCUCACCGCGAGCUCACCGUCCCCUCCUCCAGCGCCGGUGCCGUCAUCUACAACAACCCAAUUCGGUUCUUCGACCCGGAGUCCAACAUCACUGCUUCUUUCUCCACAAAGUUCGCUUUCUCCAUCGCCAACGUCAAUCCGAGCUCCUACGGCGACGGCAUAUCGUUUUUCCUCUCGCAGGAGAACUGGACGCUGGGCAGCCCUGGUGGAUAUCUGGGUCUCGUCAAUUCCUCGCAAUUGACCAAGAACAAGUUCGUAGCCGUCGAAUUUGACACGAAGCUCGAUCUUCACUUCGACGAUCCGAACGACAAUCAGGUCGGAUUGGACAUUGAGAGCCUCAAUUCGAUCAAGACCGCUGAUCCGAUUUCACAGGGUGUCGAUUUCAAGGGCGGAAUUCGAUCACUGCUUGGAUUGAUUACAAGAACGACCAAUAAAAGCUUAAAGUGUAUCUGAGCUACUCGAAUUUCAAGCCUGAAAAGCCGGUUUUGAGCGUGGACAUCGAUCUCUCCGAGCAUCUGAAGGAGGUUAUGUUCGUGGGUUUUUCAGCCUCAACGGAGGGGAGCACGGAUAUUCAUCUGGUUGAGAAUUGGAGCUUUCAUACCUUCGGGUUUGUUGCGAAAAUGCCGAGGUUGUAGCCACACAAUGUGUCCGAUACUUAGGUGGCGGUGAGUCCGAGGAUUCCCGUGUCCGGUUCAGGGGAUAAGCAUCACCGGCGGCUCGGUUUGGGACCUGGGAUUGCUGGGCCAGCGUUCUUUUGCGUGGCGCUGGUGGUUUUCAGUUAUGUUUCCGUGAUGAAAUGGAUGGAGGUGAGAAAACAGAAGAGCUUCAAAGCAGAGCUGGUGGCAGGGCCAAGAGAGUUUAGUUACAAGGAGCUGAAAUCUGCCACAGGAGUGUUUCAUCCCAGUAGGUUGGGACUGUUUACAAGGCGUUUUUUGUGUCUUCAGGCACCAUUUCUGCGGUGAAAAGAUCCAAGCAUUCCCAUGAAGGUAAAACCGAAUUCCUCUCUGAGUUGUCGAUUAUUGCUUGCUUGCGUUACAAGAAUUUAGUUCACCUUCAAGGCUGGUGCGUUGAGAAGGGUGAAUUGCUUCUUGUUUACGAUUUCAUGCCUAAUGGGAACCUCGAAAAGGCGCUGUACCAAGAAUCUGUACAACGAACUUUGUUAGAUUGGUCUCGGAGACUGAAUAUUGCGGUCGGAUUGGCGUCUGUUUUGGCAUAUCUGCACCAGGAAUGUGAGCAGCAGGUCAUCCACAGAGACAUAAAGACUGGAAAUGUGUUGCUUUACGGGAAUUUAAACGCAAGGCUCAGUGAUUUCGGGCUUGCAAAGCUCAUGGAUCACGAUAAAAGCCCUGUUUCCACACUGACAGCGGCAACAAUGGGGUACCUUGCGCCUGAGUAUCUUCAAUAUGGAAAGCCACCGAAAAGACUGAUGGUUUUAGCUAUGGUGUGGUGAUCCUUGAAGUGGCGUGUGGAAGGAGGCCAAUAGAAAAAGAGCCGGGAAGUGAGAAGGCGGUGAAUUUGGUUGAUUGGGUUUGGGGGCUGCAUUCAGAAGGGAUGAUUAUCGAGGCGGCUGACAAGCUGCUGAAUGGGGAGUUUAAUGUGAAAGAAAUGAGAAAUCUGUUGCUUGUCGGAUUAAGUUGUGCUAACCCUGAUAGUGCGGAGAGGCCUACGAUGAGGAGGGUUCUGCAGAUUCUGAGCAAUGAGGCAGAAGUUCAAGCCGUCCCAAGGGUGAAGCCGAGUCUGAGUUUGUCUAGCAGAUUGCCUUUGUCCCUUGAUGACAUUGUUUCGGAUUGUGAGGAGGAUUCCAAUAGCCCUACAAGCUCGAUGUGUGAGAUCGUCAUUCACUGAAAAAUAUAUGCAGAUUUGAAGAGUUUAUAGAUAGUUGGAUUCUUCCAUUCUUUUAACUUUACCACUGCUUUUUUUUUUUUUUUAUCUAUCCUGUAGUUUGAAGAUUAGAGACUGUAUAGUCCACUGGCCUGAGUUCAAAGCUUUCUGUUGAACUGUGUGGUCUCUACUUUGUCCAGGACAAAAAAAGCUUCUUGCUUGAAUAUUUCAACUGUAAUGGAAGACUAAUUUCUGACUGGUUUACAAGUUGAAUGUUACACACGAACGAUUUCUAUACUAUUCGAUCUUACUGUUCUUAUACCGUUCUGUUUCUUGGGUAGUUUGAUUUGGUCUUUCCUAAUGGUACGAUACUGAGCAGUGGGUGAUCUGUAGAGUGAUUCUGUUUGCACCCGUAAAUCUGUUCGACACACACCCUCUCCCUCUCUCAGGCUAAAGUAGCCAUGGCAAAGGGAGGAGAACUAGGAAGGUUUUUGAGAGAUAGAGAGAGAGAGAGAGUGUGUGUGUGUGUGUGUGUGUGUGUGUGUGUGUGUGUGUGUGUGUGUGUGUUCUUUGGGUGUGAGAGUAAGAAGAUGCAGAAAGUAGAUAUAGCGAUGACAUUCAUAGAACUUACAGAUUCUGAACUUUUUUAAUCUCCCUCUAUGCCAGAAGAGAAUUUGAACUAUCUGCUUUGCAGAACUUGAGAAUUUUUCGGAUUGCAUCGCUAUCAGGAGAAAUUCUCAAGUUUUGGUAGUGAAGUAUUCAAGAAUAGUACACUGCAAUCCUUCUGUUUCAUAAUUGACCUCCUUUAUACACGCAGAUUUGAAGCUUUUCGCCAUCGGGAUAAAUUCUCAAGUUUGGUACUGAAGUGUAUUAAGCAGAUAAGUACGUGCAAUCAGUUAUGGAAGAAUUCGACCUGCUAUGCACAAACAGAACUAAGAAAGUGGACGAGUUCUUAUGAGCACAAGAUUUUGAAAUUUACCGGAUCCUUGCGUCUAAUUACCAUUGACAUUAUUCCAGUUCAACUCCUUUUUGAUGUACAGAUAAAAACUGUGUACCAGGCAAAGCCAAACCAGAACGUUCUGCAAGUAAGAACUCCGUGCUGGUCAAGUAAUCUGCCAGGCCCAGACUCAAGGCAGCAAGCUUGGAGAAAUGCUGAACCAGAAUAUGCAACAUCGUUCUUCUCCCCUGAAAUCGAAUUGUGCACAACAUCAGUGAAUUCUCGAUGGCCCUUUUUGUGGUCUCCCUCUCCGAUCCUGGUUUCGGAUCUUUGUUUUGCGAAAUAGGUCUUUACUGUUCCUUUCACGUCGACGAUGAGCCAGGAGUAUGGAACUUAAGAAGUAUCCCUCAUGACAAAGCAGAUAACCGUAUCAAUCACUAAGCGGUUUACAACAUCAAGUUUCCGAAGAACAUUUCAAUGCUGUACAAGACCUGCAAAUUAGCAGCAAACUGCCGUAGCUUAUCAAUUGUGACAGAAAUAAGUUAAACUAACCUUGUAUAUUUGAUCAAGAGCUUCAAAAUAAUUCAUAAGAUCUAAUAUUAAAAAAAAUGUAAAAGCAAAUACACUGAAAGAAAACACUUAUGGUGAAAAUAUUUUUGGAACCAAUUAUUUGUGAAAAUACAAGUAAAUCCUCGAAAGCACUUAAAAAAAUACAUUUCUAAAAGAAACAUUUCAAUCAUUUUGAAAAGCACUUCAACUUCUUCUCAUCAUUCUUACAAAAUAAGAAUUUGUACAAAACUGACAUAUACUUGCUUCAACUGAUUAUUCUGCUCCAAGAAUCAUCUGCAUAAUAUAAAUACAAAAUCCACGAGGAAAAUAGAGUUUCGCGGUUUACAUAGGAAUUAAACAAUAAUGUACACACAUACACAAUAUCCACAAAUUAAGUGAUUUCCCGAUUCACCAUAUAGAAUGUUGAGCUUGUUGCGAGUUAUACAUUAGUUAAAGUAUAAAUAGUAGUUUAUUGUCCCAUAUUAGUGAAGUACAUAUGUAAUAUCAAUUGUAACUUUUAUAUAUACUCCACUUUGGAGAUUAAUGAAUAUAUAAGAAAUUCACAAAUAUUAUCAUAUAUAUUUUUGGUAUUUACCAUGUUGAGUUUAAUAUUGCUAUUUACCAUGUUUAGUUUAAUAUGGUAUCAGAGCAAUUCGCUCUUGGUGACCAGUGUGCUUUAAUUUUGUGCCCACAUUUUUCGUGAUCUCCUAUGUGAAAAAAAAAAUUAGUGAAUAGUGUCGCGCUACAAUACAACGUUUGCUACAGUGCAUGAAUAGUGGUCCUCUACAUUGCCGUGCACAGUGAUUGCUACAGUGCCGUGAAUAUUCUCUGCUACAGUGCUGUGAACAAUGAUUGCUACAGGUUCUGGUAAAUUGUUUUCAUUCUGCUGCGUAUCUUUUGUGCCUUUAUUGUUCGUGAUUUUGUUCAAUGACUCAAUAUAAUCAUAGUAUUGUUAUGCAUCUUGGUGGAACAAUAAAUGGAUAAUUGAUACUGGGGCUACUGAUCAUGUGACUAGUGACCCUAGAGUGUUUGAUGAGUUAUGUGACUAUGUUUGUGAUCCGUAUAUUACUAGUGCAAAUGGAGCACUUUCCCCUGUGAAGGGUGAAUACACUAUCUCUCUAACUCCAACCUUAUCACUGGUCUGUGUUUUACUUGUUCCUGAUGUUAAGUGCAAUCUUUUGUCGGUAUGAAAACUUCUUGAUACCUUAUAUUGUUCUGCUUACUUCUAUCCUACGUAUUGUUAUUUUCAAAACAUUCAAACUCAGAAGAUAAUUGGUCAUGAUAAAAAAAUAGGGGGUUUGUACAUCUUGACUAUGGAGGAUACUGUUGUUUCCGGUUCAAAUAAUCAUCAAGUUUUAAGUGCUAAUGUCACAUCCCGACCCAUGGUCCACCACAUCCCGGGCUCGCUCCACCACCGUAACACGAUAUUGUCCGUUUUAGGCCCCGACCACGCCCUCACGAUUUUGUUUCUGGGAACUCACAUGAGAACUUCCUAGUGGGUCACCCAUAAUGGGAGUGCUCUCGUGCGCUACUCACUUAACUUCCGAGUUCCGAUGAACUCCGAACCCAGUGAGCUCCCAAAAUGCCUUGUGCUAGGUAGGGAUGGGAAUAUACAUUUAAGGAUCACUCACCUAGGCAAUGUGGGAUCUUACAAUCCACCCCCCUUAGGGGCCUGACGUCCUCGUUGGCAUACCACAGCCAGGGUUAGGCUCUGAUACCAAAUUGUUACAUCCCGACCCGGGGUCCACCAUAUCCCGGGCCCGCUCCACCGCCAUAGCACGAUAUUGUCCGCUUUAGGCCCUGACCACACCCUCAUAUUUUUGUUUUUAGGAACUCACACAAGAACUUCCCGAUGGGUCACCCAUCAUGAGAGUGCUCUCGUGCGCAACUCGCUUAACUUCCGAGUUCCGAUGAACUCCGAAGCCAGUGAACUCCUAAAAGGCCUCGUGCUAGGUAGGGAUGAGAAUAUACAUUUAAGGAUCACUCACAUGGGCGAUGUGGGAUCUUAUAGCUAAAGUGGAUGACAGACAUCAAAUUUGGUUGUGACAUCGACGAUUGGGACAUCCAUCAUUCAGUUAUAUGAAGCAUCUAUUUCCUUCUUUGUUUCGCACUUGUAGUGAUUCAGAGUUUAAGUGUGAAACAUGUGUCAUGGCUAAGAGUCAUCGUGCUUCCUUUCCUGUAAGUGAUUCUAAAGCUACUUUGUCAUUUGAUUUGAUACAUUCUGAUGUGGGGUCCGGCGAAAGUUACUUCUAAUGGAUUCCGUUGGUUUGUUACUUUUAUUAAUGAUUAUACUCGGUUAACUUAGGUGUUCUUGAUGAAGAAUAAGAGUGAUGUUCCGUUACUUCUUCAAGAAUUUUGUACAAUGGUGUCUACUCAGUUUCAGACCAAAGUUAACGUCUUCAGGUCUGAUAACGGAUGAGAAUGUGUAAAUCACACUUUGACAUGUUUUUUUCUCGUGAUUAUGGUAUUAUUCACCAGACUACUCCAUUUACACCCCAAAAAAAUGGUGUGUCCGAACAGAAGAAUCGUCAAAUAAUGGAGGUUGCUCACUUUUUGAUGUUGGAUAAAUGUGUUCCUAAUCAUUUGUGGGGUCAUGCUGUUUUGGCUGCUAUGUUUUUGAUCAAUCGUGUUCCAAGUAGGGUUCUUCAUUUUCAGACACCGUUUGAUGUGCUACAAAAACAUGUUUCUCUUGUUUCUGUAUUAAAGCUUCUUCCGAAAGUGUUUGGGUAUAUUGCGUAUGUGCAUGUCUACUCUCAUCAGCGGAGUAAACUUGAUGCAUGUGCUCUCCGGUGUGUCUUUAUUGGGUAUGCUAACAAUCAAAAAGGCUAUAAGUGUUAUCAUCAUCCGACUCAAAAAACUUAUAUUACCAUGGAUGUUACCUUGCAUAAGAAAAUUUUGUAUUUUAUGAAGCUCUCUUCCGACUCUCCACUUCAGGCGGAGAGGGGGAGUGAAAUGCAUAUUCAAAUAAAUGGUAUGGAUGAUGUGUUACAGGCAGAGUUGGGAACAUAACCUAUUAUGUUGCGUGAUACUAAUCAGUUGGCUACAGAUAAUGAUCGAUCACCUGUCAUUCCCGGAACUAUUUCUACUGAUGACAGAUCAGAUGUGCCCAAUGAAUUGCCUAUUAGUAUGUCUAACGAAUUACAUUCUGAUGAUCGGUUGUCUGUUGCUAAUAUGUCUAAAGAGUUGCCUGAUGAUGGUUCGUCCAGUGAUGAUUCUUCUAACAGUUUGGUACACAUGAAGUAAAUUCUGACGAUUCUUCUAUUUAUCAGUUGCCUCCAUGAGCUAAUCGUGGAAAACAUAAAGUACAAUAUGAUCCUGAUAUGCAUGCCAAAGCCAAAUAUCCUAUCAACAAUUAUCUGUCUACUCAUCGUUUGUCCAAACCAUAUGCAUCUUACAUAUGUCAGCUAUCUAGUGUAUCAAUUCCAAUAAAAUUGCAAGAUGCUUUGUCUAACCCUAAGUGGGUUAAUGCCAUGAAAGUUAAGAUGGAAGCUUUGGAAAAGAAUUCUACUUAGGAUUUGGUUCCGUUACCAAACGGGAAGAAAGUCGUUUGAUGUAGAUGGUUGUUUACUAUUAAGCACAAAGCAUAUGGUUCUAUUGACUGGUAUAAAGCCAUAUUAGUUGCUAAGGGUUAUACUCAAACCUAUGGGGUGGACUAUCAGGAGACCUUUACUCCUGUUGCCACACUUAAUACUGUGCGUGUUCUUUUGUCCUUAGCAGUAAACCAGGAUUGGCCUCUGUUGCAGUUUGAUGUUAAGAAUGCUUUCCUUCAUGGUGAUCUUAAGGAAUAAGUGUAUAUGGAUCUCCCACCUGGUAUUGGAACAUCUCCUGGAAAAGGUGUUGUAUACAGGUUACAAAAGGCCUUAUAUGGUUUGAAACAAUCUCCUAGAGCGUGGUUUUUGAGGUUUACAAGUUCAAUGAAGAAGUUUGGGUAUAUCCACAGUCAUUCAGAUCAUACUUUGUUUCUAAAGCGACAAAAUGGUAAGCUAACUACAUUGAUUAUAUAUGUUGAUGACAUGAUAGUGACUGGUGAUGAUCAGAAUGAGGAGAUACAACGCCUUCAAAAGUACCUAGCUACUGAGUUUGAGAUGAAAGAAUUAUGUGAAUUGAAGUAUUUUUUUGGAAUCGAGGUUGCACGAUCUAAGCAUGGUAUUUUUCUGUCUCAACGAAAGUAUGUUCUUGAUUUGUUAGCUGAAACAUGUAUGUUAGAUUGCAAACCUGUUGAUACUCUGAUUGAGCAGAAUCAUCGUCUGGGCUUAUUUCCAGAUCAAGUUUCUACUCAUAAGGAACAAUAUCAGAGGCUUGUGGGGAGAUUAAUUUAUUUGUCUCACACUCGCCCUGACAUUGCUUAUGCAGUUAAUGUGGUAAGUCAGUUUAUGCACUCACCUAGUGAAGCUCAUAUGGAUGAAGUAACCCGUAUUUUGAGGUACUUGAAGAUGGCUCUUGGCAGAGGCUUGGUUUUCUCCAAGAAUGGUCAUUUGAAUAUCGAAGGGUAUACAGAUGCAGAUUGGGCAGGUUCUAUCACUAAUCGGCGAUUUACAUCUGGAUACUUUACGUUUGUAGGUGGUAAUUUAGUUACUUGGAGAAGCAAGAAACAAAAAGUGGUGGCUAGGUCAAGCACAGAAGCUGAGUUUCGUGAUAUGUCUCAUGGUGUAUGUGAGUUGUUGUGGUUGAAAAAAUUGUUGAGAGAUCUUGGGUCUAAACCCAAAGGUGCUAUGAAACUUCAUUGUGAUAACAAGGCUGCUAUUGAGAUUGCUCAUAAUCCAGUGCAACAUGAUCGAACAAAACAUGUGGAGAUUGAUCGACAUUUCAUUAAGGAAAAAUUGGAUGCUAGAAUUAUUAUGUUUCCGUUUGUGAGAUAUGAAGAUCAACUUAUUGAUGCUCUUACUAAGGCUGUGUCUAAUAGUGUGUUUUCCAACUCGCUUGACAAGUUGGACAUGCGUGACAUCUUUGCACCAACUUGAGGGGGAGUAUUGCGAGUUAUACAUUAGUUAAAGUGUAAAUAGUAGUUUAUUGUCCCAUAUUGGUGAAGUACAUAUGUAAUAUCAACUGUAACUCCUAUAUAUACUCCACUUUGAAGAUUAAUGAAUAUAUAAGAAAUUCUCAAAUAUUGUCAUAUAUAUUUUUGGUAUUUACUAUGUUGAGUUUAAUAUUGGUAUUUACCAUGUUUAGUUUAAUAGAGCUAUAUAUAUAUAUAUAUAUAUAUAUAUAUAUAUAUAUAUAUAUUAUAUAUAUAUAUAUAUAUAUUUGUAGAUAACAAUGUUCCUUAAUUUUGUGAGAGAAUAUCUUACUUUGAGGUUAGAUCGAAGUAGAUCAGACGACGGUGCUGACAGAUGGGAAUGUAAGAGAUGAUGACAGAAGAAGAGAAAGCACACUCCCAGCAACGGUAAAGACUCUCCUUAGCCGAUGGCGGGUUGUGCUCUCUCUCUUCUGUCAACAUAUAUGAACUCUAACCUCAUUCCCCAUCUCAUCUAUACACCCUUAAUGCCACAAAACUCAUGCAUUCAUCCCUGCAGAGCAAACCAUCAAUUAAUAGGGUGAGGUAACGCAUUCAGGCUCAUAUAAAUCUGAUAUAUUGUAUACAAUGCAUAUUAGCAUGUCUACUACCCCUUACAUACAUACAUACAUACAUAUACAUAUAUAUACAUAUAUAUAUAUAUAUAUAUAUAUAAGCAUAUCAUAUGUAUAGAUACUGGCGCAGUUGUAGAAGAGGUAUUUAAUGGCACAAACCCGGUUUAGUGCAACUUUCGGUCUCGAAGUCAGAUUUUGGCCCAUGAGUUGCGGGGGACAAACAGUUUGUGCCGUGAAACUCCUCUUCUACUCACACACCAUACUCUGCAUAGAUAUAUGAUUUUAAAUAUCCGUUAAUUCAUUAUUAUAAGCAUAAUUUUUGCUAACAGAUAAAUAAUUAAACAUAAGAACUUGCCUCUAUAUAUAGCCAAAAAUUAACCAUGAUCUGGGAUUUUUUUUUUCAUCAAGCCAAUAAAUAUGUACUGAUCAUGAAACAAACUGAUCAAUAUCAACAUCCAUCACCAUGAAGGGGUAAUUUGUGAGUGAAAUCAAUACUGAAUUUAUAAAAUUUAUAUGUAUAUAUAAUGUGUUCAGAUAUGUAUUUAUAUAUACCUAAUGUAUGCAUAUGCAUCAAAAAUCAGAUUAAAACAAUAUAUCUACUUAUCACAGGAACUACUUCAUACAAAUAAAUAUAAUUUAUCAUGACAGUUUAAUCAAAACACUGGCUAAAAAUUGAGAGAGAGAGAGAGAGAGAGAGAGAGAGAGAGGAGAGUGAGAAUUUUACUCUUAGGGUUCUUCAACUUUUGCUUAGCUGGUCAUCAGAUACGAUUUUCACUGCAGAAACUACUAGUUUCUCUUCACUUUCCAUGAAAGAUAAAGAGGAAAGAAGAAAUAAAGAAGUAGAUAAAAGCAGAGAACAAGUGUGGGAGUGAGAGAUACGUAUAAGCUACAAAUUCUAUACCUCAAUGUAUCAGUUGUUGAUGAAUAGUGUUCAUCUUAUAGGGACCUGGCCGCUGACUAUAACCGGUGACUUGUAGUAUGAUUUAUGACCGUCUAGUGAGCGUAAACUGGUUUCGACACUAGUUUUUAUUUUAUGAUUUAGAUGUUGUAUUAAACAUUAUGGAUAGCCACCGUUUUAAAUAUCAAUAUGCGUGAAAAUAUCAAUAUGCAAAUUUAUAAAAAUGUAGGUGGACACGUCGAUAUCGGUUGCCUUCAUAAAUAUUAAAGAAAUUUGCAAUGUGUGAUAUAUCUCAUUCAGAUUUAGUUGAAAUUAAAAAAAAAUUCAUAAAAUUUCAAAAGUUUGAAAUUUGAAAUGAGUUCCCGCAAAAUAUAUGUAGUGUAUUAGUAAAUAUUGUAGAUAUUUAUUGAUUUUCUUUAUCUUGGUGAUAUAGGAUGAAGUUUGUAUUUUACCCCUUCUAUAUUGAUUCUUAAUUUUUUUUUAAUAUUUCAACGAAAAUAUUGACGAUUUGUAAAUAUUUUAAACACAAGGUAGUAUAUAGGAUUUCAAAUAUAUUCAAACCCAAACGUUACUAUUAUCCGGAAUUAAACUUACAUUUUAAUUAAAAACAGGCUACCUGAUUAACAUAACAAGAUAUAAAAUAACACUUCCUUUUUCUCGAGUCUGCAAGCUUAUCCGUUUGUACAAAUUUGGUGUUAGGACUUGGGAGAUUCUUUUCAAACGUGAUGAAACUUUUCACUGUCAAAGGACUCAAAGUCGUUAAUGGCACCAAUAAAAUUUAAAAUUUAAAAUUGUAUUUAAUAAAGAAGAAAAUGACGUUGAUAAAGAAUAAUAAGACCCGUGGUGUAAGCAACGUCAUAAAUGGGUAACCAAAAAUGGUGGGGGUGGAUGUUGACCGGCUAUUUCAGGUCGGCCGGAUCCAAGAAAGGGUCUUUGUUUCUCUCUCACCUCACCUGACAUCACCCGUGAUAACCGAUAAACUCGUCGCUUUCGCGACUGUGGAGAAUAUCGAGACCGUUGAGUGGUGCCACGUGGAGGACAUGCACGGGUGGUAGGCUGGUGAUUUGGGAUAUGAACAGUGACUACCUUCCUCUCAUGAAUUUUGCAUACUUUAGUUUAUUAUCUUAUUUUCCACGCCGAAACUUUAUAUUAAAAAAAUAAUACAUUUGUCAAAAGUGCACGAUAAAAAUUUUUAAAAUGCAAACAACAGUGUACUAAUUAUUAGAUCGGUGCCAUGCUAAUCUCUAUGAUUUAGUGAAACUCUUCGUAAUACAUUGUUAUUAAUAUACCAAAUCAAAUCAAAAUUUUCAUUUACAAUUCAAACAUAUUACUUUUACCACAUUUUCAUACUAUAUUUGUACCAUCUUUAUAAUAAAAAGGGGAUCUAUAUGUGUCGGUUGGUCCUACUUCUAUUAAAAAGUGGUACGAAUAAUAUGAUAUGAAAAUUAUAGUUAAGUGUAGCAUUAGACUACUUUUGCAGACGUUCGUGGUACUGAUUUUAAUCUUCUACUAUAAUACACCUAAACUUGUUAUUUCAUCAUGUUAUUUAUUUUUAUUUAAAUGAGAAAUAUUAUGUUCGAAUCUCAUGAUUGAUUAUAUUUCCCGACUAAUUACCCAGAUAGUUUAAAUAUCGAUCGUUGUAAUGUCAUUGUCCACCCUCUAAUUCAAAUUAGCAGCAUUAGGGAGGUCCAUUUAAUGGGGUCAUCAGCCAUGACAAGGAGCUUGAAAGAUUAAUAGACUCUGAGCAUCUUUGAUUGGUCAACACUCGUUAGGUCUUAUUCUUGUAGCUAUAAUUGGAGAGAUUUUUCAACAUAUUUGAAAUACGAGACUGUACAUUACAUGACACUGUACAAAUGAAAAGAUACUUGCAAAACUUAAAAUAAAACUUUUGUUUAUAUAUAUAAUGACAUAUUAUGUACCACCCAUGUUUCGAAUAUAUUGAAAAAUUACUCAAACUCAUGUGAAAAUGAAUGUUUUCCCUUUUCAGCCACACGUAAAAUAUAUGGUUCCCAUAAAAAUUCAAAAAUCAAGAGGAAGCCUGCAAUAUUGCUAUCAGAAAGCUCCCCUCAUCAUCUCAGAUGGUCCUGGGGAGAGGAAUCGAUGAAUGGAUCACAACCGUUGGAUCCAUUGAUUGAAAUGUGGGGCCUUCUGCCACGAGACACGUGUUCAUGCCCUAGAGAUGCAGGUGAAGUUCAUGCGCCGAUACAGAAGAAAAAUGAAAAGGCAUGCUGAAAAUAAUUCAGAUAUUUUGAUGCCUGAGAGCGACCGGAGACAUAUAUCCAUUGACGUCACUCGUCUAAUCGAUAUUUCUCAUACGUUAAAAAAGUGAACUAAUCGUUCAUCUUACGUUUAAACCGUGAAUCUGCUUGAUCGUUAUCACAAGUAAUGUAUAAUUUCCAAUUAACCUCAUUUGUGUUCAUAAAAAAGAGUGAAUAAUCGUAAGUGCCAAAGCCUUGAUACAAUGGAUUCAAGGCAAAUGAGAUUUGGAAACAACUGGCAAUAAAUCAAAUCAAUAAUUCAUAUAAGCAUCGGCUAAAAAAAUGCCAUUUUAGUACAGAUAAUUACAUUUCUUUUCUUCAUAAUCUCACGUUCCUAACAGCAUAACAAAAUCUCAGUAAAGUACAGAACCUGCAGAUUGCUUCAAGACAAUGUCACAAUAAGUAGAAACUGUAUGAAUUAGUUUGAAUCACUAAGUCAGCAAAACCUCCAAUCCGGGUACUAAUUAGUUCUGAUUCGAUCGCCUUCAGAAGUAAUUAAAGUGUCUAUGAUCUUGUAAUGUGAGAGACGCCCACGCAACGGAUCAUCUUGCGCAUUAUCUGUGUUACUUCUCAGUUUUUCAGACUUCGAAGCAGGAUUCAUAUCACUUUUCUCAUCGAAGAUCUCUCGUUUUAGGGUCUCUGAUGCUUCCUUGGAUUCAACCAAUUUAGUUUUCCAUUUAAUACCAACUGCCUCAGCCUGAUCUGCAAACAAGACUUUUGCGCUAGCUGAACUGCAGAUUUCUUUGUAAGUUUCAUAAUUAGCAGCUCGGGUGCUUCCACCUUCCAAAAGUCCCGUGAGGGGAUGCAAAACCGAGACUGGACCAUCACUUCUCUCUAAUGUUUCCUUCAACGCCAGAAAUUCAGAGACAAAUUUUUCCUUGCUAAACUGAAUGAAUACUGCAGUUUCAUCCAAGUGGUAGACAGACGUGACAGAGGUCGGGCCAAAGACUUUUGUGAUGCACUCCCUUAUAUCUCGUGCCUUGAGUUUUGAUGGGAAUCCCCAGAUUAAAGCAAUGUUCUCAAACAUAAUCUGCGCGUACCUCUUUUUGUGAUUAUUAUACCCCGAAGACAUUGCUUUCUUCUUGCCGGUGGUUAAAUCAAUAAUGUCUCCAUUACUCCAACUGAGGUAUAAAAGGUUGAUUUGCUUCUGGAGCUUCUCAUUGUGGGGCAACUUUUCAGAUGACAAACAAGCCUGAAAAUCAAUUCCGAGAUGACUGCAUGUCUGAGCAAAGACACAGCCUGUCAUAAAAGCAUCGUAUCCUGCUUCAUGUUUGGCUCCAGAAUUCCAGUUGGAGGACCUGCAAAUAGAUAAUCGUGAUAUGAAAGACUUAUUCCUUUGCUUUUCCUUUCAUUUGUAUAUAAACUGCCAAUUUUAGUUACAUUACUAAAACUAUCUUUCUCCAUAUGUAAUGGUUAUUCUUUUAACCAAUAUGUAAUGGUUAUUCUAUGAGAGAGAGCCACGUGGCAUGCACAAGUAUAUACAUCUCGUAAAGCAAGUAGAAAUAGAAACAAAUUGACAAACUUAUACGAACUUGUUAUCCGACAGAUUUCUAAAGUUGGUUGCAUCUAAAGAAUGUAAUGUGUAAUUAACCCCGGUCAAAAAUGUCAUGCCAACCUAGUCGUUUUCAGACAGAUCUCUAAGUGCCCUACGCCAUUAAUGAAAGUUAAUGAAAAUGCUCUCCUUCAUCUGUCGGGUUUCAACUCUAUAUCUUUUUCCAUUCAAACUGUGACAAUGGAAACCACUGAGACCAACUAAAUGAAUUGAGCACGGCCGAGAUAUCAUUAUGGACAGAGAAUGGAAAAAGCAAACCUCAAAUCAUCCACCUGAACUUCAACUUUGACACACAAUUGGACUUCUGAAUCAGUGCUUUUCUUCCCAAGAGCAAUUUGCGGGCAUAACAAAGCAAAUGCUGACGAAAGUGAUGUUCUGGACUUCUUCAUCCGUUGUUGGAGCACAUUAUCUGUAUUCAACAGUACUUUGGUGUCAAUGAUGUGUGGAAAAUACUUGUUAACAGCAGAGACAAAUUCCUCAGCAGUCGAAGGUAGAGGUCCCAAGAAUUUGUUGUAUAUAUGGGCAAUAUCUGUAUGACAACAAGAAGACAUCUUAGUAAUAUAUAAAAUCAAAUUGACCUUUUAUGAAAGUAACAUCAAUACUCAUACCAAGAAAGCAAUUGUGACCAACAAUCAACUUUUGUUCUGAGGAAAGAAGGUCAAUAACAUGACGAAACCCAACUGCAGCUUGAACUUUCACCUCUGCUUCCCUACGAUGUUCAUCCUUAACCUCUUUCUGCAAAAGAUUGCAUACAGAAAACUAUAAUUCCUCCUGAGGUGUAGAUGAUCAUCACAUAAUAACAAAUACACUGACUUCCUUUGGUGAUAAUUUCUGUUCUCCCUAAUGCACCAACAGCAUUAUGCAAAAUUUAUGCCCAGAUAGUAAUUAUCAUACACACUGCCGUUUGUUUAUUAACGAGAAAUUAACAGUGUUGAGACAUUUUAGUUAAGACUUAGAAGAAGAAGAGAAAGAAGAGUUUCAAUAUCUCUAAUGGUUGUUUCGAUGGCUACGAUAGAAAUCCAGAGAAAACUUGUUGAUUGACUUAUUGGAAUACUAAAAAGUAAAAACAACUCCAGGCCCAAACUCGGACCAUCAAGACCUUUAGAAAGUAAAUCAUUUUCAAUAAGAAAACAACCAAAUUCUAAUAACCGAAAGUCUGAAAACUAUUUCACAAAGUAAACAUCCUAAGUAGUCUUUCACAGUUGAAGAGCAUUUGAAAAUUUCACAUCAUAUAAACUGGAGGACACAAAUUACUUACCAGAAGCAAAUCCCUGUCAUCCUUGGAAUCUGUCCGCACAACUAGUUGCUGUUGACACGACUUUUCACCAUUUACCUGAACAUAAGAAAGAUCUUGGAAAUGCUUUCUCAUGACCUGCAAACGUUAAUUUUAAUAUUCAGCUUAACAAAACCAUGACUAAGAAGAAGAAAAAAUGUUUUUUACGCAUAUAGAGUACAUCUCUGCAUUAUUAUAAAAAGUAAAACAAUACUUUUUUUUUUUUUUCGUACCCAGUGCACAAGGCUCCCGCUUUACGCAGGGUCUGGGAGAGGUGAAUGUUGGCUAGCCUUACCCCCAUUUAUGGAGAGGCUGCUCCCAAGUAUCAAUCAAAUCAUUUGCUUGGCUAAAAAGGUUAAAAUACAAUAAAUAUAUUCACAUCCAAUUUAUGAGAUAUCAUGCAAAAGCAAAUGUGAAUGAUUACAGAAUCAUGAAUGCGAAUAAGAAACACAAACUUGCCAAAAAGAAGACCUAUUAUAGUGUGUCAAGAUACUCGCAGCAUAAAGUGUCAAGAUAACUGCAACAAAAUAUCCAUCCAAUGACUUAAGACUCAGAUCAAAGUCAAAUAAAAGUUGUUGCUUCAUAAUUUCCAAUUUCAGUUCCUUACCAGCCUCAGUGAGCAUUUCACCAAUUUCAAUCUCUUCCUAGAACUUUUAUACUUAUCUAUAACAAAAAUUUCAAAACCCGGUUUCGAGUUACUUUUCCUUGAACAACCAGGGAAAAGGCGAAUAGACAUAGAGUAAGUUUUUGAAUUAUUUGAGGCAAUUACUAAAGAAUACCUAGGAUCAUGUCAUGGAUCACAUGUCCAAGAUUAACUUGUUACAAGUGAGAAUCUUAUGAUAGAUGAUCAAAAUGUAAAAACCAAACCCACCAUUUGAAUCAACCUAAGCUGAUGAGAAGUGAAUCCCUUCAAACUAAGAGCUGGACGCAUCUUGAAGAAAAUGGUUUGUAACUGUUGGGAAUCAUUUGAGUUUUGCUGAAAUUGGAAUCCUCCAUUACUACUUCUCAAGUUCAACAAACCAUCACGCCAUUCAGUGAAUGUGUUCUUCAUCCGUUCAGCAAAGAGAGUGUCAGCAAUCUUGACCACUGGCAUGUGCACAGGUUCUUUCAAGUUUGAACAUCUAGUCAAUAACUCAUCAUCAUAUGUCAAGCUCAAACGUCUCAGUGCCUCACUUUCCUGCCCUCUGGAUAAAUAAGAUAUUCCUGAGAUUGUACAACCAUUUAACUUUACAAACUGAAACCAUCAUAAAAGAAAAGCCAGGGAAGUAACUUUCACACCAGUUACAAAACCUUAACCAUUACUUCAAAAAGAAAUCAAACAAUUUCACUACCUUCAUGUAUGCAGACAUUAAAAUCGAACUGGUAUUUAGCUAAGAAAUCAAUCGAUGUUGUCUGGCAAAGAAACUCAUAAGUGGGGCCUGCAACCGGAAGCUCUUGACGCGGAAAAAUGUAAAAAUUGUGCCUGUCAGCACACCCAUAGUAUUACACAAUAAAAACCACAUAAAAAGUUCAAAACGAAACACCAUCAUUGCACAAACUUAUUCAUCUCGGAAAUUGUGUGCCUUCGCAUUUGCUUCAAACAAUCCUAGACAGCAAACACAUGUAUAAUAUAAUUUACAAACCCGGCAAAGCAACCGAUUUUACGUAAAAAAUUUCAAAAUUUAAAUUUUUUUUCUCCUUUUAAAGUUCAACUUACUACAUUUACCAGAAAAUCCAGUCACAUUUAGCUUUUCAAUCCAAAUAUCAUGAUCAAAGCAAAAGACUCGAACUUUAAAUUUUAUCAGCUAACUAACACGUAAUUGCAAGAGAGAGAAGCAAUUGCCAAUGUUUCAAUAACAAUAAAAUCAAGCAAAAUCCCUAAUUUUUGUUCCUUACUUUCUUCCUCACUUUCUGGGCAGCCAAACAGAGCACAAACAAAAAUCAAGAAUGGAAAAGAAAAAGUCACAUACGGAUGAGCAAUGAAGGAGCGCUUGGAGGAGUCCCAGCGGAAGGGGCAAACUCCGAACUGAAGCACGGCGAACUUCUCGGCCGAGUCCUUGACCUUAAGGUAGCAGACGUCGGCGCGGUCGAAUUCCAGGGAGUCACGCCACGGAGCGCUGGUGAUUCCGGUCAUCUCGAGAUCGAUGGCCACGAAAUCGGCGGCGGCGACAUGGCGGCGCAGGUCGGCGAGGGCCGGCUCGAAGUUGGAUUUGGUCACGUUUUUUAGAGGGAAGGUGGAGGAUUGUUGUUGUACGGACGACGAAGAGGAAGAGGAGUGGGAUAGGGCACGUGAUAUCGCACGUGACAGUGCCCUCACCGGGCGGUGAGUGUUCAUUUUCUGAGCAUUUGCCUGAGCUUUCGGCCCUCGGGGGUUUAUGCAGAGAGUUUUCGACCCAAGGUAGAAGAUGAAAUGAUACCGCCUACGACGUCGUUUCUGCAAUUUUCAAUAAAUCUUUUCCUGGGGGAAUCGGGUCGGGUUAGCCCAACUUGAAAGCUAUAUAGAAAGGCCCAGCCAACCAAGGGAGUUCUGUUUUCUGCCCGGAGAAAUGAUUUUUACGCGUCAUUUUCUCUUUCUUCAAACGUUCACCUGGAAUGUGUAUAUUUUCCUUCUUGUAUGAUUAAGUCAUUUCUUAUUUUGAUUCUGAUUACGAAUUAACAAACGCAUACUUUUUGUGCUUAGAAUUUCUUGUUACGAUGAAACUCAAUGAAACUACACGUUUGAUUUACUUACAUUCAUAAAGCUCGAGUUAAACGAGCGGCUAAUGCGAGGGAACGCUUUGCUAAAGGGUUGGAGAAAUAGAGACGAAUAAUAAAGAGGACUCCCCUGAAAAAUUAACACACUUGAUGAUGACACACAAUCUAAUACAGACGGCUCUAUUAUUGUAUAUAAGACUCACUCGUUGUCUUAUUAAAAAUUGUGUCAGCAGGUGAAUCAAUUUUGUAUGUCUAAUAACAUUAUCUUUAUUCAGUUAGGGACAAAAGUAAGGACCAAGAACAAGCCAUUGCUAGAGCACGUCCAUAUUGAAGGUUCUGAGGUUAAUUUACAAGAAAGGAAUAACUUAUUUUAAUGGCAUACACUUUUUGUGCUCACUUUUUUCAUUGUGAUGAAGGGGAAAAGAUGUUUUGGGAAUAUGUAAAGUAACAAGAAACUUGUGGUUUGGUUGUAGAGAGCUAUACAUAUUUAUUGUCAAAUCUUUUUGUGUUAGGCACAUCUUAUUGACGAACAAUUUUUCGGUGUGUCGGAAAACGGCUCGAUACACUAAGCGUAAUAAUAUAAUUGAAUAUAAAUUUGAAAAAAAAAAGUUGCAACCAAUUGUAUUGAUACUUGACACGCCAAUCGUGCUUCGGACAUUGAAAAAAUUCUCUUAAUUGACGACUAGGACCAGAUAAUGUAUGGCAUGAUUCAUGGAUAUGUAAGUGCAACGUAGACAACACAAAAGUCUAUGUAGGGUUGGAGUAUUUAUAAUUUAAAAAUUCUCUUAGUCCAACUGUUUUGCCAACUUUUAUGUAACUUUCUUCCAUGAAAUGAAUUAUAAAGAAAGAUUUUCAAAGUAUAAAUUUUAUAUAAAACACUUAGAGGGAGUUGGAGAAAAAAAAACUUAAUUAGUUGGUAACUUAGAUGUUUUUUUUCAACUGGUUUUUAGUUGUGAAAUCUUCAGUGUCUUUAUUUAUGUCAUUCUCUAAUUUAUUAUGAAAUAGACUUAAAACUCAAGUGGUAAGACACCUAUUAUUGUGUUUAGUUCCCUCACCUCUUAAUAAAUAAGUCGUAAUUCACUAUUUUUUAAUACAAGUGGUCGGGGCAAAUUUCAAACCUAUAUUUCACACAACACAUCAUGUAUUCUCUCUUUGAAGUUGAUGAAUUACACGAUGGUGCCCUGGGGGAGGUUAAAAUGUCUAUGUGAGUCUUCUAGACUCUCAAAUAGUAGAUUGUCACAGCGAAGCGACCAACUGAUCCCCUUUAAUAAAAGAAACACAAUAAAGUUGAAGAUGAAAGGCUUGACCACAAAACAAUCCACUACUUACAAUGGUAAAUAAUUACUAAUAGUAAUAUUUUUUUUUAACAAGCAAUAGUAUUUACACUAAGGGGUGGGAGUUUGUCAUAAUAAUAUGGUUCAAUUUUACCUUUGAUGAGAAUCGAAUUUAAAACAUCUCAUAUACAAGCGAAAAUAAAUAUUACUAAUUUGAAAUACUAAGUGACACUAAUAGCAAUAUUAUUUACAAUCUUAUAUUUUCAUACUCUAUAUGCACUCAACUUCAUCCUUUUAUUCCUACAAUUGGUCAUCAUUCAACAAAGCCCCACAUGAUGACCCUCCAAAUGUCACCAUUUAGGACGUCCAAAUUGUGUCCAUGUUUCCAAUUUUGCUUGUUUUAUUUCAUCAAAAAAAAAAAAAAAAGCAUAUUUGGGUUCAAUGUUUUGGUUGGUCUUGGAAUAAAGUUGUUAACCCCCGGAAGCUCUUUUCCUUCGCAAUUAAGAAAGUCCCAAAAGUAGAGGGCCGAAACAUGCACGUACAUGCACUACUAGUCACUACUAGCCAUUUUCGAUUUUACCAAGGAAACACACAUCAUUGCUUCUGUUUUCCUUUUUCUUUUUUCUUCCCUCACGUAUCGGAAAGAGAUUUUUCAGUGUAUCAAAAACACAAUUCGGUACAUUAACUGUCAUAAUACAAUAAUUUGAAACUUGAAAAAAAAAUUUCAAUCAAUUGAGCCGUAUUCCUGGCACAUUGAAAAAUUUCUCUAUAGGAUAUAUACCAUUUUCACAAAUGCAAACUUGAUUGACAAUCUCGUUUGAAACUGUUUUUUAUUUUUAUUUUUUUUAACACUUCUAUUCACAAACACUUCUAGUAAAAUUGUUUUUAUUAAAAGCGCAUAAAUAAAAAUACUAAGGGUUAGCUUUUGUUGCCAAACAUAUCGUUAUGUUCUAUCAUCGAAGUUAGGAAUCCAAAAUAUAUAUAAAUUCUUACAAUAAAUCAAUUUUUAUGAAUUUAUUUGGUGGCCAUUUUAUGUGAUAAAUACGAUACAACCAAGUAUAAAUUCGGCCCAAAGAGAUUUAUUGGAGAAACUUAAAUUAGAUACGGGUGAUGUUAGUAAGAAAAUAAGAAACCAACAAAAGUAAAAGAUCAAAACAGAGAACAAAAGAUCAAACACCAUUUUUGGUCUGGAUUUAGCAAAUAUUUACUUAGAAGGAUAUUGUAGCAAAUUUGGAUUCAAACAUUGCUUGGUAAGAAAAAGAAUUAAUAUUGUAAUAUAAUUUAUUUAUUUUCCUGGAUAAUAAUAAAACAUAAUUUAGGAAAAUUAAGCUACUUAACAAGCUGGACAUAAUUACAAUUAUACUUUUUGAACAUCAAACAAGUUAAAUAAUAGAGACAUUAACACAAUAAUCUAGAGUCACAUUCAAUUCAAAUUAUCUUAUUCGUUGUAUCAGGAUUUUCAUGAUAGAUAUGUGUGUUAAGUCAAUGUGUUUGUUUGUCGCAUCCAAUUCAUAAUAGAUGAAUUUUAUAUGUGUUAGACUAAUUAUCUAAAGUACUGUGUCGUUUUGUCUCAUAUAAUUACAUUCUCACCAUGAUAAUAAAAUAGGCCCAAAUGGAGAGCACAAUGUAUAUUUAAUUAUUAUAUUUUAUUUUUUAUGAAAAACAAUUAUUUUAUUUUUAUCUCCUCCCUUUAUCUAUGUCUAUUUUUUUUUUGUUUUUCCGAAUUUUACUAUAAUUUCCUGCCCCCUCUAUAUAUACCACACUCUAGCUUCUUUCUCAGUUAUUCAUUUCUUCUCCAAUUCUCUGCUUCCCUUUCUGUCUCUGUGCGAUCCUCAUCAAAACCCUAAUCUUGAUCGCGAAGAAGCUCAAAUUUCCUCUUAUCACUCUCGAAAAAUCGAAGCUUGACGAUCCGAUCGUCGUCAAACAGCCGCUACAAAACGUUCCUCACUUCAAUUUUAGUUGCCGCAUAAUUUUAAUUUCCCCAAUUCAGUCUCUGCUCUUCGAUCAAUUCUUGGUUUUUUAGCGAUUGAUCGGGUACCAAUUCAAGGCGGUUCUCAAUCGUGCAAUGCUUUCAGUUCCAAUAUGAAGUUAAAGAGAAGGAGGGCGGUUGAAGUGGUCAGUAUAUUUCACCUGUGGAAUCGAUUAGAUUCUUGUAUGCAUACUGCGCAUAAUAUAUAUAUGUAUGUGUUUGUACAUGAUUAAAGUACUGGGUUUUCCCUAUGUUUUGAUUUCGAGAAGAAGUUGAUGGUUCUGGGUUAUGUUCUUUUUCUCUUUUUUUUUUUCUCAUUUCCCAGUGAGUGGCACUUUUGUAUGCAAUUGCUUAUAUAAUUCGUUUUGGGCAUCUAUCAAUUUGAUGUUUUCUUUGGUUGUUUAACUAGGGACUGAUACAAGAUAAGAAAGUUUAAUUUUUUUUACCUUAUUAUUGAAUUGUUUAUAUAAUUCGGAGUACGAAAAUGCAAACAUAUUCAGCUUAUGAAGUGAGGUUUUCAUUCUUGCAUGAGGAUUACAACCAGUACUAGGAAGAUCCUAGAGACAUGAUUAUACAUGAUUAUUCAUGACCAACCCAGUUGACUGUAUUAGUUUCGUUAUUGUUUCUUAGUUCAAAGAGUUAUUUUCUCCAUCGAAUGUCUAUAUGACUUUAUAUGUUUUUGUUGAAAUUGCUAGCAUUGAGAGAGAGAGAGAGAGAGAGAGAGAGAGAGAGAGAGAGAGAAGAAGAGGAGGGGGUGGAGGUUUGGUCGGUUCGUCAGUCUGUUUAUCAGUGUGUUAACGUUCAUGGAGCAAAUGUCAUGCAUGACAGAUUAUUUUGUCGAAAAAGAAGUUUUAAUCUUUUUAUAAGGAGGCAAUAUCUAGAUGGAACAAGAUUAAUUGGUUUUGACAUUUAUGCUUUAAUGUUUUGUAGAAAAUGUGUGGAAACUGGAUAAUUGUUACAGCAAGGUGAAGUUAGGAGUUCGUCGUUUUCUUUAAGACUUUCGCUAUGCAUUAAACAUGUGUGAAGUUAGGAGUUCGUUCGCUAUGCAUUAAACAUGUGUGAAGUUAGGAGUUCGUUGUUUUCUUUAAGACUUUUCUAUGCAUUAAAAUAUGUGGGACUUAGAUGUAUGAAUUGUUUUCAAGUUAUAAAUUUAGUACAUUCACAUCACACAGAAUAAAAUUUUGCUCAAACGGAUACUGCGCUUAGCUAAAAGUGUGAGAUGAAAUGGUGAGUGCGUGAAUGAUCUUAGUUCCUUAUAUGCAUCUCUUUGAAUAUGUCACUCUUAAGAUUUUCAGUAAUUAAAUUUUAUUAAGUGAACUUAACCAUAUUAUGUUAAGGUUCAUUAAGGUCAAUCCAAGCCACCUCAAUCCUUUCUUUAAAGGUACCAGACAAGUGUGGCACUAUUAACAACAUCUAUUAACAACAUUUUAACUUGUGUGCUUCUUGAAACUUUUUGACAUUAGUUUCAAUGUUGUUUAUUUCCUGUUAGUAGUAUGGAGACUUCUAACAAAGUGAUAGGGGGUAAUGUGUGUUAAAACAAAUUAUCUCUAGGAUAUGGUCUUGUUUGCACUAUGUUGUGUGUACCCUUCUCAUUGUUUGCACACCUUGAACAUCCCUUAUUGCACUUGAAGAACUUAUGUUUACAAAUAAGUCAUCUAUUUAUUGUUUAUUUGUUGUCUCUGUGGUACUGGGUACUAAUUUUAUAUAAAAGCAAUUUGGCGAGUCUGCAAAGUACUAACAACUAUUUGUUUGGUCUUGUUUUGUUUCAGCCCCCAAAAAUUAGAUCCUUCAUCAAUAGUGUCACUGCCGUUCCCUUUGAGAAUAUAGAGGAACCUCUGAAAGGUUUCAUCUGGGAGUUCGAUAAGGUGAUUUUAUUACCUUUAACUGUUACAUUAAUACAGUUAUUUACAUGCAAUAUGAUUUAUAUGCUUUUAUUUCUGGUGCAGGGAGAUUUCCAUCAUUGGGUUGAUCUUUUCAACCAUUUUGAUUCAUUUUUUGAGAAGCACAUAAAAUCCAGGAAGGAUUUGCAGGUUGAUGAUAAUUUUCUAGACACUGAUCCUCCUUUUCCGAGAGAAGCUGUUCUUCAAGUUCUCCGUGUAAUAAGGAUAAUUUUGGAGAAUUGCACAAAUAAGCACUUCUACAGUUCUUAUGAGGUAAAAUUUCCAUCAUUCACCUCUCCGUCGUUGGUGUGUAAUUUUCAGUUGUUUAUUAUUAGUUAGUUUUUAUUCCUUCUAGAUAUACAAUUAUACCAUUAUUGCUUUUUGGGUAUUGUAUAUGGGAUGAAGGCUUAUUUUUAGCUGGGUUGUGAUAAUUAACAACUCUGAUUAUUGUGCAUUUGAUUGUGUUAAUUUUUAUUCUUUACAUCAGUCAAUUUCAUUUAUUUUCAAUUCCUCCUUUUCCCAUUCAUUAGUUUUAUGUCUUUGUUUCAUAUGUUAUUGCAGCAGCAUCUUUCAUCUCUUCUUGCUUGCACUCAUGCGGAUGUGGUUGAGGGUUGCCUGCAGACAUUGGCUGCAUUUUUAAAGAAAACAGUUGGAAAGUAUUCCAUUAGGGAUGCUGCACUAAAUUCAAAGUUAUUCGCUCUUGCACAAGGUUGGGGGGGAAAAGAAGAGGGUCUUGGAUUAAUUGCUAGUGCAAUACAGAAUGGUUGUGACCCUGUUGCUUACGAGUUAGGCUGCACCCUUCAUUUUGAGUUCUAUGCAUCAAAUGAUUCAACAGGUGACAUCCCUGCCAACCAAGGUUUACAAAUCAUUCACUUACCCAACAUCAAUACUCAUCCAGAGACGGAUCUUGAGCUUUUGUGUAAGUUAAUUGCCGAGUACAAAGUACCCUCUAGCUUAAGAUUUUCUUUAUUGACAAGAUUGCGGUUUGCAAGGGCUUUUGGCUCUGUAGCUACUCGGCAGCAGUAUGCAUGCAUCCGCUUGUAUGCCUUCAUAGUUCUUGUUCAAGCAAAUAGUGAUGCUGACGACCUUGUUUCUUUCUUCAAUGCUGAACCUGAGUUUAUCAAUGAAUUAGUGUCAUUGUUGAGCUUUGAGGAUGUGGUUCCUGAGAAAAUUCGAAUUCUCUGUCUUCUUUCACUGGUUGCUCUUUGUCAAGAUCGAUCCCGGCAGCCUACUGUUUUAACUGCUGUCACAUCUGGUGGGCAUCGUGGAAUCCUGUCCAGUCUCAUGCAGAAGGCCAUUGAUUUUGUCACCAAAGAUACAUCAAAGUGGUCUGUUGUUUUUGCUGAGGCUCUAUUGUCUCUUGUCACAGUUUUGGUGUCAUCAUCAUCAGGUUGUUCAGCCAUGCGUGAAGCUGGUUUUAUUCCCACCCUUCUGCCUUUGCUUAAAGAUACAGACCCGCAACACCUUCAUUUGGUCAGCACAUCUGUGCACAUUUUAGAAGCUUUUAUGGAUUACAGUAAUCCUGCUGCUGCAUUGUUUCGGGAUUUGGGUGGUUUAGACGAUACAAUCUCUCGCCUACAGGUGGAAGUGUCUCAUGUAGAAAAUGGCUCAAAGCAUGAAGAUGAUGAUUCUGACAUCAUUGGGAGUAGUGCACAAGUAGCUGUAGGAACUUCCACAGAGCUAGACAGCAUGCAGCCUUUGUAUUCAGAACCACUGGUUUCAUAUCACAGACGAUUGCUUAUGAAAGCUCUAUUGCGUGCUAUAUCCCUGGGGACUUAUGCCCCUGGAAAUACUGCUCGUGUUUAUGGCUCAGAGGAGAGUCUAUUGCCACAAUGCUUAUGCAUAAUAUUUAAAAGGGCAAAGGAUUUUGGUGGUGGGGUAUUCUCACUUGCGGCAACUGUCAUGAGUGAUCUAAUACACAAAGAUCCUACCUGUUUUCCAGUUUUAGAUGCAGCAGGCCUUCCUUCUGCCUUCUUGGAUGCUAUAAUGGAUGGUGUUCUUUGCUCUGCAGAAGCCAUUACAUGCAUACCACAGUGUCUGGAUGCCCUAUGUUUAAAUACUACUAAUGGUCUUCAGGCUGUGAAAGAUCGCAAUGCUUUGAGGUGCUUUGUGAAGAUAUUUACUUCAAGAACUUAUCUGAAGGCCCUGACCAGUGACACACCAGGUUCGUUAUCUAGUGGAUUGGAUGAGUUAAUGCGCCACGCUUCCUCAUUGCGUGGGCCUGGAGUGGAUAUGCUGAUUGAGAUCUUAAAUGCCAUUUCAAAAAUUGGACAUGGGGUUGAUGCUUCGUACAUGUCAAUUGAUCCUUUGGGCUCUUCUACUCCUGUUCCCAUGGAAACAGAUGGAGAAGAGAGGAAUUUGGUCAUGUCUGAUAAUGGGGAAUCAUCCAAAACGGAGAGUUCAGAGCAGACUGUGGAACCACCUUCUGAUUCUUCAGUGGGGAAUGUUGAAUUAUUUCUUCCUGAUUGUGUGAGCAAUGUUGCACGUCUUCUUGAAACAAUACUUCAGAAUGGUGACACAUGUCGUAUAUUUGUGGAGAAGAAGGGGGUUGAAGCUGUCCUGCAGUUAUUUACCUUGCCUUUGAUGCCUCUUUCUGUUUCAGUUGGCCAGAGUAUUUCUGUCGCAUUUAAGAACUUCUCACCACAACAUUCUGCUUCUUUGGCUCGGGCAGUAUGUUCAUUCUUGAGAGAGCAUCUGAAAUCAACAAAUGAACUUUUAGUUUCAGUUGGAGGGACUCAACUUGCUUUGGUGGAAUCUGUGAAGCAAACUCAAGUUUUGAGACAUCUUUCCAGUCUUGAAGCUAUUCUGUCUCUGUCUAAUGUUCUGUUGAAAGGGACGACUACUGUGGUGUCUGAACUGGGUGCAGCUGAUGCUGAUGUAUUGAAAGAUCUCGGGAGCACCUACCGGGAAAUAAUUUGGCAAAUCUCUCUGUGCAAUGAUGUCAAGUCAGAUGAGAAGAUCAAUGCUGAACAAGAACCAGAGAGUGCUGAGGCAGCUCCGACUAAUGCUUCUGGAAGGGAGAGUGAUGAUGAUGCAAAUAUUCCAAUGGUGAGAUAUAUGAACCCAGUUUCUAUCAGGAAUCAGCCCUUGUGGGGUGGAGAACGUGAGUUUCUAUCAGUUGUUCGCUCUGGUGAAGGUUUGCACCGUCGUAGUCGUCAUGGUUUUACACGCAUAAGGGGUGGAAGGACAGGCCGGCAUUUGGAGGCUUUAAAUGUUGAUUCUGAAUCUUCCUCAACGGUAUCAGAGACAUCUACUUCCCAAGAUUUGAAAAAGAAAAGUCCUGAUGUUCUUGUGAUAGAAAUCCUCAACAAGCUGGCUUCCACACUGCGUUCCUUCUUCACAGCUCUUGUCAAGGGAUUCACAUCACCAAAUCGGCGUAGAGUCGACUCUGGGUCGUUGAGUUUGGUUUCCAAGACUCUUGGAACUGCCCUAGCUAAAAUAUUUCUCGAGUCUCUUAGCUUCUCUAGGCAUUCUACAUCAACUGGGCUCGAUACAUCACUGUCAGUCAAGUGUCGAUAUCUUGGCAAAGUUGUCGAUGAUAUGGUAUCACUUACAUUUGACAGCAGGCGACGUACUUGUUAUACUGCAACAGUAAAUAAUUUCUAUGUCCAUGGUACUUUUAAGGAGCUGCUUACAACAUUUGAAGCUACUAGUCAGUUGUUGUGGACACUACCAUACUCCGUGUCAACGUCAGGUAUUGAUCCCGAAAGGACAGGUGAAGGAAGUAAACUGUCCCACAGUUCGUGGCUGCUUGAUACUUUACAGAGCUAUUGCCGUGUGCUCGAGUAUUUUGUUAAUUCUUCUUUACUCUUAUCCACAACCUCUGCUUCUCAAGCACAGUUGCUUGUUCAGCAGCCAGUUGCAGUUGGUUUGUCAAUUGGGCUUUUCCCUGUGCCAAGGGACCCAGAAGUUUUUAUUCGUAUGCUGCAAUCUCAAGUUCUUGAUGUGAUACUUCCUGUCUGGAACCACCCUUUGUUUCCAAAUUGUAGUCCAGGUUUCAUUGCUUCUAUUGUCUCGCUUGUCAUGCAUGUAUAUUCUGGUGUUGGAGAUGUGAAGCAGAAUCGCAGUGGCAUUGCUGGAAGUACAAACCAGCGAUUCAUGCCCCCACCACUUGAUGAAAAUACUAUUACCACCAUUGUUGAGAUGGGUUUUCCAAGGGCUAGGGCAGAGGAAGCUCUUAGGCGGGUGGGAACAAAUAGCGUUGAAAUGGCCAUGGAGUGGCUCUUUAGUCAUCCUGAGGAUCCUGUGCAGGAUGAUGAUGAACUGGCUCGAGCACUUGCUCUUUCACUGGGAAAUUCAUCAGAUGCAUCUAAAGCUGAGAGUGUUGAAAAGCCUGUUGAUGUGCCGGCAGAAGAGGGUUGUGUGAAAGCUCCUCCUGUUGAUGAUGUCCUUGCAGCGUCGGUUAAAUUACUUCAAAGUAAUGAUACCAUGGCAUUCCCUUUGACAGAUUGCUUGUGACACUUAGCAACCAGAACAAAGGGGAAGACCGUCCAAGAGUUGUAUCUUAUCUUACUCAGCAGCUAAAGAAUUGUCCAUUGGAUUUUUCUAAUGAUACCAGUGCGUUGAGUAUGGUGUCACAUGUUAUUGCAUUACUUCUUUCUGAGGAUGGAAGCACAAGGGAAGUCGCUGCACAGUAUGGUAUUGUGACUACUGCAACAGAUAUCUUGAUGAACUUUAAGGGCAAAGAUGAGUCAGGCAAUGAGCUUCUUGUCCCAAAAUGUAUCAGUGCUCUACUGCUUAUUUUGGAUAACAUGUUGCAAUCAAGGUCCAGAAUUUCUGAAAAGGUUGAAGAUACUCAGACAGGGCCUUUACCUGAAUUAUCUGGAGAGCGUAUGUCAAUCCCUGCAUCAGAUACAGAGAAAAAACAGCUUAUGGAUGCCUAUGAAAAGGAUUCUGCCACAGCAUUUGAGAAAAUAUUGGGGAAAUCUACUGGUUAUUUGACUAUGGAAGAGAGUCAUAAAGUGCUAGCAGUUGCUUGUGACUUGAUAAAGCAGCAUGUCCCAGCAAUGAUCAUGCAGGCUGUUUUACAAUUAUGUGCUCGCUUGACAAAAACUCAUGCUCUAGCUUUACAAUUCCUUGAAAAUGGAGGCUUGGCAGCUCUAUUUGGCCUUCCAAGAAGUUGUUUUUUCCCGGGAUAUGAUACUGUUGCAUCUGCUAUUGUUCGCCAUCUCCUUGAAGAUCCACAAACACUGCAAACAGCAAUGGAAUUGGAGAUUCGCCAAGCCCUGAGUGGAAACAGGCAUGGUGGGCGCACUUCUGCACGAACGUUCUUGACAUCAAUGGCACCUGUAAUCUCUAGAGAUCCAGUAGUUUUUAUGAAAGCUGCUUCUGCAGUUUGUCAGUUGGAGACAUCAGGAGGUAGAACCUUUGUUCUGUUAUUGAAGGAAAAGAGAAGGAAAAGGAAAAAUCUAAAGCAGUAGGUGAUGAGGCUGGAUUAUCUUCCAAUGAGUGUGUACGGAUUUCUGAAAAUAAGAUACAUGAUGGAUCUGGUAAAUGCGCAAAAAGUCACAAGAAGAUCCCUGCCAAUCUCACUCAAGUGAUAGAUCAGCUUCUUGAAAUAGUCUUCAAAUACCAUUUCCCAAAUAGCCAGGAAGACUAUUCGAAUAACCCAUCUGCUAUGGAAGUAGAUGAACCCUCUAUGAAGGUGAAGGGUAAAUCAAAGGUUGACGAGACAAGGAAAGUGGAGUCAGAAUCUGAAAGAUCUGCAGGGUUGGCUAAAGUUACCUUUGUUCUCAAAUUACUGAGUGAUAUCCUUCUUAUGUAUGUACAUGCAGUUGGGGUUAUACUUAAACGGGAUUUAGAAAUGACUCAGUUGCGGGGAUCUAAUCAAACAGAUGGUCUUGGACAUGGUGGUAUACUUCACCAUGUAAUUCAUCGAUUGCUUCCACGCACCAUUGAUAAAUCUGCUGGACCUGAUGAAUGGAGAGACAAACUGUCUGAAAAAGCUUCUUGGUUCCUGGUAGUUCUGUGUGGUCGUUCCAGUGAAGGGCGCAGACGAGUAAUUAGUGAACUUGUAAAGGCUUUAUCCUCGUUUUCGAAUUUGGGAUGUACUUCCACCAAGAGCAUCUUAUUACCGGAUAAAAGCGUUUAUGCUUUUGUUGAUUUGGUGUAUUCAAUUUUGUCAAAAAAUUCAUCAUCCAGCAACUUACCUGGUUCUGGGUUUUCACCAGACAUAGCAAAAAGCAUGAUAGAUGGGGGAAUGAUUCAGUGUCUGACUGGUAUCCUCCGGGUGAUUGACUUAGACCAUCCUGAUGCUCCCAAAACUGUGAAUUUGAUACUCAAGACGUUAGAAAGCCUAACAAGGGCUGCUAAUGCUAGUGAGCAAUACUUUAAAUCUGAUGAGACGAGCAAGAAAAAAUCCACAGGGUUGAAUGGAAGUUCUGACGAUCAGGUAACUGCCCCAUCAGCUGAUACUACUGUGGGGGAUAAUCAGAAUGCAAGCAGUGAACAGGGUGUGAGAGACGUCGUACAGGUUGUUCAAGGGGAUCAAGGAAUUUCUGAAAGUGAAGGUAAUCCUGAAGUAAAUCUGAUCCAGUUGGUGGAACAAGAUAUGAGGAUAGAAGUUGAAGGACCAAUAGCUUCUAAUCCACCCAUGGAGCUUGGGAUGGAUUUCAUGCGUGAGGAGAUGGAUGAAGGUAAUGUACUACACAACACUGAUCAAAUUGAGAUGUCUUUUCGUGUUGAGAAUAGGACAGAUGAUGACAUGGCUGAUUUAGAAAACGACAUGGGUGAUGAUGGUGAGGAUGACGACGAGGGAGAGGACAUGGCUGAUUUAGAAAAUGACAUGGGUGAUGAUGGUGAGGAUGAUGAGGAUGAUGAUGAGGGAGAGGAUGAGGAUGAGGAUAUAGCAGAGGGCGGUGGUGGCAUGAUGUCACUUGCUGAUACUGAUGUGGAAGACCAUGAUGAUACCGGCUUGGGAGAUGAUUACAAUGAUGGGAUGAUUGAUGAAGAUGAUGAUGAUUUUCAUGAGAAUCGUGUCAUAGAAGUGAGAUGGAGAGAAGCCCUUGAUGGGCUUGAUCAUUUGCAGGUACUUGAACAACCUGGAGCUGGAAGUGGUCUCAUUGAUGUUGCUGCUGAACCUUUUGAAGGUGUUAAUGUGGAUGACUUGUUUGGUCUGAGAAGGCCGAUAGGUUUUGAUCGCCGCCGUCAGACAAGUAGGUCUUCCUUUGAGCGAUCUGUUGCAGAAGCAAAUGGAUUUCAACAUCCUCUCCUUUUAAGACCAUCCCAGUCUGGGGAUUUGGUCUCAAUGUGGUCAGCAGGUGGAAAUUCAUCCAGGGAUUUAGAAGCUCUGUCAUCAGGGAGCUUUGAUGUUGCUCAUUUCUACAUGUUUGAUGCUCCUGUUCUACCUUAUGAUCACGUACCAAGCAAUCUUUUUGGUGACCGGUUGAGUGGUGCUGCACCCCCACCAUUGACUGAUUAUUCAGUAGGUAUGGACUCAUUGCAGUUAUCGGGGAGAAGAGGGCCAGGUGAUGGUCGAUGGACUGAUGAUGGCCAGCCUCAAGCAGGUCCUCAAGCUGCUGCUAUUGCACAAGCAGUGGAGGAACACUUUAUAUCGCAAUUACGCAGUCUUGCUCCAGCUGAUAUCCCUGCUGAACGACAGUCCCAGAACUCAGGAGUGCAGGAGAAACAGCCAGAUCUCCCUCCUUUAAGUGAUAGUCAAGUAGCAGGGGAGUGCAAUGACAGCCAUGAAAGAAAUGAAGAUCAGCGUCAAGAUGGGGUUGAUGAAACAACACAUCAAGUUAACUCAAGUUCUGACACUGCUCCCUGUCAAGAACAAGUCAAUCCAGAAUCUAUAGUCGAAGGUGCAGGGGAGUUCUUACAAGCACCUGAACCAAUGUCAAUUAUGCCACCUUCAACGAACAGUACACCAAGCGAUAGCAUGGACAUUGGUGAUGGAAAUGGUGCUGCUGGUGAGCAAGUAGGGUCAGUGCCAGGUUCUGUCAACUCGUCUGCAGAAAUAAGUGCUGGUUUACAAUGUGAAGGGGGUUCUGUGCCUUCUAAUCCCCAUGAUGUUACUGUGGAGGCUGUGGGUUGUGAUAGAUCCUCAAGAGCAGAGGGUCAGGUUGGUAAUGUGUCGGCAAGUUUGGGUUUCAAUGUGCCUAAUCCAGGUGAUUCUCAUACUUCUUUGGUGCCAACAAAUAUUGACGUUGAUAUGAAUUACAUUGGUGAAAUAAAUGAAUUGGCCAUCCCAUGCCUACUUUUGAAAAUCGUACAGUUGAACCAUCAAGGGAAAACACAACUGUUGCUCCAGAAGCUAAUCAGGCUGAACAAGAUUUGAAUAAUGAGGCUGCUGGUGCUAAUACAAUUGAUCCGACCUUCUUGGAUGCUUUACCUGAAUAUUUGAGGGCCGAAGUUCUUGCUUCACAACAAGCUCAGCCGGUUCAACCUCCAUCUUAUGCACCACCUUCUGCAGACGACAUUGAUCCUGAGUUUUUAGCAGCCCUUCCUCCAGAUAUCCAAGAAGAAGUUUUGGCUCAACAAAGAGCACAAAGGGUUGCACAUCAGGCUGAGGGACCAGUUGACAUGGACAACGCUUCAAUAAUUGCUACUUUUCCUGCUGAUUUACGUGAAGAGGUUUUCAUCUGGAACUGCAUCUUUCAUGACCUUGAUUGUAAUGAUUAUUUGUCUUAUAUAUGUAAUUUUUCUCUUGGUCCAGGUACUUUUAACUUCUUCAGAAGCAGUUCUGUCUGGAUUGCCUUCUCCAUUGCUCGCUGAAGCCCAAAUGCUAAGAGACCGAGCAAUGAGUCAUUAUCAGGCUCGCAGCCUUUUUGGAACCAGCCAGAGGCUAAACAACCGGAGAAAUGGAUUGGGUUUUGAUCGGCAGACGGUGAUGGACAGAGGUGUUGGAGUCACAAUUGGCCGGAGGGCAGUUUCUGCUCUUGCAGACAGCUUAAAGGUUAAGGAAAUCGAAGGAGAGCCACUUCUGGAUGCCGAUGAAUUGAAAGCCUUAAUUAGGCUAUUACGAUUAGCGCAGGUAAAUUCAUAUUCCAAUUAAUGGUAAUUGGAGUGUUUAUAACUGGUUAUGAAAGUUUUAUGUUUCGUUGAAAUAUGAAUAUUAGGUUUUCUUUUUAAAAAAUCCAUAUAUGGUUAGAAAGUUUGGAGGUUUGAACAAAUUUAUGUGUACUAUAUAAGUGUUAAAGCUCCUGUUGAUGGGAAUAAUAAUGUGUAAAAAACGUCAUAUGAAGAAUUUUCGGUUGGCUGAAGAGUAGAAAACCAAGUGGGUUAUAUUUUCUCAAUUUGUGCUUUAAAAGACCUCAAAAUAACGCAUUAUUUGAAAAUCGCAUGUACACAUACAUGUACUACUUUUUUUUUUUUUUUUUCUACAUACUGUCACAUAAAAUCAUUCAUUAAAUGACUAUCUUCUGCUAACAUGAUCCAUUUAUUUUUUUGUGUGUGGUUAGCCCCUGGGCAAAGGACUCUUGCAGAGGCUCUUGUUGAACUUAUGUACCCAUAGCGUUACACGAGCAAUCUUAGUUCGUCAUUUGCUUGAUAUGAUCAAACCUGAGGCUGAGGGCUCAGUCGGUGGAUUAGCAGCUAUUAAUGCUCAAAGGCUUUACGGUUGCAAUUCAAAUGUUGUUUAUGGUCGAUCACAGUUGUUAGAUGGUAAGUCAUCUGACGCUCCAACAGUUAUCUGCAAUACAUUUGUUUCUUCUAUUUAUGGACUAACAAUUUGUUUGCUUUAUAUUCAUUUUCAAUAGGUCUUCCUCCCUUGGUGCUACGUCGAAUUCUUGAGAUCUUGACUUAUUUGGCCACAAAUCAUUCUGCUGUGGCAAAUAUGUUAUUCUUCUUUGAUUUCUCUGGUGUUCCUGAGUCAUUAAGCCCUAUCCAUAUGGAAACCAAGAAGGACAAAGGCAAGGAGAAAAUUGGAGAAGGAGGAUCUUCAUCAAAACCAUCUGGAAACACCCAGGAUGUGGACAUUCCCCUGAUAUUGUUCCUGAAGCUCCUGAACCGACCUCAUUAUGGCACUGCUCAUCUUGAGCAGGUACUACCUACUCUAUGGUUAACCAGUUUAAAAUGACCUCGUGGAGAGAUUAGCUGCUGUUUGUCUAUUCAUUUAAAAGUGUAGUGUGUAAAUCCCUUGGUAGUUGUUAGGUAUCCACAUAUUUAGUACUUCAACUUGAGAGCUUAUAUGAAUUUAAGAUUGGAGUAAUUCAAUUGUUUGUAAUGUUUGACUCGUUAACUAUUCUGGACAAAGGCUAGUACCUGCUCCAUAACUUUAUUUCUCUCCUUAAAAAUUAAGAAAAAAACUAAGUAUAUGGUAGAGAACGUGUGUAUUGCUUGCCGUAUCUCUAGUUGUACAUGUGGAGUCAUAAUCUUGAUUAUUUUAUUGCUGAAGCAUGUCCUACAGCAUGAUCCUUUCAAAAAAAAUUAUAAUUCAGCACCAUCUCAUGUUUUUAAUUUUUUUUUUUUGUGUGCUACAGGUGAUGGGCCUGCUUCAGGUUGUUGUGUAUACUUCAGCUUCAAAAUUAGAGGGCCAGUCUCAAUCUGAGAGGGCAGAUAAGCCUGUUGGUGAAGCUUCAGGAGAUGGUCAAAAGGUUCCUCCUUUGGAAUCAGAAUCUAAUCAGGGAGAGAAGCCUGUUAGUGGUGAAUCAUCAACUUCAGAUGGAAAGAGGAGUACGGAUACAUAUAAUGUUUUCUUGAAGCUGCCAGAAUCUGAUCUACACAAUCUUUGCAGCCUUCUUGGUCGUGAGGGGUAUUAUUAGCUCACUAAUUCUUAUAUGUUCAUUCUUUGAACGUAGAUGCAGUAUUUGUCAGAUUAACUACUCUCUUCUUUGUGCUACUAUAUGAACUGUGUUUUUAUGAGUGUCUAAUCUGAGUCCAUUUACUUGAUUAGGCUUUCAGAUAAACUUUAUAUGCUUGCUGGUGAGGUCUUGAAGAAGUUGGCCUCAGUUGCAGCACCCCAUCGAAAACUAUUUGUCUCAGCGCUGUCAGAACUGGCUCAUCGCUUGAGUGCCUCAGCUGUUGGUGAGCUUGUUACUCUCCGGAACACACAUAUGCUGGGUUUGAGUGCCGGAUCAAUGGCUGGGUUAGCAAUCCUACGUGUAUUACAAGCACUUUGCUCUCUCACUUCACCUAGGGCUAGUGAGAAUUCAGGAUUGGAGAAUGAUGCGGAUCAGGAGGAGCAUGCCAUCAUGUGGAAACUAAAUGUUGCACUUGAGCCACUGUGGCUAGAAUUAAGCAACUGUAUAAGUGCGACUGAAACAGCACUGGGUCAGAGUACUUUUUGUCGAACCAUGUCUAUAGUAAAUACUGGGGACCAUGCACAGGGUUCUUCUUCGUCUCCUCUCCCUCCUGGAACCCAGAGACUCCUGCCUUUUAUGGAGGCUUUUUUUGUUCUGUGUGAAAAGCUACAAGAGAACCUCUCUACUAUGCUGCAAGACCAGGCGAAUGUGACUGCAAGAGAAGUCAAAGAGUCCUCUGGAAACUCAGAUCCUUCAACUACCAAGUGCCACAGUUGUGGGGAUUCUCAGAGAAAGCUUGAUGGUGCUAUUACAUUUACAAAGUUCGCUGAGAAGCAUCGCCGGCUUUUAAAUGCUUUUAUCAGGCAGAAUCCAGGUUUGUUGGAGAAAUCCCUUACUAUGAUGCUGAAGGCACCAAGGCUAAUUGAUUUUGAUAACAAAAGAGCAUAUUUCCGGUCAAGAAUUAGGCAGCAGCAUGAGCAACAUCUCUCUGGUCCUCUGAGAAUAAGUGUUCGGCGGGCAUACGUUUUGGAGGAUUCUUAUAAUCAGUUGCGCAUGCGGCCUACUCUGGACAUGAAGGGACGAUUAAAUGUCCAAUUCCAAGGGGAAGAGGGUAUUGAUGCUGGAGGUCUGACACGAGAGUGGUAUCAAUUACUGUCAAGGGUCAUAUUUGACAAGGGGGCAUUGCUUUUCACCACCGUAGGAAACAAUGCAACUUUCCAGCCAAACCCUAAUUCUGUCUACCAGACAGAACAUCUGUCUUAUUUUAAAUUUGUGGGCCGUGUGGUAAUUCUUCUGGACUAUUAUUGACUUUUUGAAACUGACUUUAUAAGCUUCUUCCGUCUGUGUUAGAUUUUUCUUUAACUUUUGCUGCUGUGAUAAUUUAUUCAGGUUGCAAAGGCACUUUUUGAUGGGCAACUUUUGGAUGUUUAUUUCACUCGAUCCUUCUAUAAGCAUAUACUUGGUGUAAAGGUGACUUACCAUGAUAUAGAGGCUGUGGAUCCUGAUUACUACAAGAAUUUAAAGUGGAUGUUAGAGGUUAGCGUGCUUUUGAUCACACUCUGAUUUUUAAGAGUUCAAGGUUGGAUUGGAAUGGGUUUCGUUGUAGGUUUUUAUAUCUUUUUAACUGAUCUAAAAUGUGUCAUAUUCGUUAUUCUGAAAUUCUCUGCAGGAUUAAGACUCAGUUCCUCUAUUGCGUAAGUUUCUUUAAUUUGAUUUUUUUUCUCGUGUCCAGAAUGACGUGAGUGAUAUUCCUGACCUGACGUUUAGCAUGGAUGCGGAUGAAGAAAAGCAUAUCCUUUAUGAGAAAAACCAGGUAUUUGAAUUUAUAUGUUACUUUUAAGUUCUGUUCUUUAUUUUUGAAAGCUUUUGGGUUUUCACGUAGUGUUAUUGUAAAGUCUUUACUUAAAUGCCAAUCUGAUUUUCAUUCAAUGUUAUAACAUUAAAUUGAGCUCGCGGGUUUGACUAAUGUUGUACUUGUUUGUUGUGUUUUCCUUUCUUUAUACCUUCUUGAAAAGGUUACUGAUUAUGAGCUGAAACCUGGAGGAAGAAAUAUUCGGGUUACAGAAGAGACGAAGCACGAGUAUGUUGACCUUGUAGCUGAACAUAUCUUGACAAAUGCUAUCCGACCUCAAAUUACUUCCUUCAUGGAGGGGUUUAAGGAAUUGGUCCCGCGAGAGCUUAUCUCAAUUUUCAAUGACAAGGAGCUUGAGCUACUUAUCAGUGGUCUUCCAGAGAUAGAUUGUGAGUUGCAUUUAAAAUGAGCUUAUUACAUAAUUGAUAUGGUCUUUUGUUUCUCUUGUGAUAUCUGAAUGGUGGCAUUGUCCUUACAGUGGCUGAUUUGAAGGCCAAUACCGAGUACACUGGCUACACAUCAUCAUCUGAUGUUGUUAAAUGGUUCUGGGACGUGGUUGAAAGUUUCGACAAGGAGGACAUGGCAAGACUGCUGCAAUUUGUGACUGGAACAUCAAAGGUAACUGUUUGUACUACAAAAGAAAUAUGAAAAUAGUAUAUAUACUUCUCCAUAUCCGCUGGUUCACGACUAAAAGGGAUUUUGUAUGUGCUUUUGUACUUUCUGAGUGUAUGCGACCCCUCUUUUCCCUUGUCCCAUCCCUUUUUCCCAACAACCCAACCCCUCCCUUUAUAAUGUUCAUAACUUUUUUAAAGGGUCCGUUGAAGUGUGACUUGCGUUGAUUUUACCUUGAUAUCAUUUGUCAAUUUCAUUUCCUUUUUUUCACAGGGUCCGUUGGAAGUGUGACUUGCGUUGAUUUUACCUUGAUAUCAUUUGUCAAUUUCAUUUCCUGUGAACAUGGUUUUUCACAAUGCGCAUGUUGUCUCAUUGAACUUUGCCAUUGUAUAAUGAUUGGAGAUGGCAUGCGUAGCUAAUGAUUUAAAUGUAUGCUUGCAACAUGAUGCAUAUGUGGGGGCAAAUUUUUGUACUCGGUAAAACUAACAUAUUUGUGACUUUCAGGUUCCAUUGGAAGGUUUCAGGGCUUUGCAAGGUAUCUCUGGUCCUCAGAAAUUUCAGAUCCACAAGGCUUAUGGAGCUCCUGACAGGCUACCUUCUGCUCAUACAUGGUUAGUGUAAACAUAAUUUGAAAAAGUUAGUUUCUUUGAAAAAGUCAGUUUCUUUGUCCCCUUCACAUUCUCGUCAAGCUCGAUGUUUCUAAUGUAGUCCUAUGUCUUUUCCAGCUUUAACCAGCUAGACCUUCCUGAGUACACCACCAAAGAACAGCUUCACGAACGAUUGAUACUUGCUAUUCAUGAAGCUAGUGAAGGAUUUGGCUUUGGUUGACAGAAGGAAUCUCAGCAGAUAUUUCCCCAGCAUUCCAGUCAUCGGUCGUAUAGUUAGCAUGUACAUGUCAGUUCGACAUCUUUUUUCUUUCCUUAUUUCGAAAACCUUGGUUAAUCUUUUCUGAAAUCAACUUAAUUGUAAUUCGUUUGUUUCUUUCUUAUUCUCCACCAUUCUUUGCGCAGAUGAAAGAACCCGGUUCCUGAAUUUUGUCUUCCAGUAUUACAGCAACUUCUGAGGAAACCGAUGAUGGAUUUUGUAAAGAAUUCCGAAAGCAUUAUCUAUUGACGGGAGGCCGGCAAGCUUCUCAGGUGACAAUGGAUUGGAAUCUUAGAAAUUCUUUAGCGAAUUCUUUACAUGUCGGAAAAUUGGGGAUUCGGUACAGAUGGACGUGGAUAGAAAAUCUGUUUUGGUGUUCAUAGUAGAUAUCUGUUUUAGAUUAGUCAGUUUUCACUUUCUCCGACCUGAAUGUUUGGUAAUAAGCCUAGGAACAUAUUUAUGUAUAUGUAAUUCCAGAUGGUUUCUUUUGGGUUUCAAUUUAUUUAAAGGCGAGAAGGUGAUUCCAAUUUUGCUCCUUCAAUUUUAUUUGUGCACUCGGACAUGCUGACAUGCCCUCUUGUUCGUGGUUCUUGCGAGAGAAACUCGUCUGGCUUUGGCGGUAUCCUAAGCCAAACCGUGUUUUGUCAUUUGCUAAUGGCAAUGCAUGAUUAGCUUAGGAUACUGUAACAAUUACAUCCUCUUUCCUGAAAGUCCUCGUGAUUUGCCGGAUUCGUAACCAUUUUUCGACAAUGCAGUACGCAAAGGGGAGUAUUCUGGCCAAUUUGCCUGACUCGCGUAUGCACGACACCAUCCGUGUAGCCUUUUUGCCAUGAUUUUCUGUAAUUUUUCUUUGAACGUUCUAGAAAAUUAUGCUUAAAAAAGCUCCACACUUGAAAAUUUAUUAGUUUUCACGAAUGGAGCAAAAAUGCUUGAUUUUCCGUUGACAUUUGCUUUGAAAUACAGAGAAAAGAAGGGAUAAGAAAGGAAGGGUUUGUUCGACAUUGCCUUUGGAUGCUUUAGGCAACGUACAAUGUGGUUAGGAUUAUAAAAACAUUUUUUUAGUACUUUUGGGACAAGGUUCUUCGAUAAGUACUUCUAAAUGCUGUUCCACAAGAAAUUGGAUUCUUCAUGAAGAAAAUGGAAGUGUUGUUGCAUUCUCGUUUUCACCUCUACACUUCCACGUCCACCCCACCUCAGCCGUACAAUUGAUCCUAAUGACCAGUUUGGCACUCACCCCCUCCUACUCCACUGUGUUCCUAGAGCUAUUCUUUCCAGAAACGUCCCCAGUGAUCGCAAAGACGAGCGAAGGGAUGAGCAUUACUAUCUGCAUUAUGACAACCAUGCUUUUGAUUUGUACUGCAAGCUAGAAUUUCCAAUUGUUCCCAAGAUGAACGAAUCAAUUCGCGUGGUUGGCAUCUGUAAUGGGCUGGUGUUCCUUGCAGUUGCAGAUGAUACACUCACUUUGGCUAACACCUUCAUAAUAUUCAACCCAUCUAUGAGAAAGUCGGUGACCCUUCCUAAGCCGACAAUUGGUCGGUACCGUACUUGUAUUGGUUUUGGGUUUGACGCUGUGACUAAUGACUACAAAGUUGUGAGAUUUGUCACUGAUCGUCCGAAUACUUUUCAUGAGGAUUAUUCACUUGCUGGAGGCUCAUGGAGUAAUCCUCGUUCUUUGGAUCAUGUGUGCGAAGUUAUGGAUCCUCUCAAAUCCCAAGCUUUUGUAAAUGGGGCGAUUCACUGGGGGGCAUGGCGCCGCUUAACAAACAGUUAUGAAUAUAUCAUUUUGGCAUUUGACGUGGGCAGCAAUUCAUUUCACAGGAUCAUGGUGCCAAUGAGUUUCAGUAACUCAUGGACCGCGCAAUUGUCUGUUUCAGGUGACGGGAAAUCCAUUGCUCUGUUCCAGCCUUAUUUCAUCUGUAUUGGAGAGCCUCGUCUUAUUGUGAGUUCUUAUCCUCCGUUAUUGACUGUUUCGUUUUUGUUGUAUUUCCUCACUCACUCUGUGUCUACGAAAUUGGCAGCCGGGGAAGUGAAGUUUGAAGCAAUGGUUAGCAGUUUGCCCAAGGAAAUCGUACAUGAUAUCGACUACCUCCUAAAGCUUUGAUCAGGUGCACCUCGGUGUGCAAGCCUUGGAACUCCACGAUAAAAAAAACCCCCAGCUUUAUUCGCACCCAUCUCAGUCGUAACAUCACUCUUAAUAACCAGCUUGGCACCCACCUCCUCCUUCUGCACUGUGUUCGCGGAGACAAUCCAGUGCAGCAGAAUUAAUAUUUGCAUUAUGAUAACCCUGGUUUUGAUGAGUACUGCAAGCUACAAUUUCCAAUUGUUCCCAAGCGCAAUAGAUUCCUUCGCGUGGUCGGCAUUUGUAAUGGGUUGGUCUUCCUUGCAGAUGACAGACUCCAUUUAGGUUACACCUUCAUAAUAUUCAACCCGUCGAUAAGAAAGUCAGUGACCCUUCCAGAGCCUCACCUUGCCUUCGACACAAUUGGCCCGUAUUCCGCUCUUGUUGGGUUUGGUUUUGAUGCUGUGAUCAAUGACUACAAGGUUGUGAGACUCCUGACCGAUCAAUGCGAGGAUCCAAAUACUUUUUAUGAGGUUUAUUCACUUGCUAGAGGCUUGUGGAGUAGUCCUCGUUCUUUUGACCCCGUUUGUAAAGUUUUUGAUUCUCUCAAAUUUCAGACUUUUGUGAACGGGGCUGUUCAUUGGCAGGCACGGCGCUGCUUGGACGAUGGCCGUUAUCAAAAUUUCAUUUUAGCAUUUGAUGUGGACAGUGAGUUAUUUCACGAGAUAAAGGUGCCAAAGAGUUUUAGACAGGAUAAACCAUUAGAUUAUCACCUGUCUGUUUCAGGUGAUGGAAACUCCAUUGCUGUGUUCACGAUGCCGCGGGGUCGUAAUUGUACUGAGGAUUUUCUUGACAUAUGGGUGAUGACAGAGUAUGGCAUCGAGGAUUCAUGGGCCAAACUGAUAACUCUAAGUCCACCGGAUCCAGAAAGCAGGGUGCCCUACAAGCCCUUAUGUUUUAGGAAGAGGGGUGAAGUAGUGUUGGUAUCGACUGAUGACUAUGGCAAUAUGCAUGAAUUAGUUUCUUUAGACCUUGUGAGCAAACAAUUUAAAAAUCUUGGGAUUCGCGGAUAUGGAUAUUACUAUGCUGAACCUUAUGAGGAGAGCCUCGCCUUACUUGACAAUGUCGAUGCAGUUUCUUACAGAGGAGCAGAUCAGGUAAUGUUAUAUCUAGCAUUGGUCUUCCUUUUUGUUUGGAUUUUCUUCUUGUUAUAUAUUUACGUCCAAGGUUCCAACUGUGUGUGACAUGAUAUGAGCUUUAACCCCAGAACAAAGUUAUAUGUGUGUUAAUUUGUUACUUGAUUUAAUUACGCAUAGCUUGCUGAAGUGUAAUCGUUGACAUCAUUCAUUCGCCCUUCGUGCAGGUAGAAAAAGAUGAGGCAGAUAGAUUUCAAGUCCUUGACGAUGCCGUUGUAAUGAAUGUGCUCAAUCUGCUGCUCAGUCAUCGUUUAUCUUGACUAUAUCACUUGUAUUUUGACGUCGACUAGUAAAAAGACGUCGCAUGUGUUGUGCUAGGAUAGCACCAAACCCGUUGGAACCAACUCAAGCUAACCCACAGGAAAUUUAUCAAAUGAAAAUGCAAGAACAAAAUAUUAAAGAACACCAAGAUUUUAACGAGGUUCCUCAACAGUCAGUGUAACUGGAGUACGUCCUCGGAGCAGUAGGAGCUCACCCAAUAAUCCACUAUCAACCAAAUGGGAGUUUACAAAGUGUUGGCAAUCUCACAACCCAAAUAACCCAAUACACCCAAUAUCUCUCACACACCAAAGAAACAAAUAGAAGAAGAAAUAUAAUGAAUAAGUUAUUCUCUAUACAUAUAGCUCAAAGCUAUUACAACAACACCUAUUUUGGUGGAUGAUUACUAACCAAAUGAAGCAGCAGCUUCUUCUUCCUUUUGGGCUCUCUGCAGAAAAAAACUCUAACUUCUCUCUGCAGCUCUCUCUUCUCUCUUCAGCUCUCUCAACUGAAAAAUGAGAGUUGCAUCUCUUUUCUUCUAUCCGAAACAAACCUCAAUAAUUAUGGUUAAUAAAAAAACCACAAAAGAAAAAAAAACAUCAUCAUGAUGUCUCCUCAUCAUGAUGUUUCCUCAUCAUUUUGUCUUUCUUUUUCUUUUGCUUUUUUUAAUAGCCGAAAGUAUUGGCCAUAAUUCAACAAUCUCCACCUUGGCCAAAUUUCGAAAACACCAUGAUAAGCCACCAACACAAUCAACACAAAAAAAAUCACUCCCAAACACUAGCAAGAGAACAACUCAUGCCGAGCCAAAUGCUCCAAAACUCCUACUACUCAACGCCUUCUUUAUAUAGGCAAAAUGUGAGCCAAGUUCAAACAAUGAACAAACUUGGCUACACCAACAACCUUAGUCAACAUAUCAGCGGGGUUGUCUUUAGUUGGAAUCUUCUGGAGAAUGAUUUCCCCUUCACCAACAAUUUCACGAACAAAGUGAUAACGCACAUCUAUGUGCUUGGUCCUCGCAUGAUGAACCUGAUACUUAGCCAAAUAAAUGGCACUCUGACUAUCACAAUGUACCUCCACCUGCUUCUGAUCAACCCCCAAAUCUCUAAUCAGCCCAUGUAUCCAAAUGGCCUCCUUUAUAGCUUCAGCAACUGCCAUAUAUUCAGCCUCUGUAGUAGACAAGGCAACAGACGACUGCAAAAUAGACCUCCAACAAACUGGUCCUUUAGCCAUAGUAAACACAUAGCCUGUAGUAGACUUCCUACCAUCCAGAUCACCUGCAUAAUCUGAAUCAACAUAACCAACUGCAAAAUGACCAAUACCAGAGUCAUCUCUCUCAAAGCAUAAACCAACAUCUUGAGUACCAUGGAGAUACCUCAAUAUCCACUUAACUGUUUGCCAAUGCUCUUUACCUGGAUUAUGCAUAUAUCGACUCACCAUGCCAACUGCAUGAGCAAUAUCCGGUCUAGAGCAUACCAUUGCAUACAUCAAACUACCAACCAAAUUUGCAUAUGGUAUAUUUUUCAUUUGCAGCUUCUCUUUAUCAGUUUUAGGACACUGUAAAGAACUCAAUUUAAAAUGAGGAGCCAAAGGGGUACUAACCGGUUUGGUUGAAUCAUGAACUCCAAAUUUCCGAAUCAACUUUUCAAGAUAUUGUCUUUGAUUCAAACUGACCAAACCCUUCUCUCUAUCUCUAGUGAUCUCCAUGCCAAGGAUCUUCUUCGCUUCACCAAGAUCCUUCAUCUCAAACUCAUUCUUCAUUUGCUUCUUCAAUUUCUCAAUCUCUUCAACAUUCUUUGAGGCAAUCAACAUAUCAUCAACAUAUAUCAACAAAUAAAUGAAAGACCCAUCUUGCAACUUCUUGAAGUACACAAAAUGAUCAUAUUGACUUCUAGAAUAAUUUUGGCCUCUCAUAAAUUUAUCAAACCUCAAAUACCAUUGCCUUGGAGAUUGCUUCAAGCCAUAUAGUGAUUUCUUCAAUUUGCAAAACAAGUUCUCCUUCCCUUUCAUUAUAUACCCAUCCGGUUGACACAUAUAGAUCUCUUCAUUCAAAUCACCAUGUAGGAAAGCCGUCUUCACAUCGAGUUGCACAAGCUCAAGAUCAUAUUGUGCAACAAGGGCUAACAUAAUACGAAUUGAGGAGUGCUUCACAACUGGAGAAAAUAUUUCAUUGUAGUCAAUGCCCUCCUUUUGUGCAUACCCUUUAGCAACUAAUCUUGCUUUAAAUCUCACAUUGCUUUUCUCAUCAUCAUCUUCCUUCUUGGCAUACACCCAUUUGCAACCAAUAGCUUUCUUGCCCUUAGGCAAUUUAGCUAACUCCCAAGUCUUGUUCUUCAAGAGAGAAUUCAUCUCAUCACCCAUGGCAUUGCACCACCUCUUCUUCUCCUCACUCUCAAUAGCUUCCUCAAAAUUGGAUGGAAUCUCUUCAGUGAUAAUAGGAAGAGCAAAAGCAACAUAGUCACUAUACCGAGCUGGCUUGGUAAUUUGUCUCUUUCCUCUGUUCUUGGCAAUAGACUCUUGAGGUGAAACUUGCUCUUCAACUUGAAUAGAAUCUUCAAGUUCAACUUCUUCAACAUCCUCAUGGUCUCCAACUUCCUCACUUGUAGUGGCUUCGACAUCAGCGGAAAUAGGAUUUGAAGUACCAGAGGCAACUUUCUCAAGCUCCACCUGUUGGACAUUUUUCACAUUCUUCUCAGAGCCUUUGUACAUACUUUCUUCAUCAAAUGUCACAUCUCUGCUGAUUACAAGUUUCUUCAAUUCUGGGCACCACAACCUGUAACCUUUGACACCACUACUAAAACCAAGAAAGAUAGCCUUUUUGGCUCUAGGAUCAAGUUUAUUUUCAGUUACAUGAAAAUAAGCAGGUGAACCAAAAAUAUGAAUAUGAUCAUAAUCAGAAGAAGGUUUUCCAGUCCAUACCUCCAUUGGUGUCUUACCCUGAACAGCAGCUGAGGGUAACCGGUUGAUGAUGUGACAUGCAUAAUUAACUGCCUCUGCCCAAAAUGACUUGCUUAAACCCGAUUGAGACAACAUACAUCUAACCUUCUCAAGCAAGGUUCGAUUCAAUCUUUCUGCAACUCCAUUUUGUUGUGGAGUUCCUCGAACACUGAAAUGUCUCACAAUUCCUUCCUCUUUGCAAACUUUAAAGAAAGGAUCGGAUGUGUAUUCACCACCAUUAUCCGAUCUCAAAAUCUUAAUCUUUCUCCCAGUCUGAUUCUCAACCAUUUUCUUCCAACCCAAGAAAAUGCACAACACCUCACUCUUGUGCUUCAUAGUGUAGACCCAAGACCUUCUUGAAUAAUCAUCAACAAAUGUCACGAACCAAUGUCUACCACUCAAAGAGGGAGUCUUUGUAGGACCCCAAACAUCCGAAUGCACAUAAUCAAGAAUGCCCUUUGUCUGAUGUACAGCAGUACCAAACUUCACUCUAGUUUGUUUCCCCAAGACACAAUGCUCGCAGAAAUCAAGCUUACAAGUCGUGGCACCUUUUAGAAGACCUUGUUUCACAAGCCCUUGUAGAGCUUUCUCACCGGCAUGGCCUAAUCUCAUAUGCCACAGUCUAGUAGUAUCUGAAUCAGAUGUGCCCAUAUUUUCAGAGACUACAGAUGCUUCACCUGUCACAGUGCUUCCCUGCAAUAAAUACAAAUGACCACAUCUAGGAGCUUUCAUCACAACAAGUGCACCAUAAGUAACUUUCAAUGUCUGUCCAUCUGAAUGAAACCUGAAACCCUUGGAUUCCAAAGUACCCAAAGAAAUAAGAUUUUUCUUCAAAUUCGGUACAUACCGAACACCUGUCAACUCUUUAACCAUGCCAUCAUGCAACUUCAAACGAACUGUACCAAUCCCUUUUGUUGUGCAAGGAUUGUCAUCUCCCAUGAACACAACGCCACCAUCAAACUCUUUCAAGCUUGAAAACCAAUCUUUGUGAGGAGUCAUAUGAUGAGUACAACCCGUAUCUAACACCCACUUAGUAGCACAAUCAAAUGAUGAGGAAGUGGUUAAAGCAAAAUCAGAAAAAUCUGUUUCAACCUCAGCAACAUUAGCUUCAGAACUUUCUUUUCCUUUGGUCUUCAACUUAGGACAAUCUUUCUUCCAAUGGCCCUUAUUAUGACAAAAGGCACAUUCAUCCCUUUCUAAAUGUUUUCUACCUUUAGAGUUUCCUCUAGGUCGAGACUGUGAUUUUUUCCUACUAGUAGAGGACCUCCUCUCCGAUGAUCUACCUCUAACAAAUAAAGCUUCAGAGGUACUAUCAUGAUUUUUAUCUCUAUGCCUCAUUUCAUAAUUCAUCAAGGCAUUUGACACAUCUUCAAAUUUCACAGUUUCUUUACCAUGCAUAAUAGUGGUAACAAAAUGCUCAUAAGAGUCCGGCAAUGAAUUCAACAAUAUUAAGGCCUUAUCUUCAUCCUUAAUAUCCUCAUCUAAAUUUAACAAGUCGGCAAUCAACUUAUUAAAAGCAUCAAGGUGUCUAAUCAUUUUUGUACCUUCUUUGUAUUGGAAGCGGUAGAGCUUUUUCUUCAAGUGUAGCCGGUUCUCUGCAUUCUUCGUCAUAUACUUGUCUUCCAAUUUUUGCCACAACACACUUGCUACCGUCUCCCACAUCACAAAAUACUUCUGAGUUUUUGCAAGGCACAACCGAAUUGAAGAGCAAGCCCACAAAUUUAAUUUCUCCCAUUCCGACUUCGACAUAGCUUCCGGUUUUUCUCCCAAAACGGCAAGUAGAUCUUGUUGAGCCAACACAUCUUUAACCUCACAUUGCCACAUCCCGAAGUUGUUUGUGCCAUCAAACUUUUCCACUUCGAACUUUGCAUUUUGCACCGUAGUUCUUGCAAACCCGGAGGUGCUUCCAAAAGGAUUUUCAUCUUGCCCAUCUGACAUCUUUGGCAACUAGACAGUACCCAAGAGCAACCAGUGCUCUGAUACCAAUUGUUGUGCUAGGAUAGCACCAAACCCGUUGGAACCAACUCAAGCUAACCCACAGGAAAUUUAUCAAAUGAAAAUGCAAGAACAAAAUAUUAAAGAACACCAAGAUUUUAACGAGGUUCCUCAACAGUCAGUGUAACUGGAGUACGUCCUCGGAGCAGUAGGAGCUCACCCAAUAAUCCACUAUCAACCAAAUGGGAGUUUACAAAGUGUUGGCAAUCUCACAACCCAAAUAACCCAAUACACCCAAUAUCUCUCACACACCAAAGAAACAAAUAGAAGAAGAAAUAUAAUGAAUAAGUUCUUCUCUAUACAUAUAGCUCAAAGCUAUUACAACAACACCUAUUUUGGUGGAUGAUUACUAACCAAAUGAAGCAGCAGCUUCUUCUUCCUUUUGGGCUCUCUGCAGAAAAAAACUCUAACUUCUCUCUGCAGCUCUCUCUUCUCUCUUCAGCUCUCUCAACUGAAAAAUGAGAGUUGCAUCUCUUUUCUUCUAUCCGAAACAAACCUCAAUAAUUAUGGUUAAUAAAAAAACCACAAAAGAAAAAAAAACAUCAUCAUGAUGUCUCCUCAUCAUGAUGUUUCCUCAUCAUUUUGUCUUUCUUUUUCUUUUGCUUUUUUUAAUAGCCGAAAGUAUUGGCCAUAAUUCAACAGCAUGUACUCCGGAUUUUCUCCGGAUGCCUUGUGAUAUAUGCCGGAUGCUGGCUAGAGGAGAACAUUUUUCCUUCAGUUUGUCUGCUAAUUUACAGUCCUAGAAGAAGUUACUUAUCAUAACAUGUUGCCAAUGUUCAUGGAUAUAUACCGUUAUAUUAAUGAGUUUCUUUGAAAUUGUUUGUGAUAUUUUCGUGCCAAAUAGGACGAGAAGAAAAUUGCAUAUCUCAGUUUUUUAGCUCUCAUAAAGAUUUAUGUCUCUCUCGUUGCGAAACUUAUACUAUAAUUUUUGCUCCUAUGGUCUAUCAAAAUAAUAAUAUUUCAGUAGAUACUUAGUAGUUUAUUACCGUAAAUUUUGUGUUCAACUGAAAGCAGGGAGAACAAUGUGUACCUUUUUCUUUUCUUUUUUCCCAAUGAAUUUUUUAACUUCUUCCUCUACAACUAGGGGUGGGCAAUUGGAACCGAAAACCGAAACCGAAACACGAAUCGAAUCGAACCGCACCAAACGGUUUGGUUUUGCGGUUUUGAAACGGUUUCGGUUUCAAAACCAAACCGUGGCACACAAAACGGUUUGGUUUCGGUUUUGGGUUUUCAAAACCGCACCGAAACCAAAACCGCACCGUAUAAUAAAUAAUAAAACAAAUGUUAUAUAACUUAUAAUUUAAACUUUUCAACUAGGUUAUAACUUAUAGGUUUGGUUUUGCCGUGGGUUUGCACUUUGACUUAACUGCUUCUGCUUGCAUCUCUACUUCUGCCUUUGCAAUUGCAUUUUUGUUGCAUUAUUUUUUAGUGCAAUUUUGUGCAGUUUUGGUGCAGUUUUUGGUGCAGUUUUGCUGCUGUUUUUUAUGCAGUUUUGCUGCAUUUUUUUGGUGCAGUUUUGUGCAGUUUUGGUGCAGUUUUUGGUGGUGUUUGGGUGCAGUUUUUGGUGGUGUUUUGCUGCAGUUUUUUUUCUUCAGUUUUGACUCUUUUUUGCUGCAAUUUUACUGCAUAUUCAUUAAUUAAUAUACGAGGAAAAUAAGACCGUUUUAUGCAUAAAUAGGUGUAUAUUUUAAAUUGUACAUUUUUUUUCUCAAAAACCAAACCGAAACCGUUUGAAACCGCACCGCACCGAACCAAACGGUUUGGUUUUAUUUCGGUUUUGGCUUCAAAACCGCACCGCAAAAUGUUUCGGUUUCGGUUGUGGUUUCACUCGAAACCGCACCGCGCCCACCCCUAUCUACAACCCUUGCAUGUAGGUUUGGCAGUAAAAGAAGAGUUUCAGCGCAAUUAAAAUAAGGUUUUUUUAGCCAAAAUGGUCCCUGAAAUUUCAAAUCAAUAGAAGUGAUCCAUGAGAUUGUCUACUAUCCAUCAUUUUGGUCAUUCCGUUAAAAACUCCUUUAAGUGUCCCGGAGCUGUUGGCCGGAAGUUUUGGCAAUUUUCAAAGCUUCGUAACUCAAUCGUUUCUUAACCAAAUUUGACCCAUAAUAUAUCAAAAUGAAGAUAGGAAAGUGUAGAAUAAGAUUAUAACUAUUUAGAAGCCCAAUGGUUGCCGGAGAUGGUCGGAAAAUAGCCUCAAAGUUGACUGGUCCGAGGGAAAACUGGAAAACUGGCCGGAAACUGGGUAAACUUUAAAAGUUCAUAACUUCUUCAAUACUCAACGAAAUCAAGUGAUUCAAAAACAAAAAUCAUACUUCUCAAUGAGACAAAGAGAAUGGAACCUUUUUCAAUGGCUAACUCGCAGUGGUUUGGCCGAAAAACGGCUCAAAAUUGGCUAACUCGAGCCUAAGGCAGCCACUUUCGAGCCGUUUUCCGGCCAAACCACGGCGAGUUAGCCAUUUCAAAAGAUACCAUUCUCUUUUUCUCAUCGAGAAGUAUGAUUUUCAUUUUUGAAUCACUUGAUUUCGGUGAGUAUUGAAAAAGUUACGAACGUUUAAAAUCUACCCAGUUUUCCAGUUUUUCCUCGGACCAGUCAACUUUGAGGCUAUUUUCUAAUCAUCUUCGGCAACCAUUGGGCUUCCAAAUAGGUAUAAUCUUAUUCUACACUUUCCUAUCUUCAUUUUGAUAUAUUAUGGUCGAAUUUGGUUAAGAAAGAUUGAAUUACGAAGCUUUGAAAAUUGCCCAAACUUUCGGCCAAGAGCUCUGGGACAUUUAACGGAAUUUUUAACGAAAUGACCAAAAUAAUGGAUGGUGGCCAAUCUCAGGGACCAAAGUGAGGAGUUAUACAAAUCUCAGGGAUCAUUUUGGCUAAAAAGCCUUAAAAUAAUGGCGAACUAGUCUUUCGUUUUUUUAUGAACAAUAGGAUAAUCUACACUAAAUUAUUUUUUCGUCUUUUGUUAAAGGAUACAUUAAUUGAAAAAAAAAAACUUGAAGUGUUUGGGAUCAUUUAAAUUCCAAUUUCAAUAUAGCUAUUGGUUUAAGUAACAUAAUUUUUAGUUUAGGUACCAAUGAAAAAAAUCAACUAAAAUAAUUCUAUAAAUACUAUUAUAAUUCAAAAUAAUUAUAUAAUUGCUACGUUUUCCGACCAGCCAACUGUAUUCGCAACCACCUCACCCUUACUGUCAAUCUUAAUAACCAGGUUUCGACUAACCUCCUUGUACGGCAUUGUGUUUGCAUACAUGAGCCAAGGGAGGAGCAUUACUAUUUGCAUAUGAUAAAUAACCAUGUUUUUUAUGAGUACCGUUGGCUAGAAUUUCCAAUCAUUCCGAAGGGAUAAUCAAUCAAUUGCUUAUUAAAUAUUAUUUUCUCUAUUCUUAAUGUAAAUUUUAUAAUGACCGAUUUUAUUAUGUUAAUUACUUUAAUUAGUUUAUUAGAGGUUUCUUCUAGUAUAAUAUAAGAAUAUUUAUUUAUUUCCAAUAUUUAACUUUCCUUUUAUCAAUUUAUGCAUAUAAAUACAUUUAAAACGUGUAAGUCGCGCGUAGCACGUCGUGAUUCAAAAAAUGUCCUCUGCAUAAAGGCUAGUAAAGAGAAAGUAAAAAGAGGAAUCUGUCUUUUUGGGCAGAAAGAGGAAGACUUGUUAUAGUCUUUCAACACCUAAUCAUCAUCGCAAUUUGAAGAGCCUCGACUAGAUAAGAAGACGUCGCAUGUACUCGGGAUUUUCUCCGGGAUGCCUUGUGAUAUUCUGAUAUUGCUGCUGGAAAUAAAUGUUGGAACUUGUGAGUGGGACUUAGUCCCACAUCGCCCAAACACAUGGUGGAAGUCCACUUUAUAAGUCUUUUCCUUCCUUUAUGGUUUGAAAAGAAUUGGUCCAAAGCUAUGGACAUUGGCCUUACAAAUGGAGGUUUGAGUGUAUAUAUUAAGGGUAAAAGACUGUUUACUACCCUAAUGUUUCGUGGUUUUCAACAUUUAGUACAUCAUGUUUUUUUCGUCUCAGAGUCAUACCUAAAGUGUAAAUUUUGGGACAGUCUCAUACAUCCGUUAGUCAAACUGUUAAGUUUUUCGUUAACUGUGACGUGGCGCACUGAGUGGGCGUCAUCCACGUGUCAUGUUUUUUUUUUUUUUUUUUUUUUUUUUUUUUUUUUCUUCUUCUUCCUUCUUCUUGCUCCGACUGCAACUUUCUGUUUUUUUUUUUUUUUUUUUUUUUUUUCUUUCCUUUUCCUUCUUCCUUCCUUUUUCCUUUUUUUUCUUCCCCUUCUUCCUUCUUCUUCUUCUUCUUUCUUCCUCCGAAUUCUUUUUUUUUUUUUUUUUUUUUUUUCUUCUUCUUUCCUUCUUCCUUCCUUCUUCCUUCUUUCUUCUUCUUCUUCUUCUUCUUCUUCUUCUCCGAAAUCAGAUUCAUUUUUCUUUCUUUCUUCUUCCUUCUUCUUCUCCUUCUUCCUUCUUCUUCCCUUCUUCGUUCUUCUUCUUCUUUUCUUUUGGGGGAAGAUGAAAGUGUUUUUUUUUUUUUUUUGAGGAAGAAGAUGAAGAAGAGAAAGAAGAAAGAAAAAAAAGAAAAAAAAGAAAAAAAAAAAAGGAAAAAAAAAAAAAAAAAAGAAUGAAGGAAGAAAAGAAGAAGAAAAAAAAAAAAAAAAAAAAAAAAAAAAAAAAAAAAAAAAAAAAAACGAAAAAAGUGGAUGACAAAGAAAGAAACGAAGAUGGGUGAGAGCAAAACUAAAAAAAAACAAAAAACCACGGAGGAAGAAAAACAACUGUAAAAAAAUAAAAUUACACUUUUGAUCUCUGAGACGAAAAAAAACUUGAUGUACUAAAUGUUGAAAACAAAACACGAAAAAUUAGGGUAGUGAAAACAAACUCAGUUCUUUUACCCAUAUAUAAUAAAUAAGAAGGCCUUGGAAAGGAUAAAACUGAAAUAUCAAAGAUGGGCCUUGGAAAGGAUAAAACUGAUGACGAACAGUUCCAACCGUUCUAAAAACGGUACACUUGACAUUUGAUUUGUUUUAACAAUAAACAUUUUUCCUUCAGUUUGUCCGUUCUACCUAGAAAAAAGUUUGCAGUUAUCACAACAUGCCAAUAUUCAGUUAAUAUACUUAAUGAGUUUCUAUGAAAAUGUUCUUGAUAUUUUCGUGCCAAAUGGUGAGUGCAUUAUCUAUUUGUUCUAGCCUUGAUUUCUAGUUGCCCUCCAACCAUCAACGUUGCUUUUGCUUAAUUGCCAACCUUUCAUCUCUUAUUGUGCUUUCUUCUCAAUAUUCUCACACCUUCGUAGGACGAGAAGAAAAUUGUAUAUCUCAGUUUUAUAGCUCUAAUAAGAUUUAUAUCUCUCUCGUUACAAAACUUUUACAUUAAGUUUUCCUCCCAUGGUGUAUCAAAUAAUAAUAUUUCAGUAGAGACAUCUAUUACCAUAAAUUUUGUGCAAUUGAAAGCAGCGAGAACAAUACCUAUUAUUUUAUUUUAUUUUAUUUUUUCUCAAAGAAUUUUUUUGGUCAUUUUCCUCUGCAACCCUUGAGUUUCAAUCAACCCACACCCACUUUAUUUAUAAGAGUAAGGAGAACAAAUUUUUAAACCAAAUUUUGUAAAUAAAAUGAUACAUUACCAAUAGAAAAUAAGUACGUUAAUUAAUACUUGAAUAAUUUAGUCUCUCUAGCAUUAUCUUUAAAAUAAUGGCAAACUAAUUCUUUUGUUUUUUUUUUACGAAUGAUAGAAUAAUCUAUAUUAAACUAUUGUUUCGUCUUUUUUUCUUUUCUUUUUGUGAACGAUAAGACAAUAAACAAUUGAGAAAUUUUAUUUGAACUCAUACUUUGUAUCUCAACACUCAACUUACUUUUUAUAUUCACAUUGUAUUUGAUUUAUCUAUCAUUAUUUAUUUACACCCAACAUUAUUUUCGAAAUCGCCCUUACUUAUCAAAACCCAACUCAAUCAAACUUCUUUUUACACCCAACUCAAUCUACUUAAAAAUAAAAAAAAUUAAAACUCUAACCAGUCUAUCAUCUUCAUGGAGCAAAUCCCCUUCUCCCUCUUUAAAAAUCCUUCCAUCUCCCAUGGUUGUCAUUCUGCACCCCCAUCUACUUCUCCGUAGUCACUAUUUGGACCCGAUUUUAUACCAUCGGCCCAAGCGAUCGAGGCUGUUGAGUGAGCAUGGUUCUUAACCGUCAAUUAAGAUAAUUUGAUAUUGUUAAGAGAUAAUAUUAUGGUUUUUAAUCAUAAUAAUUAUCUUUUAAUAAAUUAUCUCAAUUUUCUUGUACAAAAUAAAUGGAAUGCAAAUCAUAACCUCAACGUAGAGGCAAGCAGAACAGUCCGAGUUAAUUUGGAUUUGUUAGCAGUGUACUAUGUGAAAUUAGAGCAGCUUGGCUUGGACUCUUCACGUGGCAUAACAUGGAUCUGCAAGUUUUGGAUAAUGGUGAAUAGAAAACCUAAGUAGGUUAGGUUGUUUGAUGAAUGUUGUCAGACGGAUAGGCUUUUGGAUGGGUGAUGGGUUAGGUUUUUAUUAGCUUUGAAAAGUCAACCAUUUGAAGAUAGGCUUUAAGCCUAUGUCACGGAUCAGUUUGAGUUUCAGUCGGUUUCUUCUUAUUAUCCAGGCCGUGCCAAACAGAAAAUAUGUUCAUAUAAAUACAGAGGUAAUUGCAACGCAUAGAGGACCUCCAACUCAACACACAAACUGCCAUGCGUAAACCCUUGCUCUACGCGAAACCUUUCAAACAUCUUGAGAUUUUUUAUUUUCUUUUUCGCCAACACAUCUUUAGUUUGGAUAAAUAGCACUAUGAAGGCAACCGAUGAAUAUCUUCAGUUUGGAUAAACAACAUUGUUACCGUAGAAUUAGCCGACCACAGAGCACCUUCAGUUUGGAUAAACAGCACUGCGUCAAGGCCGACUGGUUAUCUAUCCAAGUCUCAGUCGAGAAGGAUUUUGGAAUCCUUAUUGGCAGAUGUCAUCUCAUUAGCCUUUUCGGCCAAGUGAUGUGUUACAAGUUAUUACAUUCAGCACAUUGAAAGCCGAAUUUGAUAUUGAACUUUGCAGAACUAGCAGCCUUGUCUUCAGGCUCUAGAACCCGAAGGCUAAGAGUGUUCCUUCCUCGGCCGCAGUCCCGAGAUUCAAAAGUCAGCAGCGCACCCAACGUAACAUCAACAUAUUUUACUCCUCAGCCGAGCUCGGCCGACGAGUUGGCACGCCUCGCACACAACUGAAUGACGUAGUUAGCUUAUUAAUUACUCGGCUUGCGUGCCACAUAGGCUUAGUAGUUUUUAGGGUCAACAUCACCUAAACCUCUUCCUCUUCCUUUUCUUCAUCAUUUGACAUCUCUAAAUUUCUAGAGCACUAAUUAGCUUAAUAAUCAGUAUGAGCUUCUGGUUAGAGUGUUUAAUGAGUUUGAUAUGUUUCAAUUAAAUGACAAUCUUCUAGCCUCUAUAUUCCUAUAUGUGGUAGAAAAAUGGGUACGUCCAUAAUAACUUUUGGUAGAUCAAUGAAUAUUUUAAAACGUGGAUAUUUAUUAGAUACAAAAGUUGCUGACAACAAUUCACAUUACAUUGAACUGUGGCUAAAAAGUAUAUCGUCUUAGCAUGUUUUAUAGGUGAACUCAUAGCUAAACAGUUUUUAUUGUAAAGCAAAACUUUGGGAAUUGAUCUAACAUGGAUGUGUAAUUGAGUUUAUGCAUUUUAACGAUUAAAAUGAUAAAUAUUUCGACUGUAAAUGGAUUUAAUAUCGUAGUAUCUUUUAGCCUCUAUAUGCCACAAAAGUUGUGGACAAAAAUUCACAAUACAUAGAACUGUGGUUAAAAAGUAUACUGCCUUUGCACGUUUAUAGGUGAACUCAUAGGUAAGCAGUUUUAUUGUUGACCAAAACUUCGGGAAUUGAUCUCACUUGAAUGUAUAAUUGAGCUUAUGCAUUUUAAUGAUUAAAUUCAUAAAUAUCUCAACCACAUAUAAAUUUAAUAUCGUAUUGUCCUUUAACCUCUAUAUUGGUAUCUGUGACAAAAAAAUGGGUACCUCCAUGAGAAAAUUUUGUAGAUCGAUUAAUAUUUUCAAUUUGGAUAUUUAUUAGAUACUAGAAAUUAUAAGUCUAUUUGCGAAAGUCUAAGUCAAUGCCACGUACAAUAUUUGUUAAGAUAUAUUUAGGGAACUGUUAUUAGCACUCCAAAAAUCUCAUUCUACACUCCACACAAGUGUAUUUUUCUUUCUAAUUACAAAAAGUUUGGAAUGCCAAAUGAGAUUUUUGGAGUGCUAAUAACAAUUUUCUAUAUUUAUAUACAUUUUAUUUUUUGGUCGACUUCCCUUUUUUUUUCUUUCUUUAUCAAGUUAGGAGUAUCACUGAUUUUGAACUUGUGCAACUAGUUGUUGAUUCGUUUUGAAUAAUCAACAUUAUUUUUGACAAUGUCUUGGGCGUAUGAAUAAUAGAAAGAAAAUGGUCAUGAUACAAGUUGAAUAGUAGUAAUACUAAUUAGUAAACAAUUUGUGCAUGAUGUUUACUUAUAACCAAGUGGCAUGAAGGGACAAAUGUGUAGGUUUCAUGCAUGACUUGAAAUCGUAUUAGUAAAUGCAUGAUGUUUGCUUAUAACCAAGUGGCAUGAAGGGACAAAUGUGUAGGUUUCAUGCAUGACUUGAAAUAAUAUUAGUAAAUGCAUGAUGUUUGCUUAUAACCAAGUGGCAUGAGGGGACAAAUGUGUAUGUUUCAUGCAUGACUUGGAAUAGUAUUAGUCGUCGGGAGAUUUUGCAUCAAUUUGUUUUUGUUUUUUUUAACCAAGUGGCAUGAAAGGACAAAUGUGUAGGUUUCAUGCAUGACUUGGAAUAAUAUUAGUAAAUGCAUGAUGUUUGCUUAUAACCAGGUGGCAUGAGGGGACAAAUGUGUAUGUUUCAUGCAUGACUUGGAAUAGUAUUAGUCGUCGGGAGAUUUUGCAUCAAUUUGUUUUUGUUUUUGUUUUUAAUAUGUAUAUAUUAAUAUCUAUUUUAAUGGGAUUGCUCUCCACCCCUAAGUUGUGAUAAUGCCUUUAUUUAUCGUUAUUAUGUGAGUUUAAUUAAAUUUUGAGAUUGUGUUUAUCCACUACAUACAUUUAGAAUAUUUUUUUUUUAGUCGAGCGACAACAUUAAUAAGUUAGAUGUUAGAUUAGUCACCGAUAGAAUUCGAACUCACGCCAUCAUGUAAGAGCACAACACUUUUUCACCAUUGUGGUAAAUGGCCACUUGCCAACAAGUUGAUUGGCCUGUGUGACUUUACUAAUACUACUCCAAGUCAUGCAUGAAACAUACACAUUUGUCCCUUCAUGCCACUUGGUUAUAAGCAAACAUCAUUCACAAGUUAUUUGCUAAUUAGUACUACUCUUAUUCAGCUUGUAUCAUGACCGUUUUCUUUCUGUUAUCCAUACGUCCAAGACAUUGUAAGAAAUAAUGUUAAUUAUUCAAAACGAAUCAACAACUAGUUGCACAGGGUCACAGUCAGUGAUAUUCCAAACUUGAUAAAGAAAGGAAAAAAAAAGAAGUCGACUUUCAAACUUGAUUAUUCUACAAAUAUUACUAUAUAGAAUUCAAAUAAUUAUACGAUUGCCAUUUUUUUCGACCUGUCAACUGUAUUCCCAACGACGUUACCCGCACAAUCAAUCUCAAUAACCAGGUUUCCACUAACCUCCUUGUACUCCAUUGUGUUCGCAUACAUGAGCCAAGGGAAGAGCAUUACUAUUUGCAUUCUGAUAAAUGACCAUGAUUUUUUUUAUGAAUAUUGCAGACUAGAAUUUCCAAUCAUUCCCAAUGGAGAAUGGUUCAAUCAUGACAUCAUGAGCUAAGAAUACAAUUUUGAGUUUAAAUUUCUCUCCACAUACAUCACGUUAAUUUAGUUUUUUUUCUACUUUCCUAGCAUGUUCUCUUUCGUGCAUUUUAAAUAGUGACUUAAUAGUGAAAAAACAGAUUCAUAUAGAGAUAUAAGUCUAAAAUUACUUGUCACUAAUUCAGUCACCAAGCUUAAGUCGUCUAUCUUUAAUCUUCAAAAUUAACACAAUAAGCUAGUAAUUUCACUUCAUCAAAAUAUUGCUCAAUGUUGUUUGACUUGUUUCCUUUCUUAAACUUUUAGAUGCUCAUUAAUUAUAUACUAAAAAACCUUGCUCUUCAUCUUCAAACGGAUCAUAAUCCAAUAUAGCUCUGUUACUAAAGGCUGGUUUGGUAUUGCUGCGCUUUGAAAAAAAGCUGUUGUGAGAAUAAGUGGCUGUGCUGUGAGAAUAAGCGGCUGUGAAAUAAAUCAGCAGAGUGUUUGGUAAACUUUUUUGUAAAAGUGCUUUUGGAAAAAAAAAACAGUCUGAUAGUGGGUCUUUUCAUUAAAGGAGCACUGUAGCUCUGUGUGCUUUGAAAAAAAGUCAGUUUUCCAAAGCUGCAAAUAGCAGCUUCAGUUUUUUCCUUUGAUUUCAGCUUAUUCUCACAACAGCUUCCAAAAUAAGCCUUUUUUUUUUUUCAGUUUACCAAACACCUAAAAGCCUCAUAACUUUUUUUGAUAGGUGCCUUUUUUUUUAAGCACCUCACUCCCAAACCCAACCUAAGUAGCAUAACUACAAGUCUGCAAGAUGGCAAAAGCAUAAUCCAUUGUAACUUUGGUAGAUCAGGUGUCGGCAGGAUCAUUUUCUUCUAAAUUCAAGUAGCAUAACUACAAGUCUGCAAGAUGGCAAAAGCAUAAUCCAUUGUAACUUUGGUAGAUCAGGUGUCGGCAGGAUCAUUUUCUUCUAAAUUCGGUGACGGAUGGAUCAUUUUCUUCUUGUUUCAAGUGUUGUGUGACUCAGGUUUUUUUAGAGUCUUUUACAGUUUUAAAUUGAUUGUCUCUACAUCAUCUACUAUGGCCUACAAACAAUUGAAACAAUCACCCUCCCAAAAUAAUAUGAUCGGUGUUGCAAGGGAUUGUAGCUUAGUUGUGUACAAGCAGAUGUUUUUUUUAGUAUAUCGAUAUUUUUUAUAUUAAGGAAGAGAAGAAGUUUGGAUGAGCCACACAAUAGAUAGUCUAAUUUGAUAUUAAAUUUUUCAUUCACGAGAUUCGAACAUAAGACCUCUACUUCUAAGUGAAGAGGAAUAUCACUAGAUCGUAGUACUAAGUAGCGCAAUCAGUCAUUUAUUUGUUGAGAAUAAAUCUUAUAUUAAUGAAAUGAGAGACUUUGUAUGUGCUUAUAAUAAGUAGUUGAGGUACUCUUCCUAUAGUCAAUUGUUUUUAUGGUGGAACUUCAAUCUCUUUUUCUUGCUAUCAAAACAAGUUGUCUCAUGUAUGAAGCAUAACGGCCUCACGUGAUCCACAUCUUUCGAAUUGUAUUAUCCACAUGUUAAACUUGAAAUUUGUCAUACGUAAUGGAAUGAAUCUCAUAUUAAAAAAAGAAAAAAAAAAGAGACUUUGAAAUCUCAAUUUUAUUGUAUUUCCAUCCAAAGUUCUAUAUUUUGAUUUCCCAUCUCCAAAAUCGCUCUUAUAAAGAAAAAGAAAAAGUAUAACGAACGUGUAGGACUUUGGAGAUAAGAAAUCAAAUAAAAAGACAACAAUAUGACCCCACGAUAUGACCCCACGAAAAGUACAGAGAGAAACGAGGAGUCCUUUGUGGUCCGAAAGGUUACAAGUCUUUCAACACCUAAUUAUCAAAAGCAAAUUGCAGCGUUCGAGAGUAGUCUGGAUUAGGGCUGGCAUUUUGAACCCGAUUCGUUAAUCCGAUCCGAUCUGAUCCGUUAAAACUAGUAUUUGGGUGAAUGCUUAACGGGUUAGGUUAUUAACGGGUCAACCCGUUAGUCACCCGUUAAGUAACGAGUUAUUUUGAGUCAACCCGCGAAACCCAUUAGCACCCGUUAACACCCGUUAAGAAGGACUUAUGUGUAAUUUCAUAGUUGGAAUAGAAAACCUAGCUCUCUCUGUUCUCUCACAUUCGAACCCGACUGAGUGGCUGCUGUUCUCUGAGAACUUCUCUCCCUCAUCUUCUUCCUCAAAUUUGGCUGCCGUUCACUAAGUUUGUCAUCCUCUCUCUGGUAAGUUCCGAUUCCCUUUCACCUCUUCUUCCAUGGCGAUUACUUUUCGUUUUUGCAAAUUAUAUUUUUUGUCUAAUUCUCAGUUUUCGCUUGAGCUUGGUUUGAGGUGGUAUUCUUCAGAUGAGCUUCAAAUUAAUUUGGAAUUAGUUGAUUUGUGUUUGAUGAUUUCAAUUGCGAUUGUGCUUUUGUUGUGCAAAUGGUGUUUUCUGUGUGUGAUUGUACUUUUGUUCUCUUCCUUCUCAAGUUAGAUAGAGAGAGAUCUUCCCACUUCUCCAUCCCAUCACACACUUGAUUCAUACACACACACAUACAUACGUUAUUCUUCUAUUAUGGGUUUGAUGGUGAUUGAGGAGGAGAAGCAGGCGGCGGCCAAGCCCUUCGACGAAUUGAGUUUUGAUUAGAAUUGGGUUUUGAUUAAAAUAUGUGUUCUUUUGCCUGAAACAGACUCUGGAUCUGUUGAUUUUCAUAAUCCAUGAAAACAAGUCCCUUCAUCUUCAUCUGAAAACUUCUACGUAGUAAGUUCCUCUUGCAACUAUAUAUGCGAAACUCAUUAUUUAUUAAAGUAAACUGUCGAUUUACCCCCUGAACUUUCACCUCACUUUCGAUUCCCUCUUGAACUUUUCAAUUGGAAAAUUAAGGACUCAAACUAAUUUUUUUAGCCAAUUUGCCCCCUACUGUUAGUUUUUCAUAUAUUCUAUCUAUAUUUCUGUUAAGUGAGACCAUAUGCACAACAUGUGAGGGUAGUUAAGUCAUUUCACUCUUAAAAAUGAUUAAAAAUUUGAAAAUAAAAAAAAAACAAAAUUUUCCCUCUAUUUUUUUCCGCUAAUUCCUAUCAUCGAUUUUAUUUUUCCCUCUCAUUCUUAUGCAUGAGAAAUGACAUAUGGUGUUAUUGUCUACCAUUUUUAUUUUCUCUAACAAAUUAAUAAUUUGACAAAUGCUAAUGGUGCUAUUGUCUCCAAAGCAGUUCAUUAAUAUAAGAAACUCUAGUCUUUUUUAUGGACAUGUUUCUUAUAUUAAUGUACUGCUUUGGAGACAAUAACACUAUGAGCAUUUGUCAAAUUAUUAAUUUGUUAGAGAAAAUAAAAAUGGUAGUACAUGCUUCAAGAAAAAGAUUAACUUAGCUACUUAUGAAGACAAUAACACUAUAUGUCAUUUCUCAUGCAUAGAAAUGAGAGGGAAAAAUAAAAUUGAGGUUAGGAAUUAGCGGGAAAAAAUAGAGGGAAAUUUUUUAUUAUUAUUUAUUUUCAGUUUUUAAUCAUUUUUAAGAGUGAAAUGACUUAACUAUCCUCACAUGUUGUGCAUAUGGUCUCACUUAACAGAAAUAUGGAUUGAAUAUAUGAAAAACUAACGGUAGGGGGCAAAUUGGCUAAAAAAAUUAGUUUGAGUCCUUAAUUUUCCAAUAGAAAAGUUCAGGGGAAAAUCGAAAGUGAGGUGAAAGUUCAGGGGUAAACCGACAGUUUAUCCUUAUUUAUUAAUUAAUUAUUUCAUUUUUCUUGAAGUUUGUAUAUUUAAUUAGAGAUUUCAUCAAUAACCAGCUAUAUAAUUUGUGCGGUUUUCAGCCUUGAUUAUUCCGUCAUUCGGUCUGGAUUUGUUGACUAUAAGUGCAAACAAGUGCCCUCAUGACCUGACAGACUUCCACCGCGUAACUGCUGCUUGCUUCAGAUCAUGUCCAAUAUUCGUGCAACGGUGCAAGUUUCGAGUCUUGAAGCGUAGGAUUGCAAGAAUCCCCCUGCAGUUACGGGUAAUCCCAAAACUGCCCCAUUUUUUGUCCAACAGGUUCAAAUUUAAGAAAAAUAAUGUUUACUGGUAUAUGAUUUUUGCAAGCUUCUGUUUUUCUUUUUGCUCGUCUUUUAAAUUGAUAUGGUGUGUUUCAUUAAUUAUUGUGUUUUAUGUCAUCUUAAAUGGCAAGUGAAUCAAGUGAUGUACACAAUUAUUCAAUGAGAUAAAUUUAUUAAUUGAUGUGACAUAUCACAUCAAAUUGUACGUAAAUAUGGUAUAAACAUAUGUGAUUUCCUAACAUUUUCGGAUUUUCCUAGUAAUAUUAUAUGGCGUGUUAUUGUGCUUUAUACAUACAAUAUCAAGUUUUUCUUUUUCUUUUUUAUUGGAACAUACAAUAUCAAGUUAUUAGAUUAUUUUAUGGUACUAUAUUAGGGACUGUAUACCUGGCGGUGGGACGGUUAUGAUGUAGGCAACCUUGAUCUGAAUCCGGCCCGUUGCCAUCCCUUGCUAUUCCCAAAUUGUUAUCUCUAGAUAUGCUUACUAGGAGUCCAUUAAUUGAAUAUUAUUUCAAUUUUACUAUAAAUUUGUAUAGGUAAAUGCUAGGGACAUUAAAUUAUUACUUUAAUCUAAAGUACGGUUUGAAAUUGGCACUAUUCAAAUGAACAGUGUUUCAAUUCGAAUUUCAGAUUAAUUACCACCAUGCCAUUGGUUUUUGUGUUGGUUUUGGGUCAGCAGCCCGUCCCUCAGCCAGGCCCAAAUGUGUUGGCUUUAGCAGGGAAGACCGGCCCUCAGUGAGGCCCAAAUUAUUUAAUUACAUUUUUGCCCAUCAAAGAUUACAAUCCGACGGUGGGGAUGGUGUAUUACGAAGGGCAAUUUUGUCCUCUCCGUUUUGGGCGAGUAGGGGGUCACCGGUUGGUAUCAUUUGAUGUCGUUCAAUUAGGGUUUCGGGGAGGUCUGUGAGAGAGAGAGAGAGAGAGAGAGAGACAGAGACAGAGACAGACAGAGACAGACAGAGAGAGAUGGCGAUGGAAGGAGAGCGAGGGGGAGGGGUAGGGGUCUCGGCACUGUUGUUGCAGAUGGGAGGGUCGGUAUGGUCAGAGAAGACCAUAUGGGUCGUCGGGAUUUUGGGGAGACGGGGUAGGGGUCAUCUGCAAACCCUACUGAGAGUGGGGUGUGCCGGAUCUUGUGCUGCAUGCCUCGAAUCCAAAGAUAUGUUUUGGGGGAUUUGUGAUCUUACAGAGAGAGAUGGAUAGGGAGAUAGAGAUAGACAGAGAGAGGAGAAAGCAUGGCUGUGUGCAUUUUUUGGGGUUAAUUAAUGGGUUAAUGCGCAGGGUCAGUGAGGAGAGAGUGACAGAGGGGUGUAUGGCAGGGUAUGGGUUUUCAGUUUUUCCCUCUGAUUCAAUAAGUUAUGCACUGUUUGAAAAUAAUUGUUUAUUGUUUUGUUUUCCGUUGGCUUUGUUAAAACCAUCAUUUGAAUUGUUUGGUUUCACUGUGCUCAUUUCUGGGCUUCUUCAAAAUUUUCUGGUGUUUGCUUCUCAUUCCCCUGUUGGUUGAUUUUUUUUUUCCCAUUUCUUGGUUCUUUAUGUAUUCCUUGGUUCUGUCUAAAUUUUUGCUGUGGGAUGAUGCUUGCAGGUGAACUAUAUGCACGGUUUUUUGAGACGAGUUAAGAAGAUCCACCUGAAAACAACAUACAAGAUAGAGAACUAGUAUGCUGCUUUGUCUUUCUGUUGGAUUUUGAUGUUUAUGUUCUGCUACUAAGAGGAUUUUAUAGUGUUCUAAAUCUGUUUUGUAAAUGUGCUUAAAUAUUGGACAUGUUCUUGAAUAUUAGCCAUGUUGUUUGAAUUGGAUAUGUGAUUGAAUAUUAGGUAUUUAUUUUGAAUUGAUUUGGAUAUGUGGUUUAUUGAAUUAGAAUUUGGAUAUGUGCUGAUUUGAAUUGGAUAUGUUGAAUUAGAGAUGUGCUACUUUGAAUUGGAUAGGUUGAAAAAUGACAAGCGAUGGUAAAAUAUGUUUGGAAUACACUAGAAAAAUUAGAUAGAGGCUUGAAAGGACUAGAUCGAGUACAUUUGAAAGAACUAUCAGUACAAGACAACUUUGUUUAGUGUUUUUGUAGUGGUGUUCUAAUUGCAGCUUCAUAGUUUUAGUCUAAUGUUUUUGUUGUACAGUUUUUAACAACCGAAUCUAAAAUCCCUCUGUACUUUAAAGUCUCUCCUCCAGACAUCACAUUAGAGAAUUAUAACUAUUCAACAUUCUUGGUGCAUCGGCAUAUUAAUGAUUGUAUCACAGAAUUUUGGCAAAGUUCCUUGAAUUAUUGAACAGUUAAUGCUUUCCAAAUGUUUUACUUUGAUUCAUUGUCUCACAUUUUCCAUGGUACAAGUUUACAUGAUUGCAAGCCGAUAGAAAGAGAUAUAUGUAGGGAGAAGCGGGAAUUGGGGAGAGAGAGAGAGUGAGCGAGGGGUGCGGUUGCUUUUUAAAGAUAUCUUUGAAAUUGUUUCUGCAGUUUUUUUUUUUUCUUUUGGGUGAAUUUUCUUGAGUUCUUUCUGUUUGUUUGGAAUUAUUCCAUUUUUACUGAGAUUCUUUUGGUCCCUGCCACUAAACUCUGAUUUCUGCUAUUAAUUGCUGUUGACAUGUGACUUUUGCUAUUAAUUUUGUAAAUUAAUUUAAUUAAGAUGCUCAAUGUUCCCUUAAUUGUGAUUAAGAUGGUCACAAUCCUACCAUCCUCUGUAUGCUCUGCCAUGUCCGCCGCCAAUGUUUUAUUUUUACUUUUUAACCCUUUCGUACAACAUUUAAAUAAUCAGGUGGAAAUAGUAAUUCUAUUUUUCGACAAACGAUAGUGUUAGUAGGUUAAAUUGUUAGUUGUUAUGAGAGAAGGAGAUCGUUCUAGAGAUCAAACUCUCAUAAAAAUAUAUGAUGAUUUCUGCAAAUGCGAUCAGCAGUUGCAUAUUACAAUAUACAGCUUCAGUUGGCAUCAGUUUCUUAAUGAGUGGCAUGUGAAUUCUUAAUUUAAUUUCGGAAAGAAAUGCGUUUAAAUUUGGUGGUAUGUGAUGAAGUUAGCAUUCUGUUUUUUAUUAUAUACUGGUGAUGGACAUUUUUAGCAUAUUGGAUUUAUCAUUUUCUAUAAAAUGAAGCUUCAUUCUCACUAUGUUGUUGAUGUUUUUUGUGAUUUCAGUUUAUAGUGCUUCUAAAUGCUGUUUUAAUUUAGGAAUUUGAAUAAUUGUUUAAAUGGGAUUGGAGGGUGAUAAAUAUUUCUAGCUAGGGAAAGGUCACAUCCAUGUGUUGGUCGAAUUGAUGGAUGUAAAAAAUGAAUAUGGAUGAACGUCUAGCUACUGCAUGUAGAUUCAGCUUUCCUUUGCAUUUGAGUGAGUUGGAAACCGAGUGGAACAGUUUGAGAGAGAGAGGGAGGGAGGGAGGGAGAGAGAGAGAGAGGACGAUGUUGGGAUUUUGGUAAAGAUUUGAGCUUUAGUUGUAAGCAUGCUGAUAUGAGCUCACAGUAAAACCCAACAGUAUGUAGAUUGAAUUGAGUUGGGAACUGAGUGGAAAAAUAUUAGAGAGGAUUGUGUUUUCUGAUGCGUCUUUGAGCCACUGACCAUAGGUGGAGUCUUAUACUGCAAUAUUAUGUGCUAAUCUAAUAAACCCUGCAACUUAUUCAUCUUUGUCAUGAGUAAUUUUUGGUUUUUUUCAUUGGAAUAGGGAUUUAGUGGAUGGUUGUUUUUAACGCAUAUUAGUUAAAAUGAGUUGAGUAUUGGGUGCUAAUCCCAUGUCUGCAAAUCACAGUACCCUAAGGAAGAAACACUGUCUGCACGAUCUAUAAUACCUGUUCAAGCAAGAAUCUUUUCCCAAACUAAAAAGCUUACAUAUCAAAACGUGUAAAGGAUGUGCCACUAUCAUCUUACUUUUUCAAUACCUAAACCAUGCAGUGAUGCAUGGGCUGGAUAUUGCUCCUUUCAAGUUUCAAAUCAUCAAAUGCUAAAGGUUUCUAGAUAAAUCAUCAUAGAAGUCGAUUCUGCAGAUUCCUUCUUAGUUACACUCAGAUGAUAAUGUAUUUAUAGUCCUUGACAUGUUUUUAAAGUUUGCAUUUUCAAUGUAUAUAUCAUUAACUAAGCUUUAUCAGCAGAAUAUCAUCGCAAAUUUGUUACGGAAAAUGCUAUUGCUAGAUUCUGAUUUAUCUACUUUAGUUUUAAGGAUUACACAUUGUUUUACGAUAUAAAAUAGAUGUUCUGCCUUGAUUUGAUGCGGGGGUAUGCAUUAGCUAACAUUAAUUCUGUUUAGUAUUUCUCAAAUUCAUUUUGGGUUAAAAAGUUGGAGCUUUGGAUUGGGUUUUUUCUUUAUUCAGCUAUCAUUUUCUGCUUAGGAGACUCUCUUAAACUGUCUGAAACUGUGCUCAUUAGGCUGGGCAGAGCACUGACAAGCUAAAAACAAAACAAAAACAAGCAGAAUUAUCACAUGUAGUGCAGGAUGUUGAAUGUCUUUUCCUCAUUGCAAAUCCUAAACGACCCAAAUCUGGAUGGUAAAAUACUUCGAGUUGGAAUUAAUAGGAUCGAUUGAAACAUGGAUUUUUUUUAUUAGAUUGGUAUAUCUGACUUAAUUAAGAAGUAGUUUAAGACAGUCAUUAGGGAAUUUCUGUAAUUGAACGUAGUUGUUUUCAUGAGGUUGAUAAAUACAAUAAGGUGCUUCUAUACCAAUAAGUGAUUUUAUACGGACACAUUGUAUGAUGUAAAAUGGUAAAAGGAGUACCCAUUCCUGUCCAGUCUUAUGUUUUCCGAGUCUUGCUUAUUUUUCAUUAGUCAUAUGAAAGAUGCUGCAAUACCGUGGGAUCAUAAUAGCUAAGAAACUGGACUUGGACAUCUUUAUUCUAUAGAGCGUUUGUAAAAGUAAUUUAGACUUUAUUAAGUUUAUAUUAAUCCUUCACUUCUGUUCAUUCAUUGUAAUUUCUAUUUGGUUUGUCUGCAUUUGUCUUAGGAGACUCUGUGGGGCUGCUUAAAUUUUAUAUAUUCAAUUGCAUAGAGUCGGCAUGACAUGCACAGAGAUUGUCAGAUUGCCACCCUUAGUUGGUGAUAUUAUCUUUACAACACAUUCAAAUUGAGGAUUUAGAAAAUCUAAUAAUAAAAUUGAAAUAUAUGUUCGAUGCUUUUUGUUUUCAUUUUCGGUUAAAAGGUUUCAGCUUUGGAUUGGUAUUUACCUUUAUUAAUCUAUAAUUUUGUGCUCAGGACACCAUCUUGGGGGUCUUAAUAUGAUUGUUCUUCUAUUUCAUAGACUCAAAACGUGUUUAGUGUCUCAUUUAAUUGGUGUACCUUUGCUCAUUUAACUCAAAUUUAAUACGAUUUGGUCCUCCAAUUUCUCUAAAUUGCUAACGGAUUUAUUUUCUUUGGAAAUUUCAGGAACUCUGGUUGUGGUAGGAACAAGCCGGCUCCUUGCUAUUUUUAGGUAUAUGAUUAUGUGCCUUGAUUGCAUGUUCAAAGUCUAAUUAGUUAUAUAAACUUUUAAUUUAUCUUUGCAAAGCUUUUGUACUUGGAUUUUAGAUAUGUGAUUGGUUUUUGAAAAAUUAAUGAGAAGGCUAAUCAUGGGGACAUUCUUAUUUCUGAAAUUUUCUCUUCAGCAUUGUUUCUUGAAUAAAUUUGGAUUGGUAGAUGUAGGGGUAGAGCAACACCCGUGGUGUAAAUAAAAGGUAUAGGCGUAAUGAUUUCUAGGUUUAGAAUUCAUUCAAAAAUAUGAUAUAAUGCUGCGUUCUCUAAUUUUUUUUUUUUGCUGUUUGCUGUUCUAAACUUUUGAACUCCUUUUUGGAUUGAUCUUUGUUAUUUUGUUUUUGGGGGUAUCUGAUAGGUCAAGGUUGCCUAAUCUUGGUUGUACUUUUUCCCAAGACAUGGCACAUUUGAAACUUUGAAUUCUUGAGUUUAUAUUUUAAUUCUCAUUAGUUAAUGCGUAAUAUUUGGCCUUUUAUUUUGAGAUUAGAAUGAAUACGUUUGGCCUGAAAGACAGUAAACUGAAUUAAAAGCUGGCUUAUUUUCCAUUGGCCAUCAAUUAGGGUGAGAAAACAUUGAAUUGAGAUCCUUAAACAGCGCUCAUAUAGGGUACUAUACCAAAUGAGCUCGAAGAGGACUCAGCAAUUGAAGAACAAUUGAUGGGCAUACACCUUGGACAUGAUUAAGUUAGUUGAACAUUAUACUAUAACAAGUACAUAUUUCUGCUAAAGGACCAUACCAAAUAAGGAGUCAGGUUCACACACAGACACGCACACACACAUCUGAUGUAAAGUUAUUCUAUUAGAUGGUUUCCAGAUUGACCCCCCCUUGCUAAAUCUAUUUCAAGGCUGGAAGGAGAGUUAAAACAUAUGUUAUUGUCUUAUAUGUUUGUAUUUGAAUGGUAACGAUGUUGUUCUUCUGGUGGAAAAAUUUUCCUUUGAAUCCAUUUCAGCUUAGGCUCUACUUUUUUAUUUCAUUUCAACGUCAUUUUCAUGUUCAUCAUGCCCUGUUGGUAUGUGUUUUGUGUUGGCAUUGGAGGGUGGUGGGUUGUCGUUUUGUUUUUCUUUUCUUUGAUUGUAAGACCUUCUAACGAUUGAAUUUAUUUUAUGCGACUCAUUUUGAUCCCCUAGUUUGAGUUUUUCAGUUACGUAUCAAUACUUAACUGCUGGAUUUUUCUUAAGGAAAUUGGAUAUAGGCUAUAUACUAUGUGCAAAAUUCAUGGAGAUCAAGUUUUUGUUGGGUUUUUGACUCAAAAUUAGGAUGAUGCAAUAAAUUAGGUUUGUGUUACCUAUUUGGUUUUGGUGUCCUAUUUGGGUUUGGUUUUGACUUCUUAGUUAGUUUCCUUGGUGGAGAGAUUUUGUUAAUUACCUAUUUGAUUAGGAUUUGGAUUUAUUUCCUAUUAGGAUUCAUAUUGUAACCUAAGUCCUAUGCACUAUAAAUAGGACCUUAGGGUUAGUGUAUUUAGUGUGGCUCAUUCGUGUGGCAAUUUGGUGAGAGUCAAGUUUCAGGCCCUAGGAAGUGGGAGGAAAGCUAAAGCUUUGUGGGGUUGUCUGGUCUCGGCAGUUUUUUGGAACAUUUGGCUGGAGCGUAACAAAAGAAUUUUUGAGGAUUAUACAGGUGUGGGGGUAGAAGUACUUUGGGGAAGAGUAAAAUAUUGGGCAGCCCUUUGGGCUUCAGUCUCAAAUGUUUUUAAUAAUUACUCUAUUUCUCAAUUACUGUGGGAUUUGUUAGCAGCAGUAAAGUGAGUUAGGUCUAGCUAAUGUUGCUGUAGCCAAAUCCUAGUGAGAGUUUUUUCUUGUUUCUUGUUAAUGGUGGAUUUCUUAUCCACUCCAGUGUAUUUCUCUUUUCUUCUAUAAAAUGUUUUGUUUCUUCUCAAAAAAAAAAUUUGUGAGUUUGUGAGUUAGAGAGCAAUUUGGGAGAAUCUUCUCCGUUAGUUUUGGGUUCUCUACUCGUUUGGUUUAGGGUUUGUAAUUUGUGGGAUUUGGGUUGUGAGAGUUUAAACACUCUUUUGUAAGCUCCAUUUGUUUAGUGAAAUUCCUCGCCGUGCUUUGCUCGUGGACGUAGACUUUACACCGAACCACGUAAAUCUCUUGUGUUAGUUUGAGAUUGUUUGUUUUAGCUUUCACCUACGACGUUGAUAUUGGUACUUUGUUAGAAUUCGCUUCCGUUUGUGCAUAAAAGUACAACAGUUUUGUGCUUUCAUUUGUCACAACGCAGUUUUUUGUUUUCAUAAAUGAAGUUUUGUGCUUUCAUUUUAUUUAUUUUAUUUUGUCUUUCAGUCAGUUUUUCGUUUGAAAGAACUCUUAAUUUUCAUGGAAAUAUAGUUAUUUGUGAAUAUGGAAACUUGAUACUGUGUAGACAUCAGAGUUCGUAUGUUUGUGAUAUGAAAUUUAAAUACAAGCUUCCCAAUUUGUUUUUGGAAUUUUAACUAAACUCGCGUUAUAGGUAGAUCAUGUAUUAAGAUAACAAAAAAGAUAGGUAGAUUUGUGUAUGCGAUGAGUUGUAGUGAACAUUUGGCAGUAAUAGAAAUGGUUUAGGUGUGCUCAGUUUUGGCCUAAAUGGUUAUCACACGAGCGUAAAUGUUUGUUUCAUUUGUGAUUGAACUUGAAUUCGUUGGAAAGCUUUUCAAUUUAUGAAUAUGGAAAGCUUUUCGUCUUUACUUUUAAACUUAUUUUCUGUUUGGUUGUUGAGAAGGUGAUGGAAAUAUAGUUAUCUGUUAAUAUGGAAACUUGAAUCUGUGUAGACUCCUUGGGUUGUCUGUUGGGUUCAGUGGAGGUUUAGUGUUUUAAUUUUGAAUGAUUUGUUUUUCGUUUCAUGGAAAUGACCUAUUAUUUGAUAUUAUUUGAUUUAACUGAGUAAUUUAAUGGAAGUAUAUUCUCUUUUUUUCUUUUCCAUAUUUCAUUUUGUCAGCAACCAAACGAGUUAAGGAACUGUAAUCUUUUUAAUUACUCUGCUAUCUCCGUGAGUUAUGAAUAUCAGACUUUUUGUUUUAUUUCUAUAUAUGUAGUUCCGAAGGAAUCAAGUGCCAAAAUUAGAAUAAAUAUCCUUUAGUCACGUUACACACUUUUCCAUAGAAUGUUUGGUUCAGGGAUCCCUUAUACAAGCACAAUAUUCUUAUGUAUUUAAAUCAUAGUUGACUGUCAUGGUUUAAUAAGUGUGAAAACUGUCUUAACUAUACCAUUGGAGCGUUACAGUUUUAGUUAUUUUAUUGGAUCCGUUUGUUAGCACUUUGAAUUCUUUUGAUUUCUUACUCUGAAUCUCACUCAUUUUUUGCAGUUUAGAUUGGACUCUCAUCAUAGCAUUGUAAUAUGAUCUUGCUGCUGCGAUUAAUCUGACAGUUCUGAGGCGUUGCAUUUGAAUCAAGACUUUGGUAUGUUAGCUGAACUUCAAUGCAUUCUUUUCCCAUUCUUUCUGUUUGAGGCAGCGCAACUUUAUGAUUUUUUUAUUGAUUGUUUGGGUUGAUCGUCUUAUGUUAUCCAUUUGCUUUGUGCUUUGUUUUUCAUUCUUGGUUGUCUCUGUGAUCGUCUCAUUGUCCAGAUGUUGGAUGGUUUUUUAUUUUAUUUUUUUAUUCUAAUUUUGUUUGAAGGUCCGUGCUAUCUCUGUGAUUCUGGUUUAACCCAGUGCUCUUAAUUCUUUAUCGGAUGUUGUUGGCCAUUUUAUCUCUUUUAUUAGUGGGAAAAGGCUUUGUUGUUGUUGUAUUCUGUUAUUGGUUGGUUGGUGUUUUCGUUUGGUUUUCUGAUAGUGAACUAUCUCAUCCUCCCCAAAGUGUUUUAACAUGUUUUGUUGAUAACUGCGCUCUCUAAACGACCUAGAUAUUUUUUUAGAAAAAUCACGACUUCCAUAUUUAAGAAAAUGAGUGGCUUUUUAGCAAAUGCAUGAAUGCAGCUAGAUGUUCAGAAAAAUUCACGGAUAUUUACAUUCAAACCACAAGUAUCAUUAACUUAUAAAUAAUUAAGUUAUGUAUUUUCUUUAUCGGCCAUCACUUCAAAAUUUGAAUUAAAACACUGUCAAAAUGCUUUUUGAUUGUGUUUUCUUUAUUCAUUAUGUAAGUUUGGCAAAUCUUCUACAUGCUGCAUAUUUUUUUGUUUGAACAUCUAUGGUUGACGAGUUACCUGCUCAAACACCACUUUUUCUGUGUUUUGCUAACUGCUAAGUGAGGCAUGUAGGUUGCAGAGCAUAUAUUUGGCCGUCUUAACUAUGUGUAAACUGCAGCUUCCUUCUGUUUCUUCAGUUUCAUAUGGAAACAGGCCUUCUGUUUUUUUGGCCUUUGAACAAUUGUGGUUCCAAAAUUAGCUACUUGAACAAGUCCUCAACACUUUCUGUUUUACAUUACCUGUUGAACUAGCUGCCUACACUGCAGGACACAUGUUAUUUGUGAACUAAAUGUUUCUUCUGUUUCUUAAGUAAACAGAAAUUUUUUGGAAACCAUCUCUUUCUAAUCAAACACGUACAAUUUCUUCCCACUCAUUGUGCAUUGUGUUUAUAUGCCAACUCACUUAAAUAUGUAUAAAAGCAAAAUUGCUUAUCUUACCGGCCUCAUUCACUCAUGUAUCCCUCUGUUUGUUUGUAAUUGUGUUGAAUUUAUUCAACUUAAAUGUGUUUUAUCCAUCUGAUUAUGUCUGAAACAGUGGUUCCCGCAGCAACGCGCGGGCGUAUUUUCUAGUUUUUAACUAAAUUUUGCAAACUAAAUGACAUGAUUGUUGAUGAGUGGAUUAUUAUUUUAGUGUUGAUAAACAUGCUUAUUUUCUAAGGAAAACUAAUGAAAAGGGCUUGAAAACUUUGCGUUUUAACAAUAAGGACAAAAUAAAGGGUAAAGUGAAUAGUAUCAUGAUUGACUUUUUAGUGUAAAAAUAUGGUUUUUCGUUAAAGUGAACAGUACCAGGAGCUUUUCAUUAACGUUCCCUAUUAUCUAGUGGUGACACAUCAUUUAGUUUAAAAUUUUAUUCUCCUUGGCAUUACCCAUUUGUAUAUGAUUGCGGAAUCAAUAAUUAGUUCUCACCAUUUGAAUUUGUGCAGUUGUGACAACAGAUCAAGCUUCCAAAUUUCCAAGGAACUAGUCUUUGACUGUUGAUCUUCCCUUCAUUGAGUCUGUAUUUGUUGAUCACAAGCGGAGUCAGAUUUGAACUUCCAUGUAAGUUCUUAUUAUUCAACUGAAUAAUACAUUAGUUGUUUCUCAUUUUAUUUGAACUACUUUUUAUUCAUUUGUUUCUUCACUUAAUUUGUGCAGCUCUGCACCUCAAUAUUGCUCAAGAGCGGUUCAGUCUUUCUUUGAUUGCUUGGAGUAAUCCUCGCUCUUAAUAUGGUACUGGGAGAGGUUUUUCUUGGGGCGUUUCUACAGGUGCUGCUAGACAGGUUGACCCCUCGCGAGGUUCUCAACUACUUUGGAAACUUCCGGGGCCUUAGAAAGAAGCUGGAGAAGUGGAGGGCCACGUUAUCUACAAUCGCAGCGGUGUUGAGCGACGCUGAGGAAAGACAAGUGACUGACCAUCCUGUAAAACUGUUGCUUGAUGAUCUCAGAGACCUCGCUUAUGAUGUCGAAGACAUGUUGGACGAAUUUUCCACUCAAAUGUUGAAGCGCACAAUAGAGGGACGUGAUCAAGCUAGCACGAGCAACAAGGUGCGGAACUCAUUUUUCAAAAUUAAAUUCAAUUGGGAUAUGAGCUCCGAAAUGAAGAAGAUUACGGAGCGGUUGCAAGACAUAUCUGAACGGAAAGAUAAGUUUGGCUUGAAAGAUACUGGGACGUCUGCUAAGGAAUCGCGACGUCUACCUAGUUCAGACGUGUUAGAUGAAAAGCUUGUUGUUGGAAGAGAUGGUGACAAAGGGAAGAUUAUUGAAUUGUUGUCAAGAAAAUACGAGCAUGCAGGUGCUGUCAAUUUUGAUGUAGUUGCUAUAGUUGGCAUGGCCGGAGUUGGGAAGACGACACUUGCUCAACUUGUAUUCAACAACAAAGAUGAUGCCAUGAAGGAGUUUGAGCUCAAGGUCUGGGUAUCUGUGUCCGAUGACUUCGAUGUGGUGCGAGUGACAAAGGCAAUUCUUGAAUCAAUCACAUCCCGACCCGUUAAAGUGCAGGAGUUUAGUAAAAUGCAGCAUAAUUUGAGUGAGCAAUUAAGAGGAAAAAAGUUUUUAAUCGUUUUAGAUGAUAUUUGGAACAAAGGCGACUAUGAUCUAUACGAUCUCUGGACAAGACUUCAAUCCCCUUUUGGCGUCGGAGCAGGAGGAAGUAAGAUAAUUGUGACAACCCGUGACAGGAAUGUUGCAAAGACUACGGGAGCCGCUGGAGUUCAUAAUUUGGAGUGUAUGGCAGAUGGUGAUUGUUUGGAAAUAUUUGAGCGACAUGCGUUCGGGGAAAUUAAUAAUGGAAAGCCGGUAAAUUAUGAUUUAAUUGGGACAAAAAUUGUUGAAACAUGUCAUGGAUUACCAUUAGCUGCGAGGACUCUCGGUGGUCUUCUACGUUGCAAAGAAAAAGAUGAGUGGGGAGAAAUAUUGAACAACAAGUUAUGGAAUCCAGCAGAUAAGAGUGGCAUUCUCCCCGUACUAAAGUUGAGCUAUCACUAUCUUCCAUCACAUUUGAAGAGGUGUUUUGCCUAUUGCUCCAUUCUUCCAAAUGACUAUGAAUUUGGGGAGAAACAGCUCGUCCUUUUGUGGAUGGCAGAGGGUUUGAUUCAACAAAAACCUGACGACAAUAAACAAAUGGAGGAUUUGGGCCGCGACUACUUUCGAGAGCUAUUAGCAAGGUCGCUGCUUCAAGGAUCAAGCAAAAACAAUUCACGAUAUGUAAUGCAUGACCUCGUUAAUGAUUUAGCACAAUGGGCAGCAGGAGAAAUAUGUUUUAGGUUGGAAGAUAAGCAAGGUGAUAACUUGCAAAGCACUUGCUUUCAAAGGGCUCGCUAUUCGUCUUUCAUUGCUGGUGAUUUUGAUGGAGUUAUGAGAUUUGAGGCCUUUCCAAAACUUGAACGCUUGCGAACAUUCCUGCCACUUUCGCUUUCAGAUUCCAGGUGGUGGUGGAAAUAUUUGUCUCGUAAGGUUAUUUUCGAGUUAUUACCACAGAUGAAAUACUUACGAGUGCUCUCUUUCAAUGGCUAUAAAAUAACUGAGCUGCCAAAGUCAAUCGGUGAUCUGAGGUUGUUACAGUAUCUUGACCUUUCCUACACAGAUAUAACCUGUUUGCCUAAAUCAACAAGCACUCUUUACAACUUGCAAACAUUGAUAUUGGAGGGUUGUUCUAAAUUGAAGUCAUUGCCCACAAACAUGAGUAAUCUAAUUAAUUUGCGCCAUCUCAACAACUCAGGUGCAUCUUCAUUGGUAGGAAUGCCUUCACAACUAGGUCGAUUGACGAAUCUACAAUCAUUGCCUCUUUUUGUGGUGAGCAAAGGUAGUGAUCAACCAGGGGUAAGAGAGAUAGGGCCCCUAUUGCAUCUCCGAGGGACACUGUGCCUCUCAAGAUUGGAGAAUGUGACUGAUGUCGAGGAUGCCAGGAGGGCCAACUUGAUAUGCAAGGAGAGGCUUGAUUCGUUGGUCCUAAAAUGGUCUCAUUCAAGCGACACGAGAAAAACAGAAACCGUUGUGCUUGACAUGUUACAGCCUCAUACAAAGCUCAAGGAGUUCACUCUCAAGAGUUAUGCCGGAAAGGAAUUUUCAUCAUGGGUUGGAGGUUCUUUCUUCUCUAAUAUGGUGCUUGUGCGCUUAGAGGAAUGUAACAAUUGUUUAUCGUUGCCACCUCUCGGACAAUUGCCUCGUCUCAAAGAGCUUUAUAUUAGAGAAAUGAAUGCAGUCGAAAGUGUUGGUGCUGAGUUUUAUGGUGAGUGUGUCUUGCCCUUUCCGCUGUUAGAGAUUCUGGAGUUUGUGGAUAUGCGGCAUUGGAAGGUGUGGCUUCCUUUCCAACUGGAUCAAGGAAGUAGUGUUUUCCCUUGCCUGAAAAGGCUUUCAAUCAAAGGAUGUUCUAAGUUGGAAGGCAAGCUGCCAGAGAAGCUCGAUUUGUUAGCCGAACUUGAAAUUGUUAAAUGUGAGGAAUUGGUGGUUUCGAUUGCCAAUUGCAAACAACUUCGUCAAAUAAACAUUGACAGUUGUAAAGUGUUGGUACAUACAGAUGCUAAGGUUGAGUUUGAGUUGUUAGAGUCCUUGUGCCUUUCAAACAUUUCGGAGGUGAUGUCUCUGCAAACAGGGGAAUUGUUCAGGAAGGGAUUAAGCAAGGCUAGAGAUUUGAAGAUUAAUGGAUGUGAGAAGCUGACGUCGUCAUUGAAGAAUGAGGGUAGAUUAUUGCAGCAGUUGACUUGUCUUGGCCGUUUGGAAAUUGAAGACAACUCUCCUCUAGUUGAAGAAUUGGGAGAAGAAGCAGAGGAGUUGCUGCAAUUGCAAAUAUUGGAGUUAAAAAAGUGCGAAAAUCUUUUGAAGCUACCAAAAGGAUUAAAUGAGCUGUCGUCUCUUCAAGAGCUUCGCAUACACAAAUGUUCACGUCUAGUUUCUUUUCCAGAAGUUGGUCUGCCACCGUCUCUUAAAAACAUCGAGAUUAGAGAGUGCCAUUCGUUGAUAUAUUUUGCAAAAUUCCAGAUUCCCCAAUUUCUCAGAAGAAUAGAGAUAAGUAAUUGCAGAAGUUUGAAAUCACUAGUAGAACCGAACGGGUUAUUCAGCGACAACACCAAUCACUGCCUUGAAUAUAUUAGGAUCUGGAAUUGCCAAAAUCUGGAAUCCUUACCGGAUGGCUUAUGCCACCUUAGCAAUCUUCAAACUCUAAUUAUUGGGAACUGUGGAAGUCUUGUUUCCAUCCCGAGACUGAGUGCGGAGAGAAGACCCUCCAACCUGAGAGAUAUCAUGAUCAACGAAUGCGAGAAAUUGGAGGCGUUUCCCGAAGACAUGCACAAUCUCAACUCUCUUGAGGGAUUGAAGAUCGACUACCGUAAAGGUUUGACUUUUCCUCCCAACCUAACAUCACUUGAAAUUUGGAAGGUCAAGAGCUGUAAGUCAUUGUGGGAGUUGGAGUGGGGGUUGCACAGACUCACCUCUCUUAGAAAGUUGGGGAUCAGUGGAAAAAACACACGUACGGUGUCGUUUCCACCUGACAUAGUCCGGAUGGAGCCGCUCCUCCCCAAAUCUCUCACUGAACUCAGAAUAGAAGGCUUCCCGAAUCUGAAGAGACUGAGCAGCAAGGGCUUUCAAUUCCUCAACUCCCUUCAAUCUCUGCAACUCUCUAGAUGUCCAAAGCUAGCAUUCAUUCCAGAGGAGGGUCUGCCUCCUUCACUUGGUCAGCUUAUCAUCUAUAAGUGUCCUGUGCUAAAAGUGAGAUGCCAACCAGGAAAAGGACUCUACUGGCACAAAAUAUCCAACAUCCCUAAAAUAGAGAUACAUGAAGCUAAUGGUCCAGGUAUCAUCUCUCGAGGAAUGUUUUAAUAUUAAUAUUAUUAUUAUUAUUAUUAUUAUUAAUCAUGUUUAUUCUUGUAAAGUAAUCCACAAUAUUUGGUUUGGGUCAAGGUUUUGGGGGUUGAGGAGUGGCUGCUUUAGGAGGCCUUCAAUUGGCGACAACCUGGAUACUUCUCGGCCAACGUUUCUUCUCCCGGAUUCCUAUGUUUGCUGAUAGCACUACCCUUUCAAAUUUUAUUAGGUCGAGCUUUUUUCAAUUUUCAAAUUUAAACAUUUUUUUGGGUCAACAGUCCAAUAAUUCGAACUUGUUUUAUCUUUCAUUAAGAUAAUUCUACCAAAAACCUGACCUCAUUUUGUAUCAAGCUUGAGCUUUUAUGAAAUCAUUUGAGUCAAACUUGAGCACAUAUUUACGAGCUUUAUUUGGGACUGACCGAAUUUGAAUCUUGAGCAAUGUUUGUUAAACCAAGGUCAUUUAAUUACGAUCUGAGUUAUUAAUAAGUUGUGUUGUUUUGUGUUGGGUUAGUGGGUCUUGCAAGACAUUGCUUGAUGUUUAAAUUUGACAAACAAUAUUUUAUCAAGUUCUUGAUUCUACAAGUAUCCAACUCGUUAAAAGGUUCUUAAUGAGCAGCUUGAUAACGAAUCGACUUGUUAACAUAUUAACUCGAAACCUGCUAUUUUUAUGUUGUUUUAUAUCGAAUUAACGGGUCGUGUAAAAAAUUAUCAAACCUAACCGGAUCAUGCCAAACUAUUGAUGGUCAAUGACUUAUUUGAAAGUGAUUUUAAAGUGACUGAAAUUGAUUUCAGAUUCCAAAAACACUUUUUAAGUGCUUUUUGGAAUAAUCUUGGGCGUCUCCACCCAUUGCCAAUUGGUUUCGGGUUGGAUGCUCAAUUUGUAAUUAGAAUAACAGGUAUUGUUGUUUUUUUUUAUUAUCUUUCAUUGUUUGAGUGGGGGAUAUAAUCUUUAUACAAAUUGCUUCCUCAUGGUUUUUAUGACUGGUUUCUGUAUCUACUUUUAAUGCUUAGUACAUUAAGGGCAUCGGGUACUUCCUAAGUUCUCAUGGUCAAGUGUUUGUAUGGUUCUGUAUGUAUGUUUGUGAUCUUCAUCCCGACUUUGAAUGCGUAAACUAGAUGGAUGAAGAGGUUUUGUUGUUAUUGCCUUGCCCAACACAAGGAUUUCUUUAAGGGCUAAAUAGAUUUCUUUUAACUGGGUUCUUAUGUCUUCGACGAAGGUUAGAGUUCUUUAUCCUUUUUGGUAUUUCAGUCAAUUGGUGUAUCUUUCGACAUCUGUGCUAAGUGCUUCGUGAAAAUUGAUAUAUGUUGUCUAAAUGGUUGUGUUUCAGUUGCCUUUUCUGAGCUUCUUCCUUCCUGUCUGAUAUCUAUUUUCUAUCCUUCGUCAUAGGAUAUUAGCUCCAUGGUGUGCUGGUUGCUUUAUGUUUGUAUAUUCUCGUGUUUUUUCAUUACAGUGUUGAACUCAGUGAAAUGCUAGUAUGAAUUGGAGUGGUUCCCAUUGUCUUUGAGUGAUUCCUAUCACAACAAUCAGGGAGGAAAUCCCUCUCUUUUUUUCACUCUAGGACUAUCCAAAAGAUGCAGCACUGAAGAAGAGUUAGGACUUUAACUCAGUGUCGCAAAAACCUACUACCAAGAGAAAGUUUGUAAGCACUUAUGUUCCGACUCAGAUCCUUACCAAAGUUUUUUUGAAAGUUGAAAUGAUAUAGCACUAGGCCCAAGGUUGAGAGCAGGUUAGAAUUGUUAGAUUGGUGUUUGGCAUGUAAAGACUAGUGGUAUGAUAUUGGGGUACGUUUUUAGGUAUAUGGGGCCAGUACCUGUAAGCUUGAAGACAACCUAAAUAUGCCCGGGAUGUAACAGAGUGCUUGCCUAUACUUCUGUUUUUGUAGUUAAGAGAACGUAAUUGCUUAGCAAUCAUUAAAUUUGUAUACUUAUUACUUGGGUGCCCUCUGCCUUGCUAUGCUGCAUAACAAUGAGAAUAUAUUACGGAAUUCUAACAGGAAAAAGGCAGGGGACUCCCAAAAUUUGGUGAAUGGGACGUCAAUGAUCCUGCUUCGGCUGAGGGGUUUACUGUGAUCUUUAACAAGGCUAGGGAUGAGAAGAAGACAGGUGGAAAACCCGAGUCACCAGGAAAGGUUGAUCCUAAUAUCAGGCAUGGAGGAGGAGUGGAUCCUGGCACUAGCAGGCCUUCGUCUGUAAGAUUUUUUCUCAUAACUGUUGUCGUUUCUUUCUCUAAUGAUUUGAUAUAUACAUGGGUCAGCCAAUAGAAAUACAUUCUUUGCGGUUUUCUUAGUUGCAAGUUAUUGCUUUUCAAGUGACGUUGGUAGUACAAAAUACAACUAUAUGUAACACUGACUUAUCGAUCAAACUCAGCAUACCAUUUGAUGUGAAAAUCAAUGCAACUGACUUAUAUAGAACUCUAGUAAGGAAAUGUGGCAAAAGACAUAUCUAAUGUUAGGGCCAAGAUAUUUGAAAAAUAAAAGAGCACAAGAUGAUUCGGCUGUUUUAUCUGGAUUAUUCCAUGCAAGUGGAAUUGGCAUACAUUAACUCGGGUUCUGUCUCCUUUUAGACAGAUGUAGCCUAAUAGGAAUAUUUGUUUGUUUUAUUGUGAAUAAUUGAAAGAACCAAUGGCCCUGGAAAUAUUUGCUUUUGUCAAUUGAUCAUUGUGUGACCUUUUCGUUUUUUCUAUGCGUUUUCUGUACCUGCUGCGUUUCCAAUAGUAGACUAAUAGAAUGAAUAACUGGAGGUGAUUAUUUCUGCUGCCAAAAUCUAAUAUGCUUAAAUUCCUCACUCUUUGCGGAUGAUUUGAUUUGGUUUGAUUUCCUGAUGCACAGAAAAAAUGGUUUUGCUGCAUUCAUCAACCACCGGCAGAGUUUUGACAAUGUUGUUCUCCUAAGUGCUUCGAUGGAGGAGCACGAUGUUCUGUAACUGGCUCCACUAUAUUUCCUCACUUAAUCUAUGUCUAUGAAAUUGGCAGCUAGGGAAGUGAAGUUUGAAGCAAUGGUUAGCAGUUUGCCUAAGGAAAUCGUACAUGAUAUCCUUUUGAGACUACCUCCUAAAGCUUUGAUCAGAUGCACCUCGGUGUCCAAGCCUUGGAACUCCAUGAUAAAAAGUCCAAGCUUUAUUCGCACCCACCUCAGCCUUACCAUCGAUUUUAACCAGUUUGGCACCCACCAACUCCUUCUGCAUUGUGUUCGUGGAGACAAUCCAGUGGAGCAGAAUUACUAUUUGCAUUAUGAUAACCAUGCUUUUGAUGAGUACUGCAAGCUAGAGUAUCCAAGUGUUCCCAAGCGCAAUAGAUUUCUUCGUGUGGUCGGAAUGCGAGGAUCCGAAUGCUUUUUAUGAGGCUUAUUCACUUGCUAGAGGCUUGUGGAGUAGUCCUCGUUCUUUUGAUCCCGUUUGUAAAGUUUUAUUCUUGCAAAUUUCAGGCUUUUGUGAACGGGGCAGUUCAUUGGCUGGCAUGGCGCUGCUUGAACGAUGGUCGUUAUCAAAAUUUCAUUUUAGCAAUUGAUGUGGACGGUGAGUUAUUUUGCGAGAUAAGGGUGCUAAAGAGUUUCAGACAGGAUGAACCAUUAGAUUAUCACUUGUCUGUUUCAGGUGAUGGAAACUCCAUUGCUAUGUUCACGACGACGCGUGGUCGUAAUUGUCCUGAGGAUUUUCUUGACAUAUGGGUGAUGAAAGAGUAUGGCAUCGAGGAUUCAUGGGCCAAACUGAUAACUCUCCACCGUAUCCGGAAACAAGGGUGCCCUACAAGCCCUUAUGUUUUAGGAACAGUGGUGAAGUGGUGUCCUGACUUUAUCACUUGUUCUAGAAAAAAACGUCGCAUGUACUGGGAUUUUCUCCGGGAUGCCUUGUGAUAUUCUGACAUUGCUGGAUUCUUGUUAGAGAUGAACAUUUUUCCUUCUGUUUGUCUGUUAAUUUACAGACCUAGAAGAAGUUGCUUAUCACAUGUUGCCAAUGUUCAUGGAUAUAUACAGUUAUAUUAAUUUCCUUGAAAUUUCUUGUGACAUUUUUUUAGCUCUAAUAAGAUUUAUCUCUCGUCACAAGACUUUUACAAUAACUUGUGCUCCUAUGGUCUACCAAAAUAAUAAUAUUGCAGUAGAGACUAGUAGUCUAUUAUUAAUUGUGUGUUCAACUUAAAGCAGCGAGAAAAAUGUGUACCUUUUUCUUUUCUUUUUUUUCAAAGAAUUUUUUAUCUUUUUCCUCUGGGAGGAGGAUUGUCUGCCCUCCUAGUUUCAGUGCCCUUCCAUGCCAUCUUGAUUGUGUGGUCAUGGUUAAGCCACGUUAAUAUUUUAUAUUACUAUUUAUUUUUGUCUUAUUAUAUCUAUAAAAAAACAAUAUAAAAUAAUGAUGUGGCUUAACCGUGACCACACAAAACAGGAGGGCAUGGAAGAGCAUUGAAACUAGGAGGGCAGACAAUCCUCCUCCCUUCCUCUGACCCUUGCAUGCAGGUUUGGCAGUAAAGUAAGAGUUUCCACGCAAUUAAAAUAAUGGCAAACUAGUCUUUCGGUUUUGCACGAAGAUAGGAUAAUUUAUACUAAAUUAUUUUUUUGUCUUUUAUUAAAGAAUCAUUUAAAAAAAAAAGUUUUUAAGUGUUUGGGAUCUUUUAAAUACCAAUUUCAAUACAGCUAUUAGUUCAAGUAACAUAAUUUUUAGUUUAGGUACCAAUGAAAAAAUCAACUAAAAUAAUUCUAUAAAUACUAUUAUAAUUCAAAAUAAUUAUAUGAUUGCCGUGUUUUCCGACCAGCCAACUGUAUUCGCAACCACCUCACCCUUACAAUCAAUCUUAAUAACCAGGUUUCGACUAACCUCCUUGUACUGCAUUGUAAACGCAUACAUGAGCCAAGGGAGGAGCAUUACUAUUUUUGCAUUAUGAUAAAUAACCAUGAUUUUGAUGGGUAAUGUAGACUAGAAUUUCCAAUCAUUCCGAAGGGAGAAUGGUUCAAUAUGACCUAUAGACUACAAGAACUCAAAUUCCUUAUUUGUUAUCUUCUGUAAACCAUUCAUCAGAGCUCUUGACAGGCAGUGACCAUAUUUGAGGAAUGACUAGACGCAUGUUGGGGCGCCAUCAUGACUUCAUGGGUGAACAAUAGAAUUUCGUGUGUAAGUUUCUCUCCACAUACAUCGUGUUAACUUUGUUUUUCUAGUUUCCUAGCAUGUUCCAGUUCGUGCAUUUUCAGUUUUUGGAUAGUGGAAAGGUCAAGUUGGUAGCAAAUUGACACGGCGAAGACGUAAGUCUAAAAUUCAUUGUCACUAAUUCAAUUUACCAAGCUUAAUUGGCCUCUCUUAACCUACAAAAUUGUCAUAAUAAACUAGUAAUUUCACUUCAUGAAAAUCUUGCUCAAUGUUGUUUGACUUGUUUCCCUUCCUAAACAUCGAGAUGUUCGUUAAUUAUAUGCUAAUAAGUUCAUCUUCAAAUGGAUCAUAAAUUAAUAUAGCUAUGUGACUAAUUAAGUAGUAUAACUCCAAAAUGGUAAAGCAUAAUCCAUGAUAAUUUUGGUAAAUCUGGUGUCGGCAGGAUCAUGUUCAUCUUCUUCGUGUUGUGUGGCUCAGGUUGUUUAAGAGUUUUUUACUAUUUUAAAUUGAUUCUCUAUAUUAUCUACAAUGGCCUACAAAAAACUGAACCAAACACCCCCACAAAGGAAAGGGGUCCUUUUCAGAUCCUUUCGACCUAAUUAUCUUCAUCAAAUAAUCCGUGUUCUUAAAAUUUGAUUCAACAACUAAAAACACGGAUCUAUUUUAAAAAUUAUAAUAACUUUAGUUGUUGAAUCAGAUUUCAAGAACCUUAAUAAAGAAGAUUAGGUAAAAGGAAUCAAGAAAUGAUCCCUUUCGAUCACAAAAUAAUAUAAUCGGUGUUGAAAGGAAUGUAGCUCAGUUGUUUACCAGCAGUCACUCAUAACGUUUGGUUCCCCCCCAAAAUCGGUGUUGAAAUGAUCCCUUUCUCUCACACUCUUUUUUUUUUACUUCUCACAUACCUCUUGUUAACUUCUGUCAUUUGAUCUACUUCCAUUUAUCCGAUCCAACGGUCAAAAAUUAAAAGGGUGUGUGAGAGGUAAAAAUUGGUGUAUAGAUAUCACACCCUUUUACUAAAUCCUAAAUUGUACAACUCCUUCAAAUAUAUCAAGGACGAAUAUGGUAUCUUCUACAAACCAUCCAGUAGAGCUCUCAGCAUGCAAUGACCAUAUUUAGGGAAUGGACUAGACACAUGUUGGGGCAUUAUCAUGACAUCAUGGGUUAACAAUACAAUUUGUGUUUAGUCUCUCUUCACAUACAUUACGUUAACUUAGUUUUUCUACUUUCUUAGCAUGUUCGGGUUCGUGCAUUUUCACCUUUUGGGUAGUGGAAAGGUCAAGUUGUUGGGAGACUUAUUAGUAAAAAGCAAAUUCACACGGCAAGACAUAAAUCUAAAAUUACUUGUCACUAAUUCAAUUCCACUGAAUUUAAUUCUUCUCUCUUAAUCUUCAAAAUUAACAUAAUAAGCUAGUAAAUUUCACUUCAUGAAAAUCUUGCUCAAUGUUGUUUGACUUGUUUCCUUUCUUUAACAGCUAGAUGUCCAUUAAUUAUAUGCUAAUAAAACUUGCUCUUCAUCUUCAAUUGAUCUAAUAUAGCUUUGUGACUAAUUAAGUAGUAUAACUACAAGAUGGUAAACAAUAAUCCAUGGUAACUUUUUGCAGGAUUAUUUUCUACUUCUUUGUGUUGUGUGGCUCAGGCUGUUUGAGAGUCUCAACAUUAUCUACCAUGGCCUAUAAAAUUGAACCAAUCACCAUCUCAAAAUAAAAUAAUCGGUAUUGCAAGGAAAUGCAACUCGGUUGUUUACGAGCAAUCACUCUUCCACCCUGAGUUGCGUGUUUGGUUCCUCAUCUCCCAAAAUCGUUCGUAUAAAGGAAAAGAAAAGUAUAACCGUGUGGGACAUAGGAGAUAAGAAAGCAAUUAAAAAGAUAAAACAGCAUGAUCAUGACCCCACAAAAAAAUAAAGAGAAAGUAAAAAGAGGAAGACUUGCUGUGGUCUUUCAACACCUAAUCCUCAUUGCAAAUUGAAGAGCUCUAAAGUGGUCUGGAUCUGUUGAUUUUCAUAAUCUAUGGAAAACAAGUCCCUUCAUCUUCAUCAUCAUCUGAAAACUUGAACGCAGUAAGUUCCUCUUGCAACUAUAUAUGCGGAAUCCAUUAUUUAUAAAUUAAUUAUUUCAUUUUUCUUCAAGAUUGUAUGCUUAAUUAAUUAUUUCAUCGAUAACCAGCUAUAUAAUUUGUUCAGUUUUCAGCCUUAAUUAUUCCAUCAUUCAGUUUGGAUUUAUUGAUCAUCAGUGCAAACAAGCGCCCUCAUGACCUGACAGACUUCCAUGAAACUGCUUCUUGCUACAGAUCUUGUCCAAUAUCCGUGCAGAUUUCGAGUCUUGAAACGUAGGAUUGCAAGGUAAUCCCAAAACUGCCCCAUUUUAUUUGUUCAACAUGUUAAAAUUUAAGAAAAAUGAUGCAUUGCUUACUAGCAUGAUUUUUUCAAUCUUGAGUUUUUAUGGUGUGUUUUAUUGUGCCUUAUCAUUGAGUAAUAUUAUGGUGUACGUGUUUUUCUUUUGACAAACGAUAACGUUAGUAGGUUAAAUUGUUAGUCCCGUACUGGAACACCAACCAGGUUACCCAAAAAAUGAUUCACACACCCAUCUUUAUUCUAUAACUUAAUUCCAUGCUUGUCCCUCGAUACUCGUGAGCGAAAGGGAGGGUCCAAGCGGAUAUGAAAAUGAUCUAUUACUCCAAAGUCUACUUCAUAUGGCCAAUUAUUAGGUGUGUGAUCCUCAUCAUCAACUAUACUUUUUAUAAGGAAUAUCAUUCAUAACCCAGCUAUAAGCAUGCCGAUAUCGUUGAAAGCAUUAAAACAAUGAAAAAUAUGAAGUCUUACCCAGUGGCAGAUCGAAGAUUUUAAUAUCGGUGGUCCUAAUAUAAAGGCCCUAAAAAAUAUUAAGCGAAAAAUAAUAUUGAAAAUUAAAUGCUAGACUACAAUUUUUCAUUCAUAAUUUUUGUACAAACAACAUUACAAGCUACAAAGUACAAAGACUUAUUUGUCAACGAUGAGGUAUGCGUAAUAUCGUUCCAUACUUCUAAUUUCUACACAUAUCAAUUACUCAAAACAAAAAAAAAACAUAUUAAUUGAUGAAGCUAAAAGAAAAAAAAUACCUAUAACUAUUAUGAAUUUAACAUUCUACAACAACAACAACAACAACAACAAAGCCUUUUCCCACUAAGUGGGGUCGGCUAUAUGAAUCCUAGAACGCCAUUGCGCUCGGUUUUGUGUCAUGUCCUCCGUUAGAUCCAAGUACUCUAAGUCUUUUCUUAGAGUCUCUUCCAAAGUUGUCCUAGGUCUUCCUCUACCCCUUCGGCCCUGAACCUCUGUCCCGUAGUCACAUCUUCGAACCGGAGCGUCAGUCGGCCUUCUUUGCACAUGUUCAAAAUCACCGGAGCCGAUUUUCUCUCAUCUUUCCUACAAUUUCGGCUACUCCUACUUUACCUCGGAUAUCCUCAUUCCCAAUCUUAUCCUUUCUCGUGUGCCCACACAUCCCACGAAGCAUCCUCAUCUCCGCUACACCCAUUUUGUGUACGUGUUGAUGCUUCACCACCCAACAUUCUAUGCCAUACAACAUCGCUAGCCUUAUUGCCGUCCUAUAAAAUUUUCCCUUGAGCUUCAGUGGCCUACGACGGUCACACAACACGCCGGAUGCACUCUUUCCAUCCAGCUCGUAUUCUAUGGUUGAGAUCUCCAUCUAAUUCUCCGUUCUCUUGCAAGAUAGAUCCUAGGUAGCGAAAAACGAUCGCUUUUUGUGAUCUUCGCUAGAUUGCUCCGGUCAUUAGUGUGGAUAAGUAUAUAAAUGGAUAGAGAUAGGAAAGCAAACACAAGAUGUACGUGGUUCACCCAGAUUGGCUACGUCCACGGAAUAGAAGAGUUCUCAUUAAUUGUGAAGGGUUUACACAAGUACAUAGGUUCAAGCUCUCAUUUAGUGAGUACAAGUGAAUGAUUUAGUACAAAUGACAUUAGGAAAUAUUGUGGGAGAAUGAUCUCGUAAUCACGAAACUUCUAAGUAUCGGAGUGUGGUGUCGUCUUGACUUGCCUUAUCUAUCUCAUAGGUAGAUGUGGCAUCUUCUCUGGAAGUACUCUUCCUCCAUCCAGGGGUGGUAUCUUUAACUGGUGGAGAUGCACAAGGUAAUGUAUCAAUUUCACUUGAAGCUUACUUGUAGUUUCAGGCUUGGUCAAGCGCGAUACAAACCAUGUAGUAGGAGUCCCCCAAGUCGCCGAGCUAGGGGGUCUGCUGAAAGAGGUGACAGACAAGGUAAGCAAUCAGAGCUCCGACUGAUUGUUCACCUUCUCCCCAUCUUGCAGCAGCAUGAAGGAUAAAGAGAAGAAAAAUGAGAAGAGAUGAUAUGAGAUACUUUUGCUUUUGAAGAAGUAACUUUCCACAGGCUUAUUCUUGAACUGAGCUGGAGGGUUUUCUGGUUUCCUCCAGAGUAUAAGGCCGACUGAAGAAUUUGAGGGUCAAAACAAGUCCAUCAAAUCUAGAGUACGUUCCACCCUGCUGAUAUGGGAUACUUUUGCUUUUGACAGAGUAAUGAAUGUAUCGACCCGUGUGCUGUUACGCUUGUCUCCACAUGCUUCCUUGUAUCCUUCGCACUUGCCCUAUCUGUUCCUCAAGCAGAUGCGGAAUCUUCCCUGGAAACAUAAGAUGUUGAAGAUGAGUACUCGAGAGCAAUGCCAGGUAAGUAAUCAGGUAAGGGGUUCCAGGCAGUCAGUUCCUGGCUGGAAGCUUGAUUCCAAGUGCUGACUGAUUGCUCUCUUUCUCCUUGUCUUGCAGGUAAAAAACAAGGCCAAAAGAAAAGACAGGGAAAAAGCAUGAUAUGGGAUACUCUUGCUUUUAACCCUGAUGAUAUGAGAUAUUCUUGCUCUAGUAUAGCUUGUUUGCAGAGGUAUUAUCGGGGGGAAAGAAAGCUGAAAUAUUUCGAAAGGCUUCGUUGGGAGUGCCCUCUCAAAUAUGAUGAAGGGUUGAGCAUUUUUGCAGGUCUGCCUGUCCGUUGGGGAUGGAGGUCGACAUAUAUAGGAGUCUCCCUAACAACAAGUAGUAAUGCUAUUCCUUUACCCUGCUUGGUCAUAGCACGGUAGUGGGAGCUGCCAGUUUCACAUGUUUUAACUCUGUCAGAGCACUUUGAAAAAGUGGUCUGUGGUAUCUGGCUCUCGAGAUUUGGAGAACGAUGCCUCUUCGAUUUUUGAGAAAGCAAUCAUGCUGGGGGUAUGACUCUCGAGAUUCGGAGAGCAGUGUCUCUUCGAUUUUUGAGGAAGUAAUCAUGUUGGGAGUCUGGCUCUCGAGAUUCGGAGGGCGGUGCCUCUUCGAUUUUGGAGCAAACAAUCUUGUUGGGAGUGUUGUCUCGAAUGUGAGUAAAGGUUGGGCAUGUUUGCUAGUCUACCUUGCCACGAAGCACAAAGGUUGACACACAGGGACUUUCCAAUUAUCCAGCAAUGGUACUGUUCCUUUACCUCUCUCUUCGAUUUUGAGAAAGUAGUCAUGUUGGGAGUCUGGCUCUCGAGAUUCGGAGGAUGGUGCCUCUUCGAUUUUGGAGCAAGCAAUCUUAUUGGGAGUGUUUUUCUCGAAUGUGAGUAAAGGUUGGGCAUGUUUGCUAGUCUACCUUGCCACGAAGCACAGAGGUUGACACACAGGGACUUUCCAAUUAUCCAGCAGUGGUACUGUUCCUUUACAGUUGUGGGUAAUAAUAUGGUAGCUAGACCUUCAAAAUUUAUGUGUCUAAACUUUUGUUAGUGCUGUUUCUUUGCUAUUCUUUUACCUUUCUUGGUCAGAGCGAUGUAGUGGGAGCUGCAAGCUUCACGUGCUCAACUUUGGCAGAGAACUUUGGCAAAGUUAUUUGUGGUACCCAUGAGCUAUUGUUGCGUGUGGGAAGUGGGUGUGAUUGAACAGUAAGAUUCAUGUGCUUUCUACUUCACCAGAAGUCUUCGACAGAAUGCCCAUAAUUUCUGCAAAGCUGAGUGUGCGUGUGACAGGUGCUGACAAGGCUAGAAAAGUAGGUGCCUCUUCGAUUUCUGAGAUCGGCCCUCGUGGUCUCUGAGCAGCCCAGCUUUUGAGAAAGCGAGCGCCUCUUCGAUUGAUUCGGAGAACGAUGCCUCAUCGAUUUUUGAGAAAGCAAUCAUGCUGGGGGUCUGGCUCUCGAGAUUCGGGGAGCAGUGUCUCUUCGAUUUUUGAGAAAGUAAUCAUGUUGGGAGUCUGGCUCUCGAGAUUCGGAGGGCGGUGCCUCUUCGAUUUUGGAGCAAGCAAUCUUGUUGGGAGUGUUUUCUCGAAUGUGAGUAAAGGUUGGGCAUGUUUGCUAGUCUACCUUGCCACGAAGCACAGAGGUUGACACACAGGGAGUUUCCAAUUAUCCAGCAAUGGUACUGUUCCUUUACCCUCUCUUCGAUUUUUAAGAAAGUAGUCAUGUUGGGAGUCUGGCUCUCGAGAUUCGGAGGACGGUGCCUCUUCGAUUUUGGAGCAAGCAAUCUUAUUGGGAGUGUUUUCUCGAAUGUGAGUAAAGGUUGGGCAUGUUUGCUAGUCUACCUUGCCACGAAGCACAGAGGUUGACACACAGGGACUUUCCAAUUAUCCAGCAGUGGUACUGUUCCUUUACCCUUGUGGGUAAUAAUAUGGUAGUUAGACCUUCAAAAUUUAUGGGUCUAAACUUUGUUAGUGCUGUUUCUUUGCUAUUCUUUUACCCUUCUUGGUCAGAGCGAUGUAGUGGGAGCUGCAAGCUUCACGUGCUCAACUUUGGCAGAGAACUUUGGCAAAGUUAUCUGUGGUACCCAUGAGCUAUUGUUGCGUGUGGGAAGUGGGUGAUUGAACAGUAAGAUUCAUGUGUUUUCUACUUCCCCAGAAGUCUUUGACAGAAUGCCCAUAAUUUCCGCAAAACUGAGUGUGCGUGUGACAGGUGCUGACAAGGCUGGAAAAGGCUGGAAAAAGUAGGUGCCUCUUCGAUUUCUGAUAUCGGCCCUCGUGGUCUCUGGGGAGCCCAGCUUUUGAGAAAGCGAGCGCCUCUUCGAUUUUUGAGAUCGGCCUUCGUGGUCUUUGAGCAGCCCAACUUUUGAGAAAGCAAACGCCUCUUCGAUUUCUGAGAUCAACCCUCGUGAUCUCUAAGCAGCCCAGCUUUUGAGAAAGCAAACGCCUCUUCGAUUUCUGAGCAGGCGCCUCUUCGAUUUCUGAAGCUUCGUCGAGUGCAGAUUUUUAUAGGGGCUGGCAUUAAGUUCCAAAGCACACUUGAAUCUCCACCAGUAGAAGCUUCAUUCUUGCACUUCUAAGAUCUUGAUUUGUCCGACCUCUUCUCUCUUCAACACCUUUGAAAAUGUCUGGCCCCUCCGACCGUCGUUUUGACUUGAACCUUGUUGAAGAGGCAGCCCCGCCUUCUCCAGACAACAUAUGGCGCCCAUCCUUCGUCUCCCCUACUGGUCCUCUUACCGUUGGGGAUUCCGUGAUGAAGAAUGAUAUGACCGCUGCGGUGGUGGCCAGGAACCUUCUCACUCCCAAAGAUAACAGACUACUUUCCAAACGGUCUGAUGAGUUAGCUGUUAAGGAUUCGCUGGCUCUCAGUGUUCAGUGUGCAGGUUCUGUGUCUAAUAUGGCCCAACGCCUAUUUGCUCGAACCCGCCAAGUUGAAUCAUUGGCGGCUGAAGUGAUGAGUCUCAAACAGGAGAUUAGAGGGCUCAAGCAUGAGAAUAAACAGUUGCACCGGCUCGCACAUGACUAUGCUACAAACAUGAAGAGGAAGCUUGACCAGAUGAAGGAAACUGAUGGUCAGGUUUUACUUGAUCAUCAGAGAUUUGUGGGUUUGUUCCAAAGGCAUUUAUUGCCUUCGUCUUCUGGGGCUGUACCGCGUAAUGAAGCUCCAAAUGAUCAACCUCUGAUGCCUCCUCCUUCUAGGGUUCUGUCCAGUACUGAGGCUCCAAAUGAUCCCCCUCCGGUGCCUUCUCUUUCUGGGGCUCUACCGACUGCUGAGACUUCUCCUAAGCAACCUUUGUGAAGGCUCCCUCUUGUGUGCUUAUUUUGACUCAUGUAUAUGUACAUAUUUGUAGCUUAUCGGGGAUAUCAAUAAAUAAGCUUUCCUUGUACAUAUUUGUAGCUUAUCGGGGAUAUCAAAAAAUCAUAAUAGUUAAAACAAUACCUAUAAUUAUUAUGAAUUUAACAUUCUACAUGAUUAAUUUAGACUAAAAUAAAAAUCUCAGUUAAAUUUAGAAACGAGGGGAUUAAGUGGUGGUGAAGAAAGGACAGCAGAAUGGUAGGUUAUGUCGGUGGUGUGGACCGUGUGAUCAAUCUGAUCGUGGUUUGUGGAGACUGGAGAGGAGACUGGUAUUGUGCUGAUGGUCUUCGGUUGGGACAAGGAUUGUCUGCCCUUCCACUUCCGGUGUCCUUCCGUGUCCUCCUGUUUUGUGUGGUCACAGUUAAGCCAAGUUAACAUUUUAUAUUGUUUUUUUAUAGAGAUAAUAAGACAAAAAUGAAUAGUAAUAUAAAAUGUUGACGUGACUUAACCGUGACCAUACAAAUAAGAGGGCACGAGAGGGCAUUGGAAGUGGGAGGGUAGACAAUCCUUGUCCCUUCGGUUGAGUGGGGUGGGGUUUUCAAGCUACGCAUCAAAACACACCGUUUUACUUAAAUGACUUGACUCCUUUAAAAAGAAAAAAAAGAAAAAAAAGAAAAAAAAAAAACUUCUUCUCUCCAUCUCGGUUGCAGAAUACCAGAAGACCCACCAGAAGUCAGAACACGGUGCGGCCCCACUCUUCUUCUCCUCCACCACACUUGGUGGUCCACGGAGGUCCUUGCAGCCACUUGUUCGGGCUUCCGGAUGGUCCCAAGACCACCCAAGUCUCUUAGUAGAUGGUAUUACCUCAUGUGAAGCUUCCGAAACAACUUUGAUAUAUUUUUCUCAAAUUAUUAUGAUUGGUUGAAAUUUUUUUUUUAAUUUCCAGCCACGUUAAUUAAGGAUGAAUCAUUUUAUCUCUUAUUUAAGAAUAUUUGUUAAAAACAAAUGUAAAAAUAUUUGUUCCUUGAUCCUAACUUAUUUUGUAUAUAUUAGGAAAAAGAACAUUUCCAUAAAACGUAACAGGACUGCAUACCUGACGGGACGGUUAUGGUGUAGGCAAUCCCUAGCCAUUCCCAAAUUGUCACCUCUAGAUAUGCUUUGCUAGGAGUCCAUUAAUUGAUUACUUCACUGUUACUAUAAAUUUGUAUGUGAUUGCGCAGGCAUCAAUAAUUACUUCUCAUCAUUUUAAUUUGUGCAGUUGUGACUAUUUCUGAGCCUCAACAGAUCAAGCUUCCAAAUUUCCAAGGAACUAGUCUUUGGCUGUUACUCUUCCCUUCGUUGAGUUCUGCACCUCAAUAUUGCUCAAGAACGUUUCACUAUUUCUUUGAUUUCUUGGAGUGCCCUUCACUCUUAACAUGGCACUGGGAGAGGGUUUUCUUGCGGCGUUUCUAAAGGUGCUGCUCAACAGGUUGACCUCCCGCGAGAUUCUCAACUACAUUGGAAACUUCCGGGGCGUCAGAAAGAAGCUGGACAAGUGGAGGGCCGUGUUAACUGCAAUAGGAGCGGUGCUCAGCGAUGCCGAGGAAAAACAACUCACUGAGGAUGCUGUGAAACUGUGGCUCGAUGAUCUCAGAGACUUGGCUUAUGAUGUCGAAGACAUGUUGGACAAAUUUGACACCCAAAUGUUGAAGCGCAUGAUAGAGGGACGUGAUCAAGCCCGCACAAGCAACAAGGUGCGGACCUCACUUUUCAAAAUUAAAUUCAAUAGGGAUAUGAACUCCGAAAUGAAGAAGAUUACGGAGCGGUUGCAAGACAUAUCUGAACGGAAAGAGAAGUUUGGCUUGAAAGAUACUGGGACGUCUGCUAAGGAAUCGCGAAGUCUACCAAGUUCAGAUGUGUUAGAUGAAAAGCUAGUUGUUGGAAGGGAUGGUGACAAAGGGGAGAUUAUUGAAUUGUUGUCAAGAAAAUACGAGCAUGAAGGUGCUGUCAAUUUUGGUGUAGUUGCUAUAGUUGGCAUGCCCGGAGUUGGGAAGAUGACACUUGCUCAACUUGUAUUCAACCACAAAGAUGAUGCCAUGAAGGAGUUUGAGCCUAAGGUGUGGGUAUCUGUGUCUGAUGACUUCAAUGUGGUGCGAGUGACAAAGGCAAUUCUUGAAUCCAUCACAUCCCGACCCGUUCAAAUGGAGGAGUUUAGUAAAAUUCAGCAUGAUUUGUGUGAGCAAUUAAGAGGAAAAAAGUUUUUAAUCGUGUUAGAUGAUAUCUGGAACAAAGGCGACUAUGAUCUACACGAUCUCUGGACAAGACUUAAAUCCCCUUUUGGCGUCGGAGCAGGAGGAAGUAAGAUUAUUGUGACAACCCGUGAUGUGCAUGUUGCAAGGACUAUGGGAGCCACGGGAGUUCAUAAUUUGGAAUGUAUGGCAGAUGAUGAUUGUUUGGAAAUAUUUGAGCGACAUGCAUUUGGGGAAGUUAAUAGUGUAAAACCAGUAAAUUAUGAGUUGAUUCGGACAAAAAUUGUUGAAAAAUGUUGUGGCUUACCAUUAGCUGCGAGGACUCUCGGUGGUCUCUUACUUUGCAAAGAAAAAGAUGAGUGGGGAGAAAUAUUGGACAACAAACUAUGGAAUCUUGCAGAUAACAGUAGCCUUCUCCCCGUACUAAAGUUGAGCUAUCACUAUCUUCCAUCACAUUUGAAGAGGUGUUUUGCCUACUGCUCAAUACUUCCAAAUGACUACGAAUUUUGGGAGAAGCGGCUCGUCCUUUUGUGGAUGGCAGAGGGUUUGAUUCAACAAAAACCUGAUGACAAUAAACAAAUGGAGGAUUUGGGCCGCGACUACUUUCGAGAGCUAUUAGCAAGGUCGCUGUUUCAAGAAUCAAGCAAAACCAAUUCAAGAUAUGUAAUGCAUGACCUCGUUAAUGAUUUAGCACAUUGGGCAGCAGGAGAAAUAUGUUUUAGGUUGGAAGAUAAGCAAGGUGAUAACUUGCAAAGCACUUGCUUUCAAAGGGCUCGCCAUUCGUCUUUCAUUGCUGGUGAAUUUGAUGGAGUUACGAGAUUUGAGGACUUCCCAAAAGCUGAACGCUUGCGAACAUUCCUGCCACUUUCACUUUCAGAUUCUGGUGGAUGGUACAAAUGUUUGUCUCGUAAGGUUACUUUUGAGCUAUUACCACAGUUGCAAUACUUACGAGUGCUCUCGUUCAAUUGCUACACAAUAACUGAGCUGCCAAAGUCAAUCGGUGAUUUGAGGUUGUUACAGUAUCUUGACCUUUCCUACACAGAUAUAACCUGUUUGCCUAAGUCAACAAGCACUCUUUACCACUUGCAAACAUUGAUAUUGGAAGGUUGUUCUAAAUUGAAGUCAUUGCCCACAAACAUGAGUAAUCUAAUUAAUUUGCGCCAUCUCAACAACUCAGGUGCAUAUUCGUUGGAAGGAAUGCCUUGGCAACUAGGUCGAUUGACGAAUCUACAAUCAUUGCCUCUUUUUGUGGUGAGCAAAGGUAGUGAUCAAUCAGGGAUAAGAGAGAUAGGGCCCCUAUUGCAUCUUCGAGGGACACUGUGCCUCUCAAGAUUGGAGAAUGUGACUGAUGUCAAGGAUGCCAGGAGGGCCAACUUGAAAUGCAAGGAGAGGCUUGAUUCGUUGGUCCUAAAAUGGUCUCAUUCAAGCGACACGAGAGAAACGGAAUCCGUUGUGCUUGACAUGUUAGAGCCUCAUACAAAGCUCAAGGAGCUCACCAUCAAGAGUUAUGCCGUAGAGGAAUUUUCAUCAUGGGUUGGAGGUCAUUUGUUCUCUAAUAUGGUGCUUGUGCGGUUAGAGGAAUGUAACAAUUGUUUAUCGGUGCCACCUCUCGGACAAUUGCCUCAUCUCAAAGAACUUUAUAUUAGAGGAAUGAAUGCAGUGGAAAGUGUUGGUGCUGAGUUUUAUGGCGAGUGUAUCUUGCCUUUUCCGCUGUUAGAGAUUCUUGAGUUUGUGGAUAUGUAGCAUUGGAAGGUGUGGCUUCCUUUCCAACUGGAUCACGAAAGUGCUUUUUUCCCUUGCCUGAAAAGGCUUUCAAUCAAACGAUGUUCAAAGUUGGAAGGUGAGCUGCCAGAGAAGCUCGAUUUGUUAGCCGAACUUGAAAUUGUUAAAUGUGAGGAAUUGGUGGUUUCGAUUGCCAACUACAAACAACUUCGUCAAAUAAAAAUUGACGGUUGUAAAGUGUUGGUACAUACAGAUGCUAAGGUUGAGUUUGAGUUAUUAGAGUCCUUGUGGCUUUCAAACAUUUCGGAGGUGACGUCUCUGCAAACAGGGGAAUUGUUCAGGAAGGGAUUAAGCAAGGUUAGAGAUUUGAAGAUCCAUGGAUGUGAGAAGCUGACGUCUUUAUGGAAGAAUGAGGAUGCUAAGGUUGAGUUUGAGUUAUUAGAGUCCUUGUGGCUUUCAAACAUUUCGGAGGUGACGUCUCUGCUAACAGGGGAAUUGUUCAGGAAGGGAUUAAGCAAGGUUAGAGAUUUGAAGAUCCAUGGAUGUGAGAAGUUGACGUCUUUAUGGAAGAAUGAGGCUAGAUUAUUGCAGCGGUUGACUUGUCUUGGCCGUUUGGAAAUUGAAGACAACUCUUGUCUAGUUGAAGAAUUGGGAAAAGAAGCAGAGGAGUUGAUGCAAUUGCAAAUAUUGGAGUGCAAGCUUGAAUUUCUGGAGUUAAACAAGUGCGAAAAUCUUUGGACGCUACCAAAAGGAUUAAAUCAGCUGUCGUCUCUUAAAGAGCUUCGCAUUCACGAAUGUUCACGUCUAGUUUCUUUCCCAGAUGUUGGUCUGCCACCUUCUCUUAAAGACAUUGAGAUUAUAUCGUGCGCUUCGUUGAUAUAUUUUGCAAAAUUCCAGAUUCCCCAAAAUCUAAGAAGAAUAGAUAUAAGAGAUUGCAAAAGUUUGAAAUCACUAGUAGAUGAGGAGGAAUGUGAACGACUGGGUUUAAUAGCACCGAACGGGUUCUUCAGCGACAACACCAAUCACUGCCUUGAAUAUAUUCUGAUCUCGAAUUGCCAAAAUCUGAAAUCCUUACCGGAUGGCUUAUGCCACCUCAGCAAUCUUCAAAAGCUAUAUAUUGAACUAUGUGGAAGUCUUGUUUCCAUCCCGAGACUGAGUGGGGGGAGAAGACCCUCCAACCUGAGAACGAUCUGGAUCAUCGGAUGCGACAAAUUGGAGGCGUUGCCCGAAAACAUGCACAAUCUCAACUCUCUUGAGGAUUUGAGCAUCGACUACCGUGAAGGUUUGACUUUUCCUCCCAACCUAACAUCACUUGAUCUUUGGAAGGUCAAGAGUUGUAAGUCAUUGUGGGAGUUGGAGUGGGGGUUGCACAGACUCACCUCUCUUAGAUACUUGUAUAUCGACAGUGAAGACCCGGAUACGGUGUCGUUUCCACCCGACAUGGUACGGAUGGAGACGCUCUUCCCCAAAUCUCUCACUAACCUCGCAAUAGGUGGCUUCCCGAAUCUAAAGAAACUGAGCAGCAAGGGCUUUCAAUUCCUCACCUCCCUUCAAUCUCUGAAACUCUUCCGUUGUCCAAAGCUAGCAUCUAUUCCAAAGGAGGGUCUGCCUCCUUCGCUAGAGGAACUUUGGAUCGAAGGGUGUCCAGUGCUAAAAGAGAGAUGUCAACCAGGAAAAGGACGCUACUGGCACAAAAUAUCCCACAUCCCUUACAUAAGGAUAGAUUAUAAGAAGAUAUGAAGCUGAUGGUCCAGGUAUCAUCUCUCGAGGAAUGUUUUAAUAUUAAUAUUAUUAUUAUUAAUAUCUCACAUCCCUUUCAUAAGCAUAGAUUGGGAGUUGAUAUGAAGCUGAUGGUCCAGGUAUCAUCUCUCAAGGAAUGUUUUAAUAUUAAUAUUAUUAUUAUUAUUAAUCAUCUUUAUUCUUGUAAAGUAAAGUAAUCCACAUAUUUUGGUUUGGGUCAAGGCUUUGGGGGUUGAGGAGUGGCUACUUUGGGAGGCCUUUCAAUUGGCGUCAACGGGGAUAUUUCUCCGCCAACGUUUCUUCUCCCAGAUUCCUAUAUUUGCUUCUUUCUUUCUUUUUUUUAUUGGUAAACGAUUGCUAUGUUUGCUUGGUCCCUUUUCAUUGAUUUGUAUUAUAACUUUAUAAAUGUGCUACUCUUUCUCCCAGCAAGAUUUUAAUCAGGCCACUUUAAUCUAAUCUUUUAUUUUAUUUUAGCAAAUUUUGACUUAUGAGCUAGUAAUGCAUUUUAUUUAAUGCAUCGAGAAUAAGCAAUCAACAAAGAAAUGGAAAUGUAAAGAGCUCGUUGCUCAAGUGGGUACAAGAGUGAUUUUACCCUUGGCCGUUUGUUAUGCACUUGCUAGAGGCUUGUGGAACGAUGACCACUAAAUGACUUCCUUUACUAUAACUUGUCUUCCUGAAAGUAGAAAAUACGUGCCAACGAAUUUUGGUCAAUCAAAUCCUUAUACCAAGCCUUCAUCACUUGUUCAAAAAAUGCAUUAUUCAUCUAAUUGAUAUGUGAUAAAUUGGUGAUGAUUAUGCAUUUUAACCGAGUUCUAAGGAAAAUUGAAGAUAGUAAUACAUCAGUACUAAAACUACAAAAUAUUACUGAAUUUGUAUACUUAUUACUUGGGUGCCCUCUGCCUUGCUGUGCUGAAUAACAAUGAGAAUAUAUUACUGAAUUCUAGCAGGAAAAAGGCAGGCCACUCUCAAAAUUUGGUGAAUGGGACGUCAAUGAUCCUGCUUCAGCUGAGGGGUUUACUGUGAUCUUUAACAAGGCUAGGGAUGAGAAGAAGACAGGUGGAAAACCGGAGUCACCAGGAAAGGUUGAUCCUAAUAUCAGGCAUGGAGGAGUGGAUACUGGCACUGGCACUGGCAGGCCUUCGUCUGUAAGAUUUUUUCUCAUAACUCUGUCUCAUUUCUUUGUCUAAUGAUUUGAUAAUAUACACAUGAGACAGCCAAUAGCAAUACAUUCUUUACGGUUUUCUUAGUUGCAAGUUAUUGCUUUUCAAGUGACGUCAGUAGUACAACACAGCAUACCAUUUGAUGUGAAAAUCAAUGCAACUGACUUAUAUAGAACUCUAGUAAGGAAAUGUGGCAAAAGACAGAUCUAAUGUUAGGGCCAAGAUAUUUGAAAAAUAAAAGAACACAAGAUGAUUCGGCUGUUUUAUCUGCAUUAUUCCAUGGGAGUGGAAUUGGCAUACGUUAACUUCACUCAGGUUCCAUCUCCUUUUAGACAGAUGUAGCCUAAUAGGAACAUUUGUUUGUUUUAUUGUGAACAAUUGAAAGAACUAUUGGCCCUUGAAAUAUUUGCUCUUGUCAAUUGAUCAUUGUGUGGCCUUUUCGUUUUCUGUGUCUGCUGCAUUUCCAAUUAGUAGAAUAAUAGAACGAAUAACUGGACGGUAAUUAUUUCUGCUGCCAAAAUCUAAUAUGCUUAAAUUCCUCACUCUUUGUGGAUGAUUUGAUUUGGUUUGAUUUCCUGGUGCACAGAAAAAAUGGUUUUGCAGCAUUCAUCAACCACCAGCAGUUUUGUUGACAAUGUUGUUCUCCUAAGUGCUCCGAUGGAGGAGCACGGUGUUCUGUAACUGGCUCCACUAUAUUUCCUCUCUCACUGUAUGUCUAUGAAAUUGGCAGCCGGGUAAGUGAAGUUUGAAGCAAUGGUUAGCAGUUUGCCUAAGGAAAUCGUACAUGAUAUCCUUUUGAGACUACCUCCUAAAGCUUUGAUGAGAUGCACCUCGGUGUCCAAGCCUUGGAACUCCAUGAUAAAAAGUCCCAGCUUUAUUCGCACCAAGGUAUAAAAUAUCAAUGAUAUCGGAAAUGUCGGUAGUCCAAAAACACGGAAAUUUCGAUGGAAAUAUCGGGAUAUUAUCGAUAUCGAUAAAAAUUGAAUAAAAACCAUGGAAAUUGUUAGAAAAACUUGGAAAUUUUUAUUGAAACUUUGCUGGAUGUUUAUUUAGUCAAUUAUCUAUUAGUUUAUUACAAAAAAUUGGAAGGAAAUGCAUUGCAUGAUAGAUAUAACUGAUUUAAAUUGAUUAUAUAGCGAGCUGGCAAACAUGGUGAGUGUAGAAAAUAUGUAGUAAUUAAUGAAAGAAGUUUAAACACACCAUAAUCAUUUAUAUAUAAUGAAUUAGUACAAUAUUUUACACUUUAUACAUUUCAUGGUAAGAUACAUGAGUGACUUAGCAAGGUCUAAAAUAUCGAUGAUAUCGGAAAUAUCGGUAGUCCAAAAAAAUAUCACUAGUCCAAAAACGCGGAAAUUUCGAUGGAAAUAUCGGGAUAUUAUGGAUAUUUUAGACCAUGAUUCGCACCCACCUCAGCCGUACCAUCGAUUUUAAGCAGUUUGGCACCCACCGACUCCUUCUGCAUUGUGUUAGUGGAGACAAUCCAGUGGAGCAGAAUUACUAUUUGCAUUAUGAUAACCAUGCUUUUGAUGAGUACUGCAAGCUAGAGUAUCCAAGUGUUCCCAAGCGCAAGAGAUUUCUUCGUGUGGUCGGAAUGCGAGGAUCCGAAUACUUUUUAUGGGCUUAUUCACUUGCUAGAGGCUUGUGGAGUAGUCCUUGUUCUUUUGAUCCCGUUUGUAAAGUUUUUUAUUCUUGCAAAUUUCAGGCUUUUGUGAACUGGGCAGUUCAUUGGCUGGCAUGGCGCUGCUUGAACGAUGGUCGUUAUCAAAAUUUCAUUUUAGCAAUUGAUGUGGACGGUGAGUUAUUUUGCGAGAUAAGGGUGCUAAAGAGUUUCAGACAGGAUGAACCAUUAGAUUAUCACUUGUCUGUUUCAGGUGAUGGAAACUCCGUUGCUAUGUUCACGACAACGCGUGGUCGUAAUUGUCCUGAGGAUUUUCUUGACAUAUGGGUGAUGAAAGAGUAUGGCAUCGAGGAUUCAUGGGCCAAACUGAUAACUCUAAGUCCACCGGAUCCGGAAAGAAGGGUGCCCUACAAGCCCUUAUGUUUUAGGAACAAUGGUGAAGUAGUGUCCUGACUUUAUCACUUGUUCUAGUAAAAAACGUCGCAUGUACUGGGAUUUUCUCAGGGAUGCCUUGUGAUAUUCUGACAUGGGUAAAUUGUAGCAAUGGUCCCUCAUUUUUUAAUCAAAUUGGAGCAAUGAUUCGUCAACUAAAAUUUCAUUACCAUUGGUCCCUCAAUUUAUGAAAAUGUGUAGCUAUAGUCAUAUUCAUCAAUUUUGUCUAAAUAAGUUAUGUUGGAAUAAUCAUUUAUAUAAUUAGGGUCCCUCAAUUCAUCAAAGUGUGUAAUUAAGGUUCUUUUCGUCAACUACGUCAAAAUUUUUGUCAAAACGAGUUAUGUUGGACGGAUCAUUGCUACAAUUAGGUUAAAGUUAAGGGACUAUUUCUCCAGUUGAAUUAAAGUUGAGGGAUCAAUGGUAAUAGAUUUUUAGUUAAGAGACCAUAGCUGCACAUUUUGAUGAGUUGAGGGACCAAUAAUAAUGAAUUUUUAGUUGAGUGACCAUUGCUCCAAUUGAGUUAAAGUUAAGAGACCAUAGCUACAAUUUACUCUUCUAACAUUGCUGGAUGUUAGCUAGAGAUGAACAUUUUUCCUUUAGUUUGUCUGUUAAUUUAGAGACCUAGAAGAAGUUGCUUAUCACAACAUGUUGCCAAUGUUCAUGGAUAUAUACAGUUAAAUUAAUUUCUUUGAAAUUGCUUGUGAUAUUUUCGUGCCAAAUAGGAAGAGAAGAAAAUUGCAUAUCUUAUUUUUUUAGCUCUAAUAAGAUUUAUCUAGUCACGAGACUUUUACAAUAACUUUUGCUCCUAUGGUCAACCAAAAUAAUAAUAUUACAGUAGAGACUAGUAGUCCAUUAGUAAUUGUGUGUUCAACUGAAAGCAGCGAGAAAAAUACGUACCUUUUUCUCUUCUCUGUUUUCAAAGAAUUUUUUAUCUUCUUCCUCUGCAACCCUUGCAUGCAGGUUUGGCAGUAAAGUAAGUUUCCGCGCAAUUAAAAUAAUGGCAAACUAAUCUUUCGGUUUCGUACGAAGAUAGGAUAAUUUAUACUAAAUUAUUUUUUUGUCUUUUAUUAAAGAAUACAUUUAUAAAAAAAUAAAAAAAGAAGUUUUAAGUGUUUGGGAUCUUUUAAAUACCAAUUUCAAUACAGCUAUUAGUUUAAGUAACAUAAUUUUUAGUUUAGGUGCCAAUGAAAAAAUCAACUAAAAUAAUUCUAUAAAAACUAUUAUAAUUCAAAAUAAUUAUACGAUUGCCGCGUUUUCCGACCUGCCAACUGUAUUCGCAACCACCUCACCCUUACAAUCAAUCUUAAUAACCACGUUUCGACUGACCUCCUUGUACUGCAUUGUAUUCGCAUACACGAGCCAAGGGAGGAGCAUUAGUAUUUGCAUUAUGAUAAAUAACCAUGAUUUUGAUGAGUACUGUAGACUAGAAUUUCCAAUCAUUCCCAAGGGAGAAUGGUUUAAUACGACCUAUAGACUACAAGAACUCAAAUUCCUUUUUUGUUAUCUUCUGUAAACCAUCCAUUAGAGCUCUCGGCAGGCAGUGACCAUUUUUGAGGAAUGACUAGACACAUGUUGGGGCAUCAUCAUGACAUCAUAGGUGAACAAUACGAUUUCGCGUUUAAGUUUCUCUCUAUAUACAUCGUGUUAACUUUGUUUUUCUACUUUCCUAGCACGUUCCGGUUCGUGUAUUUUCAGUUUUUGUAUAGUGGAAAGGUCAAGUUGGUAGUAGAUUGACAUAGCGAAAAAAUUACUUGUCACUAAUUCAGUUUACCAAGCUUAAUUGGUCUCUCUUAACUUACAAAAUUGUCAUAAUAAGCUAGUAGUUUCACUUCAUGGAAAUCUUGCUCAAUGUUGUUUGACUUGUUUCCCUUCUUAAACAUCGAUCGAGAUGUUCGUUAAUUAAAUGCUAAUAAUACUUGCUCUUCACCUUCAAAUGGAUCAUAAGUUAAUAUAGCUCUGUGAUUAAUUAAGUAGUAUGACUCCAAAAUGGUAAAAGCAUAAUCCAUGAUAAUUUUGGUAAAUCUGAUCUCGGCAAGAUCAUGUUCUUCUCUUCUUGUUGUGUGGCUCACGUUGUUUCAGAGUCUUUUACUGUUUAAAAUUAAUUACUAUUCCACCCGAAGUUUCACGUUUGGGUCCUCUUCUUAUAGCGGAAACGAAAAAGUAUAACCGUGUAGGAUAUUUGCGAUAAGAAAGCAAUCAAAAAGAAAACAAUAUGACCCCACGAAAAAUAAAGAGAGAACAAAAACAAGGAAUCUUUCUUUCUUUACGGGCAGAAAGAUGAAGACAUGUUAGUCUUUUAACACGUAUCGCAAUGGCAAAUUGAAGUAGUUAUCGUCGAAAGAGGAAGACUUGUUAUAGUCUUUCAAGUCGACACCUAAUUAUCCUAGCAAAUUGAUCUGUAAAGUAGUCUACAAAAACUCAAAUUCCAUUUAAACUACCUGUUUUAUUAAAGGAAUAUACUAUCCGCAUAUCUAUUUUUACUUAUCAGACACUCUUUUUUACUUCUCACAUCCCCUUUGUUAACUUUUGUCCUUUGAUCUACUUCAAUUCAUCCGAUCCGACACCGAAAAUUAAAAUGAUGUGUGAGAAGUAAAAAAAGGUGUGUGGAUAUCACACCAUUUUACUAAAUCCUAAAUUGUAUAACUCCUUCAAAUAUAUCAAAGGCGAAUAUGGUACCUUCUGUAAACAAUCCGGUAGAGCUCUCAGCAGGCAAUGAUAAUAUUUAGGGAAUGACUAGACACAUGUUGGGACGUUAUCGUGACAUCAUGGGUUAACAAUACAAUUUGUGUUUAAAUUUCUCUUCACUAGCUUAGUUUUUCUACUUUCCUAACAUGUUCGGGUUCGUGCAUUUUCAGCUUUUGGGUAGUGGAAAAGUCAAGUUGCUGGUAGACUAAGUAGUGAACAAGUAGAUUCACACGGCAAUACAUAAGUCAAAAAUUACUCGUCACUAAUUCAGUUCUACCGAGUUUAGUUUGUCUCUCUUAAUCUUCAAACUUACAUAAUAAGCUAGUAAUUUCACUUCAUGAAAAUCUUGCUCAAAGUUGUUUGACUUGUUUCCUUUCUUUAGCAGCUAGACGUUCAAUUAUAUGCUAAUAAAACUUGCUCUUCAUCUUCAAUUGAUCUAAAAUAUAGCUCUGCGACUAAUUAAGUAGUAUGACUACAAGAUGGUUAACAAUAAUCCAUGGUAACCUUUUGCAGGAUCAUUUUCUUCUUCUUUGUGUUGUGUGGCUUAGGCUGUUUGAGUCUUUUACUACUUUAAAUUAAUUUAAGGAAAACUAAUGAAAAUGACUUGAAAACUUUGAGUUUUAACGAAAAUGACAAAAAUGUGUUGUAAAUGAAUAGUAUCAAUAUUGACUUUUUAGAGUAAAAAUGUGAUUUUUUGUUAAAGUAACAGUACCUUGAGUUUUUCUUCGUUAAAGUUUCGUUAAAUUUAUUGUCUCAACAUUAUCUACAAUGGCCUAAAAAAUUAAUCACCCUUUCAAACUAAUAUAAUCGGUAUUGCAAGAAAUGCAACUCAGUUGUUUACCAGCAAUCACCCUUUCACCCUAAAUUGCGUGUUUGGUUCCUCAUCUCCCAAAAUCGUUCGUAUAAAUGAAAAGAAAAUGUAUAACCGUGUAGGACAUAGGAGAUAAGAAAGCAAUUAAAAAGAUAAAAGAGGAAUCUGUCUUUUUUGGCAGAAAGAGGAAGACUUGUUAUAGUCUUUCAACACCUAAUCAUCAUUGCAAUUUGAAGAGCCUCGACUAGAAGAAAAAGACGUCUUAUGUACUCGGAAUUUUCUCCGGGAUGCCUUGUGAUAUUCUGAUAUUGCUGCUAGAAAUAAACAUUUUUCCUUAAGUUUGUCUGCUAAUUUACCGUCCUAGAAAAAGUUGCUUAUCACAACAUGUUGCCAAUGUUCAUGGACAUAUACAGUUAAUGAGUUUCUAUGAAAAUGUUGUCGAUAUUUUCGUGCCAAAUGUUGAGUGCAUCAUCUAUUUGUUGUAGCCUUAAUUUCUAGUUGCCCUCCAACUUUCAACGUUGCUUUGCUUAAUUGCAAACCUUUCAUCUCUUAUUGUGCUUUCUUCUCAAUAUUCUCACACCUCUAUAAGGCGAGAAGCAAAUUACAUAUCUCGGUUUCAAAGCUUUAAUAAGAUUUAUAUCUCUCUCAUUACAAAACUUUUACAAUAAAUUUUCCUCCCAUGGUCUAUCAAAAUAAUAAUAUUUCAGCAGCGACUAUCUAUUAUCAUAAAUUUUGGUGCAUUUGAAAGCAGCGAGAACAAUACAUUUUUAUUUUAUUUUUUCUCAAAUAAAUUUUUUGGUCAUUUUCCUCUGCAACCCUUGAGUUUCAACCCACUUUAUUUAUAAGAGUGAGGAGAACAAAUUUUUAAACCAAAUUUUGUAAAUAAAAUGAUAUGUCACUAAUAAAAAAUAAGUACGUUAAUUAAUACUUGAAUAAUUUGAUCUCUCUAACAUUAUUCUUAAAAUAAUGGUAAACUAAUUUUUUUAUUUAUUUUUACGAAUGAUAGAAUAAUCUAUUAAACUAUUGUGUUUUUUUUCUUUUUGUGAACAAUAAGACAAUAAACUAUUAUUUCGCCUUUUAUUAAAGAGUACUAAAAAAACGAAGUUUUUGAGAUCUUUUAAGUACCAAUUCCAAUAAAACUUUCAGGGUAAGUAACGUGAUUUUUAGUUUACAAAUAUUAAAAAAAACUAAUGAAAAUGACUUGAAAAUUUUGAGUUUUAAUGAAAAAGACAAAAAUGUGUUGUAAGUGAAUAGUACCAGAAUUGACAUUUUAAAGUAAAAAUGUGGUUUUUUGUUAAAGUGAGCAGUACCGAAAGAGUUUCGUUAAAGCUCCCAAAUACUAAUGAAAAAGUUAACCAAAAUAAAUCUACAGAUAUUAGAGCAAGUCCAUCCCUGAAAACUUUGUGCCAGCACCCAGCGUAUUUAUAUCUCCAUCGGCACCCGGAUGCAGUGUUAAAUGAGCAAGGGGGCUAUAGAAACUUCUUUUCGAACGACUCCACUCAAAGUUGUUUGGGAGCAUAUGCUCCUAUCAACUUUACACGGGACACACAAAAGAAGUACUUUGAUCCUAUUAGACGGGGAAGGGUGAAGAAGCUAGGACAGAAGGGUAGAGUUCAAGAGAGCAAAAUGCGUUUAGGAACGUGGAAUAUAGGAACCUUGACGGGAAAAUCUAUGGAAGUAGUAGAAGUUAUGGUGAGGAGAAGGAUAAAUAUUAUGUGCCUACAAGAAACUAAGUGGGUUGGGCGUAAGGCAAAGGAUCUAGAAAACUCAGGGUUUAAACUAUGGUAUUCGGGCACAAAUAGAACGAGAAACGGUGUUGGCAUCAUCGUGGACAAGACCUUGACACAAGAUGUUGUAGAUGUCAAGAGGGUAGGAGAUAGAAUCAUGGCAAUCAAGAUUGUAAUAGGACAAGAACUUAUCAAUGUGAUUAGUGCGUACGCACCUCAAGUAGGGUUGGAUACGAGUUCGAAGGAGAAAUUUUGGGAAGACCUUGGAGACUUGGUGCAAGGAAUUGCUCAGACGGAGAAGUUAUUUAUAGGAGGAGAUUUAAAUGGACACGUGGGCAGGGAGACAGGCAACUAUGGAGGUUUUCAUGGUGGCCAUGGUUUUGGGGAGAGAAACGAGGAUGGGGAAGCUAUCUUGGAUUUUGCAAUGGCAUAUGAUCUCUUCUUAGCCAACACCUUCUUUAAGAAGCGGGAAGAACAUGUGAUCACCUACAAGAGUGGGUCGUCAAAAACACAAAUAGAUUUUCUUCUAAUGAGGAAAAGGGAUCGUAUAACUUGUAAGGAUUGCAAAGUUAUACCAGGAGAGAGCGUGGCUAAUCAACAUCGCUUGUUGGUGAUGGAUGUACAUAUCAAAAGAGUGAGAAAAAAGAACAAGACUUGGAAGUGCCCAAGGACUAGAUGGUGGAAUCUAAAAGAAGAAAAACAAGCAAUUUUCAAAGAGAAAAUAAUCACCCAGUGUGUGUGGGAUAGAGAGGGGGAAGCUAACCAAAUGUGGGAUUCCAUGGCUAGUUGUAUCCGAAAAGUAGCAAAAGAGGUAUUAGGAGAGUCCAAGGGCUUUGCCCCACACCAAAAGGAAUCUUGGUGGUGGAGUGAGGAGGUACAAACAAAGGUGAAGGCUAAGAAGGAAUGUUGUAAAGCCUUAUACAAGGAUAGGACCGAUGAAAAUGGUGAAAGGUAUAGAAAAGCGAAGCAAGAGGUGAAGAAAGCUGUGAGAGAAGCUAAGUUAGCGGCUUAUGACGAUAUGUAUAAACGACUAGAUACCAAAGAAGGAGAGUUGGAUAUCUAUAAACUAGCUAGAGCAAGGGAAAAGAAGACAAGGGACCUAAACCAAGUGAGGUGCAUCAAGGAUGAGGAUGGAAAGGUUCUUGCUACAGAGAACGCGGUUAAAGACAGAUGGAAAGGUUAUUUUCAUAAUCUUUUCAAUGAAGGACAUGAAAGGAGUGCUUCUUUAGGGGAGUUGAGUAACUCAGAAGAGUGUAGAAACUACUCUUUUUAUCGUAGAAUCCGGAAGGAAGAAGUGGUUGUAUCUUUGAAGAAGAUGAAGCAUAGAAAAGCAGUAGGCCCAGACGAUAUACCAAUCGAAGUGUGGAAAGUUUUGGGAGAGACAGGUAUAACAUGGCUCACUGACAUUUUCAAUAGGAUUUUGAAAACGAAGAAGAUGCCAAAUGAGUGGCGAACGAGCACUUUGGUGCCUAUCUACAAGAAUAAGGGCGAUGUACAAAAUUGCAUGAACUAUAGGGGUAUUAAGCUAAUGAGUCAUACAAUGAAGCUCUGGGAGAGAGUCAUUGAGCAUAGAUUGAGGCAAGAGACACGGGUUUCGGACAACCAAUUCGGGUUCAUGCCAGGGGCGCUCAACCAUGGAGGCAAUCUAUCUCUUACGAAGAUUGAUGGAAAGAUAUAGAGAUGGGAAAAAGGAUUUACACAUGGUCUUUAUAGAUUUGGAAAAAGCGUAUGAUAGGGUCCCAAGAGACAUUCUUUGGAGGAUUUUAGAGAAGAAAGGAGUACGAGUAGCAUAUAUCCAAGCUAUACAGGAUAUGUAUGAAGGAGCAAAGACUGCCGUAAGAACUCAUGAAGGACAAACCGAAAGCUUUCCCAUAACUGUAGGAUUACAUCAAGGCUCAUCCUUAAGUCCUUACCUUUUUGCGUUGGUAAUGGAUGAGUUAACAGGACAUAUUCAAGAUGAUAUUCCUUGGUGUAUGCUUUUCGCAGACGAUAUAGUGUUGAUAGAUGAAACUCAAGAAGGGGUAAAUGCAAAGAUUAACCUUUGGAGAGAAGUGUUGGAAUCUAAAGGUCUUCGCCUAAGCCGAUCAAAGACAGAAUAUAUGGAGUGCAAGUUCAGUGCAAAUGGAGGCCAAAAACGAGUUAGGGGUGAGGAUCGGAGAUCAAGAAAUACCAAAGAGCGACCGUUUUCGUUACCUAGGAUCUAUCUUGCAAAAGAACGGAGAAUUAGAUGGAGAUCUCAACCAUAGAAUACAAGCUGGAUGGAUGAAGUGGAAGAGUGCAUCCGGCGUGUUGUGUGACCGCCGUAUGCCACUGAAGCUCAAGGGAAAAUUUUAUAGGACGGCAAUAAGGCCGGCGAUGCUGUAUGGCACAGAAUGUGGGGCGGUGAAGCAUCAACACGUACACAAAAUGGGUGUAGCGGAGAUGAGGAUGCUUCGUUGGAUGUGUGGGCACACGAGAAAGGAUAAGAUUAGGAAUGAGGAUAUCCGGGGUAAAGUAGGAGUAGCCGAAAUUGAAGGAAAGAUGAGAGAAAAUCGGUUACGGUGGUUUGGACAUGUGCAAAGAAGGCCUACUGACGCUCCGAUUAGAAGAUGCGACUAUGGGACAGAGGUUCAGGGCCGAAGGGGUAGAGGAAGACCCAGGAAAACUUUGAGAGAGACCCUAAGAAAAGACGUAGAGUACUUGGAUCUAACGGAGGACAUGACACAGGACAGAACACAAUGGCGUUCUAAGAUUCAUAUAGCCGAUCCCACUCAGUGACUUGGAUUUUUCCAAGUCUCCAACCGAAAAGUUUGUCCUCGCUCGGGAAAUUAAGGGAACACUACCUCAACCUACAUGCUCCACUCACAAAGCUCCAACAUACAAGCUUCAACAAAAGAAAAUUCAAAGAACUUAGCGAAGAAGGCUUUGGUGAUUUAACACAAUACGUUGAAAUGAAGGAAAGCUUAUUUAUUGAUAUCCCCGAUAAAUUACAAAUAUGUACAUAUACUUGAGUCAAAAUAAACAAACAAGAGGAAGCCUUCACAAAGGUUGCUUAGGAGAAGUCUCGGCAGUCGGUAGAGCCCCAGAAAGAGAAGGCACCGGAGGGGGAUCAUUCGGAGCCUCAGUACUGGACAGAACCCUAGAAGGAGGAGGCAUCAGAGGUUGAUCAUUUGGAGCUUCAUUACGCGGUACAGCCCCAGAAGACGAAGGCAAUAAAUGCCUUUGGAACAAACCCACAAAUCUCUGAUGAUCAAGUAAAACCUGACCAUCAGAUUCCUUCAUCUGGUCAAGCUUCCUCUUCAUGUUUGUAGCAUAGUCAUGUGCGAGCCGGUGCAACUGUUUAUUCUCAUGCUUGAGCCCUCUAAUCUCCUGUUUGAGACUCAUCACUUCAGCCGCCAAUGAUUCAACUUGGCGGGUUCGAGCAAAUAGGUGUUGGGCCAUAUUAGACACAGAACCUGCACACUGAACACUAAGAGCCAGAGAAUCCUUAACAGCCAACUCAUCAGACCGUUUGGAAAGUAGUCUGUUAUCUUUGGGAGUGAGAAGGUUCCUGGCCACUACCGCAGCGGUCAUAUCAUUCUUCAUAACGGAAUCCCCAACGGUAAGAGGACCAGUAUGGGAGACGAAGGAUGGGCGCCAUAUGUUGUCUGGAGAAGGUGGGGCUGCCUCUUCAACAAGGUUCAAGUCAAAACGACGGUCGGAGGGGCCAGACAUUUUCAAAGGUGUAGAAGAGAGAAGAGGUCGGACAAAUCAAGAUCUUAGAAGUGCAAGAAUGGAGCUUCUACUGGUGGAUAUUCAAGUGUGCUUUGGAACUUAAUGUCAACCUCUAUAAAAAUCUGCACUCGACGAAGCUUCAGAAAUCGAAGAGGCGUUUGCUUUCUCAAAAGCUGGGCUGCUCAGAGACCACGAGGGUCGAUCUCAGAAAUCGAAGAGGCGUUUGCUUUCUCAAAAGCUGGGCUGCUCAAAGACCACGAAGGCCGAUCUCAGAAAUCGAAGAGGUUUGCUUUCUCAAAAGCUGGGCUACUCAGAGACCACGAGGGCCGAUCUCAGAAAUCGAAGAGGUUUGCUUUCUCAAAAGCUGGGCUGCUCAGAGACCACGAGGGCCGAUCUCAGAAAUCGAAGAGGUUUGCUUUCUCAAAAGCUGGGCUGCUCAGAGACCACGAGGGCCGAUCUCAGAAAUCGAAGAGGCACCUACUUUUCCAACCUUGUCAGCACCUGUCACACGCACACUCAGCUUUGCGGAAAUUAUGGGCAUUCUAUCGAAGAUUUCUGGCGAAGUAGAAAGCACAUGAAUCGUACUGUUCAAUCACCCACUUCCCACACGCAACAGUAGCUCAUGGGUACCACAUAUAACUUUGCCAAAGUUCUCUGACAAAGUUGAGACUACUUUUCCAGCCUUGUCAGCACCUGUCACACGCACACUCAGCUUUGCGGAAAUUAUGGGCAUUCUGUCGAAGAUUUCUGGCGAAGUAGAAAGCACAUGAUUCGUACUGUUCAAUCACCCACUUUCCACAUGCAACAGUAGCUCAUGGGUACCACAUAUAACUUUGCCAAAGUUCUCUGACAAAGUCGAGACAUGUGAAGCUUGCAACUCUCACUACAUCGCUCUGACCAAGAAGGGUAAAAGAAUAGCAAAGAAACAACACUAACAAAGUUUAGACACAUAAAUUUUGAAGGGCUAGCUACCAUAUUAUUACCCACAAGGGUAAAGGAACAGUACCACUGCUGGAUAAUUGGAAAGUCCCUGUGUGUCAACCUCUGUGCUUCAUGGCAAGGUAGACUAGCAAACAUGCCCAACCUUUACUCACAUUCGAAAAAACACUCCCAACAAGAUUGCUUGCCCCAAAAUCGAUGAGGCAUCGCCUCCGAAUCUCGAGAGCCAGACUCCCAACAUGAUUACUUUCUCAAAAAUCGAAGAGAGGGUAAAGGAACAGUACCACUGCUGGAUAAUUUGAAAGUCCCUGUGUAUCAACCUCUGUGCUUCGUGGCAAGGUAGACUAGCAAACAUGCCCAACCUUUACUCACAUUCGAGAAAACACCCCCAACAAGAUUGCUUGCUCCAAAAUCGAAGAGGCACCGCCCUCCGAAUCUCGAGAGCCAGACUCCUAACAUGAUUACUUUCUCAAAAAUCGAAGAGAGGGUAAAGGAACAGUACCACUGCUGGAUAAUUGGAAAGUCCCUGUGUGUCAACCUCUGUGCUUCGUGGCAAGGUAGACUAGCAAACAUGCCCAACCUUUACUCAUAUUCGAGAAAACACUCCCAACAAGAUUGCUUGCUCCAAAAUCGAAGAGGCACAGCCCUCCGAAUCUCAAGAGCCAGACUCCCAACAUGAUUACUUUCUCAAAAAUUGAAGACACCGCUCUCCGAAUCUCGAGAGCCAGACCCCCAGCAUGAUUGCUUUCUCAAAAAUCGAAGAGGCAUCGUUCUCCGAAUCUCGAGAGCCAGAUCCCCGACAGGAUUGCUUGUUCGAAAACCGAAGAGGCACCACUUUCCCAACUUCAAGAGCCGGAUCUCCUUGGAUAAAGCUUGUCUGUAAUCUUCACACGCAACAUCAGCUUUCCAGAUACCACAGACCACUUUUUCAAAGUGCUCUAACAGAGUUAAAACUUGUGAAGCUGGCAGCUCCCACUACCGUGCUAUGACCAAGGAGGGUAAAGGAAUAGCAUUAUUACUUGAUGUUAGGGAGACUCCUAUAUAUGUCGACCUCCAUCCCCAACGAACAGGCAGACCUGCAAAAAUGCUCAACCCUUCCUCUUAUCUGAGAGGGCACUCCCAACGAAGCCUUUCGAAAUAUUCAGCUUUCUUUCCCCCCGAUAAUACCUCUGUAAACAAGCUAUACUAGAGCAAGAAUAUCUCAUAUCAUCAGGGUUAAAAGCAAGAGUAUCCCAUAUCAUGCUUUUUCCCUGUCUUUUCCUUUGGCCUUGUUCUUACUUGCAAGACAAGGAGAAAAGAGAGCAAUCAGUCAGCACUUGGAAUCAAGCUUCCAGCCAGGAACUGACUGCCUGGAACCCCUUACCCUGGCAUUGCUCUCGAGUACUCAUCUUCAACAUCUUAUGCUUCCAGGGAAGAUACCGCAUCUGCCUGAGGAACAGAUAGGGCAAGUGAGAAGGAUACAAGGAAGCAUGUGGAGACAAGCGUAACAGCACACGUGCCGAUACAUCCACUACUCUGUCAAAAGCAAAAGUAUCCCAUAUCAGCAGGGUCGAACGUACUCUAGAUUUGAUGGACUUGUUUUGACCCUCAAAUUCUUCAGUCGGCCUUAUACUUUGGAGGAAACCAUAAAACCCUCCAGCCCAGUUCAAGAAUAAGCCUGUGGAAAGUUACUUCUUCAAAAGCAAAAGUAUCCCAUAUCAUCUCUUCUCAUUUUUCUUCUCUUUAUCCUUCAUGCUGCCUGCAAGAUAGGGAGAAUGUGAACAAUCAGCCGGAGCUCUGAUUGUUUACCUUGUCUGUUACCUCUUUCAGCAGAUCCCCUAGCUCGGCGACUUGGGGGACUCCUACUACAUGGUUUGUAUCGCGCUUGACCAAGCCUGAAACUACAAGUAAGCUUCAAGUGACAUUGAUACAUUACCUUGUGCAUCUCCACCAGUUACAGAUACCACCCCUGGAUGGAGGAAGAGUACUUCCAGAGAAGAUUCCACAUCUACCUAUGAGACAGAUAAGGAAAGUCAAGACGAUACCACACUCCGGUACUUAGAAGUUUCGUGGUUACGAGAUCAUUCUCCCACAAUAUUUCCUAAUGUCAUUUGUACUAAAUCAUUCACUUGUACUCCCUAAAGGAGAGCUUGAACCUAUGUACUUGUGUAAACCCUUCACAAUUAAUGAGAACUCCUCUAUUCCGUGGACGUAGCCAAUCUGGGUGAACCACGUACAUCUUGUGUUUGCUUUCCUAUCUCUAUCCAUUUAUAUACUUAUCCACACUAAUGACCGGACCAAUCUAGCGAAGAUCACAAAAAGUGACCGUUUUCGCUACCUAGGAUCUAUCUUGCAAGAGAACGGAGAAUUAGAUGGAGAUCUCAACCAUAAAAUACAAGCUGGAUGGAUGAAGUGUAAGAGUGUAUCCGGCGUGUUGUGUGAUCGUCGUAGGCCACUGAAGCUCAAGGGAAAAUUUUAUAGGACGGCAAUAAGGCCAACGAUGUUGUAUGGCACAGAAUGUUGGGCGGUGAAGCAUCAACACGUACACAAAAUGGGUGUAGCGGAGAUGAGGAUGCUUCGUGGGAUGUAUGGGCACACGAGAAAGGAUAAGAAUGGGAAUGAGGAUAUCCAAGGUAAAGUAGGAGUAGCCAAAAUUGAAGGAAAUAUGAGAGAAAAUCGGUUCCGGUGGUUUGGACAUGUGCAAAGAAGGCCUACUGACGCUCCGGUUCGAAAAUGUGACUACGGGACAGAAGUUCAGGGCCGAAGGGGUAGAGGAAGACCUAGGAAAACUUUGGAAGAGACCCUAAGAAAAGACUUGAUUACUUGGAUCUAACGGAGGACAUGACACAAAACCGAGCGCAAUGGCGUUCUAAGAUUCAUAUAGCCGACCCCACUUAGUGGGAAAAGGCUUUGUUGUUGUUGCUUCCUUUCCCUUUCCGGUCCUUUCUUUAUCAUUUAUUUUUUCUGCUUUCUUCUUUCUUCCUUUCCCUCACCAUGUCGGUACCCAGGCUUCAACCUUCACUGCACGAUCGCACGACCUCGACACCCAGGGCUUCAACCUUCACCGCACGAUCGCACGACCUCCGACCAAGACCUCGACACCCAGGGCUUCAACCUUCACCGCACGAUCGCGGAGCUCAACCUGGACCACCUCAACAAGGUGUUCAUGGCCGUCGGGUUUCUGAAGACAUGAAGACGAAGUGGCCGGUGGCGUUCACGAUCGUGCGAUCGCGGAGCUCAACACGGACUCGCUACUGUGAAUGGAGUACAUGAAGACGAACCGGCCGGUGGCGUUCACAAGGUCGACGGGAGACGGCCUCCAGUUCAAACUUCCUUCGGACGCCAUGCUGGCGUCACCAUGGCAUCAGAUAGGCCGGUCCCAAGGUCUGUCGAUUUUAGGCCGGCCUGUGGACUGGCAUGGGCUGGGUGCCAGUCAAUUGGGUCGGCUAGAGCAAAUUCACUGGGUCCUGGCCUAUUUUUUCGGCUGGGUGCUGGGCAAAAAGUCCUCCAGUGGACUUGCUCUUACUAUAUAGAAUUCAAAAUAAUUAUACGAUUGCCAUUUUUUGUUUACCGGUCAACUGUAUUCCCAACGACCUUACCCGCACAAUCAAUCUUGAUAACCAGGUUUCCACUAACCUCCUUGUACUCGAUUGUGUUCGCAUGCAUGAGCCAAGGUAGGUGCAUUACUAUUUGCAUUCUGAUAAACAACAAUGAUUUUUUAUGAAUAUUGCAGACUAGAAUUUCCAAUCAUUCCCAAGGGAGAACGGUUCAAUCAUAACAUCAUGGGCUAAGAAUACAAUUUCAUGUUUAAGUUUUUCUCCACAUACAUCACGUUAACUUGGUGUUUUUUACUUUCCUAGCAUGUUCCCUUCUGUGCAUUUUCAGCUUUUAAAUAGUGACUUAUUAGUGAAAAAGCAGAUUCACAUGACGAAGACAUAAGUAUAAAAUUACUUGUCACUAAUUCAGUCAUCAAGCUUAAGUCAUCUAUUUUAAUCUUCAAAAUUAACACAAUAAGCUAGAAAAUUCAGUUCAUGAAAAUCUUGCUCAAUGUUGUUUGACUUGUUUCCUUUCUUAAACGUUUAGAUGCUCAUUAAUUAUAUGCUAAUAAAACUUGCUCUUCAUCUUCAAAUGGAUCAUAAUCCAAUAUAGCUCUGUUACCAAUUAACUAGCAUAACUACAAGUCUACAAGACAACUUUGGUAAAUCCGGUGCCGGCAGGAUCAUUUUCUUCUUCUUUGUGUUGUGUGGCUCAGGUUUUUUUUCAGUCUUUUACAAUUUUAAAUUGAUUGUCUCUACAUUAUCUACCAUGACCUACGAACAAUUGAAACAAUCACCCUCCCAAAAUAAUAUGAUCGGUGUUGCAAGGGAUUGUAGCUUAGUUGUUUACAAGCAGAUAUUUUUUUAUUUUUUUUAGUACAUCUUCUUUAUGUUAAGGAAGAGAAGAAGUUUGGCUAAGCCACACAAUGAAUAGCCUAAUUUGAUAUCAAAUUCGUCAUCUACAAUAUUCGAACCUAAGGCCUCUACUUAUAAGUGAGGAGGAAUAUCAUUAGAUCGUAGUACUAGGUGUUGCAAUUAGUCAUUUUUUUGUUGAGAAUAAAUCUCAUAUUAAUGAAAUGAGAGACUUUGUAUGUGCUUAUAAUAAGUAGUUGAGGUACUCUCCCUAUUGUCAAAUUUUUUUUGGUGGAACUUCAACAUUUUUCAUGCUAUCAAAACAAGUUGUCUCAUGUAUGACACAUAAUGGCUUUACGUGAUCCAUAUCUUUCGAGUUGUAUUAUUCACAUGUUAAACUUAAAAUUCGUCAUACGUAACGGAACAUAUUAAGAAUGAAUCUCAUAUUAAAAAAAAAAAAAAGACUUUGAAAUCUCAAGUUUAUUCUAUUUCCAUCCAAAGUUCUAUAUUUGAUUUCCCAUCUCCAAAAUCGUUCCUAUAAAGAAAAAGAAAAAGUAUAACGUACGUGUAGGGCUUUGGAGAUAAGAAAUCAAAUAAAAAGACAACAAUAUGACCCCACGAAAAGUACAGAGGGAAAAGAGGAGUCCUUCUUUGUGGGCAGAAAGGUGCAGACUUGUUAUAAGUCUUUCAACACCUAAUUAUCAAAAGCAAAUUGCAGAGUUCGAGAGUAGUCUGGAUCUGUUGAUUUUUAUAAUCUAUGGAAACAAGUCCCUUCAUCUGAAAACUUGUACGCAGUAAGUUCCUCUUGCAACUAUAUAUGCGAAAUUCAUUAUUUAUUAAUGAAUUAUUUCAUUUUUCUUGAAGUUUGUAUAUUUAAUUAAAGAUUUCAUCAAUAACCAGCUAUAUAAUUUGUGCUGUUUUCAGCCUUGAUUAUUCCAUCAUUCGGUCUGGAUUUGUUGACGAUAAGUGCAAACAAGUGCCCUCAUGACCUGACAGGCUUCCAUGUAACUGCUGCUUGCUUCAGAUCAUGCCCAAUAUUUGUGCAACGGUGCAAGUUUCGAGUCUUGAAGCGUAGGGUUGCAAGAAUUCCCCCCUGCAGUUACGGGUAAUCCCAAAACUGCCCAUUUUUUGUCCAGUUCAAAUUUAAGAAAAAUAAUGUUUACUAGUAUAUGAUUUUUGCAAGCUUGAGUUUUUCUUUUUGCUCGUCUUUUAAAUUUAUAUGGUGUGUUUUAUUGUGCUUUAUUAUUUAUUGUGUUUUAUGUCAUCUCAAAUGACAAGUGAAUCAAAUGUACACAAUUAACAAUUAAUGGGAUAAAUUUAUUAAUUGAUGUGACAUAUCACAUCAAAUUGUACAUAAAUAUGGUACAAACAUAUGUGAUUCCCUUAACAUUUUCGGAUUUUCCUAGUAAUAUUAUAUGGCGUGUUAUUGUGCUUUAUACAUACAAUAUCAAGUUUUUUUUUUUUUUUUUUUUUUGCUUUUUAUUGGAACAUACAAUAUCAAGUUAUUAGGGACUGUAUACCUGGUGGUGGGAAGGUUAUGAUGUAGGCAACCUUGAUCUGAAUCCGGCCCGUUGCCAUCCUUUGCUAUUCCCAAAUUGUUAUCUCUAGAUAUGCUUACUAGGAGUCUCCAUUAAUUGAAUAUUAUUUCAAUUUUACUAUAAAUUUAUAUAGGUAAAUGCUAGGGACAUUAAAUUACUUUAGUCUAAAGUAAGGUUUGAAAUUGGCACUAUUUAAAUGAACAGUGUUUCAAUCCGAAUUUCAGAUUAAUUACAACCAUGCCAUUGGUCUUUGUGUUGGUUUUGGGUCAGCAGCCAGGCCCUCAGCCAUGCCCAAAUGUGUUGGUUUUAGCUGGGAAGCCCCGCCCUCAGUGAGGCCCAAAUUGUUAAUUACAAUUUUGCCCAUCUAAGAUUACAAUCCAAUGGUGGAGAUGGUGUAUUAAGAAGGGCAAUUUUGUCCUCUCCGUUUUGGGCGAGAUAGGGGGUCAUCGGGUAGGUAUCAUUUGCUGUCGUUCAAUUAGGGUUUCAGGGAGGGUCUGAGAGAGAGAGAGAGAGACAGAGAGAGAUGGCGAUGGGAGGAGAGCGAGGGGGAGGGGUAGGGCUCUCGGCACUGUUGUUGCGGAUGGGAGGGUCGGUAUGGUCAGAGAAGACCAUAUGGGUCGUCGGGAUUUCAGGGAGACGGGGUAGGGGUCAUCAACAAACCCUAUUGAGAGUGGGGUGUGCUGGAUCUUGCGCUGCAUGCCUCGAAUCCAAAGAUAAGUUCUUUUUAAAAUUGUAUUCUUUAAUGGUGCCUUAGAUUUUCUAAUUGUUUAGUAUGUUAGGUCCGGUUUUGGGGGAUUUGUGAUUUUACAGAGAGAGAUGGAUAGGGAGAUAGAGAUAGAGAGAGAGAGGAGAUAGCAUGGGUGUGUGCAUUUUUUUGAGUUAAUUAAUGGGUUAGUGCGCAUGUCAGUGAGGAGAGUGACAGAGGGGUGAAUGGCAUUGGCAGGGUAUGGGUUUUCAGUUUUUCCCUCUGAUUCAAUAGGUUAUGCACUGUUUGAAAAUAAAUUGUUUAUUGUUUUGUUUUCCGUUUGCUUUGUUAAAACCAUCAUUCGAAUUUUUCGGUUUCACUGUGCUCAUUUCUGUGCUUCUUCAAAAUUUUCUGGUGUUUGCUUUUCAUUCCUAUGUUGGUUGAUUUUUUUUUUUUCCCAUUUCUUGGUUCCUUAUGUAUUUCUUGGUUCUGUCUAAUUUUUUGCUGUGGGAUGAUGCUUGCAGGUGAACCUGAAAACAGCAUACAAGAUAGAGAACUGGUAUGCUAUUUUGUCUUUCUGUUGGAUUUUGAUGUUUAUGUUCUGCUACUAAGAGGAUUUUAUAGUGUUCUAAAUCUGUUUUGUAAAUGUGCUUAAAGAUUGGACAUGUUCUUGAAUGUUAGCCAUGUUGUUUGAAUUGGAUAUGUGAUUGAAUAUUAGGUAUUUAGUUUGAAUUGAUCUGGAUAUGUGGUUUAUUGAACUAGAAUUUGGAUAUGUGCUGAUUUGAAUUGAGUAUGUUGAAUUAGAGAUGUGCUACUUUGAAUUAAGUUGAAAAAUGGCAAGCCAUGGUAUAUUGAAUGUUUUUUUUUGCCCCAAAUUUACAUAAGUCCCAAAGGGUGAAUGUCGUCCCAAAACUUUACAACAACAACAACAACAAAGCCUUUUCCCACUAAGUGGGGUCGGCUAUAUGAAUCCUAGAACGCCAUUGCGCUCGGUUUUGUAUCAUGUCCUCCGUUAGAUCCAAGUACUCUAAGUCUUUUCUUAGAGUCUCUUCCAAAGUUGUCCUAGGUCUUCCUCUACCCCUUCGGCCUUGAACCUCUGUCCCGUAGUUACAUCUUCGAACCGGAGCGUCAGUCGGCCUUCUUUGCACAUGUUCAAAAUCACCGGAGCCGAUUUUCUCUCAUAUUUCCUACAAUUUCGGCUACUCCUACUUUACCUCAGAUAUCCUAAUUCCCAAUCUUAUCCUUUCUCGUGUGCCCACACAUCCCACGAAGCAUCCUCAUCUCCGCUACACCCAUUUUGUGUACGUGUUGAUGCUUCACCACCCAACAUUCUGUGCCAUACAACAUCGCUAGCCUUAUUGCCGUCCUAUAAAAUUUUCCCUUGAGCUUCAGUGGCCUACGACGGUCACACAACACGCCGGAUGCACUCUUUCCAUCCAGCUCGUAUUCUAUGGUUGAGAUCUCCAUCUAAUUCUCCGUUCUCUUGCAAGAUAGAUCCUAGGUAGCGAAAACGAUCGCUUUUUGUGAUCUUCGCUAGAUUGCUCCGGUCAUUAGUGUGGAUAAGUAUAUAAAUGGAUAGAGAUAGGAAAGCAAAUACAAGAUGUACGUGGUUCACCCAGAUUGGCUACGUCCACGGAAUAGAAGAGUUCUCAUUAAUUGUGAAGGGUUUACACAAGUACAUAGGUUCAAGCUCUCAUUUAGUGAGUACAAGUGAAUGAUUUAGUACAAAUGACAUUAGGAAAUAUUGUGGGAGAAUGAUCUCGUAAUCACGAAACUUCUAAGUAUCGGAGUGUGGUGUCGUCUUGCCUUACCUUAUCUGUCUCAUAGGUAGAUGUGGCAUCUUCUCUGGAAGUACUCUUCCUCCAUCCAGGGGUGGUAUCUUUAACUGGUGGAGAUGCACAAGGUAAUGUAUCAAUUUCACUUGAAGCUUACUUGUAGUUUCAGGCUUGGUCAAGCGCGAUACAAACCAUGUAGUAGGAGUCCCCCAAGUCGCCGAGCUAGGGGGUCUGCUGAAAGAGGUGACAAACAAGGUAAGCAAUCAGAGCUCCGACUGAUUGUUCACCUUCUCCCCAUCUUGCAGCAGCAUGAAGGAUAAAGAGAAGAAAAAUGAGAAGAGAUGAUAUGAGAUACUUUUGCUUUUGAAGAAGUAACUUUCCACAGGCUUAUUCUUGAACUGAGCUGGAGGGUUUUCUGGUUUCCUCCAGAGUAUAAGGCCGACUGAAGAAUUUGAGGGUCAAAACAAGUCCAUCAAAUCUAGAGUACGUUCCACCCUGCUGAUAUGGGAUACUUUUGCUUUUGACAGAGUAAUGAAUGUAUCGGCACGUGUGCUGUUACGCUUGUCUCCACAUGCUUCCUUGUAUCCUUCGCACUUGCCCUAUCUGUUCCUCAAGCAGAUGCGGAAUCUUCCCUGGAAACAUAAGAUGUCGAAGAUGAGUACUCGAGAGCAAUGCCAGGUAAGUAAUCAGGUAAGGGGUUCCAGGCAGUCAGUUCCUGGCUGGAAGCUUGAUUCCAAGUGCUGACUGAUUGCUCUCUUUCUCCUUGUCUUGCAGGUAAAAACAAGGCCAAAAGAAAAGACAGGGAAAAAGCAUGAUAUGGGAUACUCUUGCUUUUAACCCUGAUGAUAUGAGAUAUUCUUGCUCUAGUAUAGCUUGUUUGCAGAGGUAUUAUCGGGGGGAAAGAAAGCUGAAUAUUUCGAAAUGCUUCGUUGGGAGUGCCUUCUCAGAUAUGAUGAAGGGUUGAGCAUUUUUGCAGGUCUGCCUGUCCGUUGGGGAUGGAGGUCGACAUAUAUAGGAGUCUCCCUAAAAACAAGUAGUAAUGCUAUUCCUUUACCCUGCUUGGUCAUAGCACGGUAGUGGGAGCUGCCAGUUUCACAUGUUUUAACUCUGUCAGAGCACUUUGAAAAAGUGGUCUGUGGUAUCUGGCUCUCGAGAUUCGGAGAACGAUGCCUCUUCGAUUUUUGAGAAAGCAAUCAUGCUGGGGGUAUGACUCUCGAGAUUCGGAGAGCAGUGUCUCUUCGAUUUUUGAGGAAGUAAUCAUGUUGGGAGUCUGGCUCUCGAGAUUCGGAGGGCGAUGCCUCUUCGAUUUUGGAGCAAGCAAUCUUGUUGGGAGUGUUGUCUCGAAUGUGAGUAAAGGUUGGGCAUGUUUGCUAGUCUACCUUGCCACGAAGCACAAAGGUUGACACACAGGGACUUUCCAAUUAUCCAGCAAUGGUACUGUUCCUUUACCCUCUCUUCGAUUUUGAGAAAGUAGUCAUGUUGGGAGUCUGGCUCUCGAGAUUCGGAGGACGGUGCCUCUUCGAUUUUGGAGCAAGCAAUCUUAUUGGGAGUGUUUUCUCGAAUGUGAGUAAAGGUUGGGCAUGUUUGCUAGUCUACCUUGCCACGAAGCACAGAGGUUGACACACAGGGACUUUCCAAUUAUCCAGCAGUGGUACUGUUCCUUUACAGUUGUGGGUAAUAAUAUGGUAGCUAGACCUUCAAAAUUUAUGUGUCUAAACUUUUGUUAGUGCUGUUUCUUUGCUAUUCUUUUACCUUUCUUGGUCAGAGCGAUGUAGUGGGAGCUGCAAGCUUCACGUGCUCAACUUUGGCAGAGAACUUUGGCAAAGUUAUUUGUGGUACCCAUGAGCUAUUGUUGCGUGUGGGAAGUGGAUGAUUGAACAGUAAGAUUCAUGUGCUUUCUACUUCACCAGAAGUCUUCGACAGAAUGCCCAUAAUUUCUGCAAAGCUGAGUGUGCGUGUGACAGGUGCUGACAAGGGUAGAAAAGUAGGUGCCUCUUCGAUUUCUGAGAUUGGCCCUCGUGGUCUCUGAGCAGCCCAGCUUUUGAGAAAGCGAGCGCCUCUUCGAUUGAUUCGGAGAACGAUGCCUCAUCGAUUUUUGAGAAAGCAAUCAUGCUGGGGGUCUGGCUCUCGAGAUUCGGGGAGCAGUGUCUCUUCGAUUUUUGAGAAAGUAAUCAUGUUGGGAGUCUGGCUCUCGAGAUUCGGAGGGCGGUGUCUCUUCGAUUUUGGAGCAAGCAAUCUUGUUGGGAGUGUUUUCUCGAAUGUGAGUAAAGGUUGGGCAUGUUUGCUAGUCUACCUUGCCACGAAGCACAGAGGUUGACACACAGGGACUUUCCAAUUAUCCAGCAAUGGUACUGUUCCUUUACCCUCUCUUCGAUUUUUAAGAAAGUAGUCAUGUUGGGAGUCUGGCUCUCGAGAUUCGGAGGACGGUGCCUCUUCGAUUUUGGAGCAAGCAAUCUUAUUGGGAGUGUUUUCUCGAAUGUGAGUAAAGGUUGGGCAUGUUUGAUAGUCUACCUUGCCACGAAGCACAGAGGUUGACACACAGGGACUUUCCAAUUAUCCAGCAGUGGUACUGUUCCUUUACCCUUGUGGGUAAUAAUAUGGUAGCUAGACCUUCAAAAUUUAUGGGUCUAAACUUUGUUAGUGCUGUUUCUUUGCUAUUCUUUUACCCUUCUUGGUCAGAGCGAUGUAGUGGGAGCUGCAAGCUUCACGUGCUCAACUUUGGCAGAGAACUUUGGCAAAGUUAUCUGUGGUACCCAUGAGCUAUUGUUGCGUGUGGGAAGUGGGUGAUUGAACAGUAAGAUUCAUGUGUUUUCUACUUCCCCAGAAGUCUUUGACAGAAUGCCUAUAAUUUCCGCAAAACUGAGUGUGCGUGUGACAGGUGCUGACAAGGCUGGAAAAGGCUGGAAAAGUAGGUGCCUCUUCGAUUUCUGAGAUCGGCCCUCGUGGUCUCUGGGGAGCCCAGCUUUUAAGAAAGCGAGCGUAUCUUCGAUUUUUGAGAUCGGCCAUCGUGGUCUUUGAGCAGCCCAACUUUUGAGAAAGCAAACGCCUCUUCGAUUUCUGAGAUCAACCCUCGUGAUCUCUAAGCAGCCCAGCUUUUGAGAAAGCAAACGCCUCUUCGAUUUCUGAGCAGGCGCCUCUUCGAUUUCUGAAGCUUCGUCGAGUGCAGAUUUUUAUAGGGGCUGGCAUUAAGUUCCAAAGCACACUUGAAUCUCCACCAGUAGAAGCUUCAUUCUUGCACUUCUAAGAUCUUGAUUUUUCCGACCUCUUCUCUCUUCAACACCUUUGAAAAUGUCUGGCCCCUCCGACCGUCGUUUUGACUUGAACCUUGUUGAAGAGGCAGCCCCGCCUUCUCCAGACAACAUAUGGCGCCCAUCCUUCGUUUCCCCUACUGGUCCUCUUACCGUUGGGGAUUCCGUGAUGAAGAAUGAUAUGACCGCUGCGGUGGUGGCCAGGAACCUUCUCACUCCCAAAGAUAACAGACUACUUUCCAAACGGUCUGAUGAGUUAGCUGUUAAGGAUUCGCUGGCUCUCAGUGUUCAGUGUGCAGGUUCUGUGUCUAAUAUGGCCCAACACCUAUUUGCUCGAACCCGCCAAGUUGAAUCAUUGGCGGCUGAAGUGAUGAGUCUCAAACAGGAGAUUAGAGGGCUCAAGCAUGAGAAUAAACAGUUGCACCGGCUCGCACAUGACUAUGCUACAAACAUGAAGAGGAAGCUUGACCAGAUGAAGGAAACUGAUGGUCAGGUUUUACUUGAUCAUCAGAGAUUUGUGGGUUUGUUCCAAAGGCAUUUAUUGCCUUCGUCUUCUGGGGCUGUACCGCGUAAUGAAGCUCCAAAUGAUCAACCUCUGAUGCCUCCUCCUUCUAGGGUUCUGUCCAGUACUGAGGCUCCAAAUGAUCCCCCCCUCCGGUGCCUUCUCUUUCUGGGGCUCUACCUGACUGCUGAGACUUCUCCUAAGCAACCUUUGUGAAGGCUCCCUCUUGUGUGCUUAUUUUGACUCAUGUAUAUGUACAUAUUUGUAGCUUAUCGGGGAUAUCAAUAAAUAAGCUUUCCUUCAUUUCAACGUAUUGUGUUAAAUACACACCAAAGCCUUCUUCGCUAAGUUCUUUGAAUUUUCUUUUGUUAAAGCUUGUAUGUUGAAGCUUUCUGAGUGGAGCAUGUAGGUUGGGGUAGUGUUCCCUUAAUUUCCCGAGUGAGGAAAACUUCUCGGUUGGAGACUUGGAAAAUCCAAGUCACUGAGUGGGAUCGGCUAUAUGAAUCUUAGAACGCCAUUGUGCUCGAUCCUGUGUCAUGUCCUUCGUUAGAUCCAAGUACUCUAAGUCUUUUCUUAGAGUCUCUUCCAAAGUUUUCCUAGGUCUUCCUCUACCCCUUCGGCCCUGAACCUCUGUCCCAUAGUCGCAUCUUCUAAUCGGAACGUCAGUAGGCCUUCUUUGCACAUGUCCAAACCACCGUAACCGAUUUUCUCUCAUCUUUCCUUCAAUUUCGGCUACUCCUACUUUACCCCGGAUAUCCUCAUUCCUAAUCUUAUCCUUUCUCGUGUGCCCACACAUCCAACGAAGCAUCCUCAUCUCCGCUACACCCAUUUUGUGUACGUGUUGAUGUUUCACCGCCCAACAUUCUGUGCCAUACAGCAUCGCCGGCCUUAUUGCCGUCCUAUAAAAUUUUCCCUUGAGCUUCAAUGGCAUACGGCGGUCACACAACACGCCGGAUGCACUCUUCCACUUCAUCCAUCCAGCUUGUAUUCUAUGGUUAAGAUCUCCAUCUAAUUCUCCGUUCUUUUGCAAGAUAGAUCCUAGGUAACGAAAACGGUCACUCUUUGGUAUUUCUUGAUCUCCGAUCCUCACCCCUAACUCGUUUUGGCCUCCAUUUGCACUGAACUUGCACUCCAUAUAUUCUGUCUUUGAUCGGCUUAGGCGAAGACCUUUAGAUUCCAACACUUCUCUCCAAAGGUUAAGCUUUGCAUUUACCCCUUCCUGAGUUUCAUCUAUCAACACUAUAUCGUCUGCGAAAAGCAUACACCAAGGAAUAUCAUCUUGAAUAUGUCCUGUUAACUUAUCCAUUACCAACGCAAAAAGGUAAGGACUUAAGGAUGAGCCUUGAUGUAAUCCUACAGUUAUGGGAAAGCUUUCGGUUUGUCCUUCAUGAGUUCUUACGGCAGUCUUUGCUCCUUCAUACAUAUCCUUUAUAGCUUGGAUAUAUGCUACUCGUACUCCUUUCUUCUCUAAAAUCCUCCAAAGAAUGUCUCUUGGGACCCUAUCAUACGCUUUUUCCAAAUCUAUAAAGACCAUGUGUAAAUCCUUUUUCCCAUCUCUAUAUCUUUCCAUCAAUCUUCGUAAGAGAUAGAUUACCUCCAUGGUUGAGCGCCCUGGCAUGAACCCGAAUUGGUUGUCCGAAACCCGUGUCUCUUGCCUCAAUCUAUGCUCAAUGACUCUCUCCCAGAGCUUCAUUGUAUGACUCAUUAGCUUAAAUACCCCUAUAGUUCAUGCAAUUUUGUACGUCGCCCUUAUUCUUGUAGAUAGGCACCAAAGUGCUCAUUCGCCACUCAUUUGGCAUCUUCUUCGUUUUCAAAAUCCUAUUGAAAAGGUCAGUGAGCCAUGUUUAUACCUGUCUCUCCCAAAAGUUUCCACACUUCGAUUGGUAUAUCGUCUGGGCCUAUUGCUUUUUUAUGCUUCAUCUUCUUCAAAGCUACAACCACUUCUUCCUUUCGGAUUCGACGAUAAAAAGAGUAGUUUCUACACUCUUCUGAGUUACUCAACUCCCCUAAAGAAGCACUCAUUUCAUGUCCUUCAUUGAAAAGAUUAUGAAAAUAACCUCUCCAUCUGUCUUUAACCGCGUUCUCUGUAGCAAGAACAUUUCCAUCCUCAUCCUUGAUGCACCUCACUUGGUUUAGGUCCCUUGUCUUCUUUUCCCUUGCUCUAGAUAGUUUAUAGAUAUCCAACUCUCCUUCUUUGGUAUCUAGUCGUUUAUACAUAUCGUCGUAAGCUGCUAACUUAGCUUCUCUGACAGCUUUCUUCGCCUCUUGCUUCGCUUUUCUAUACCUUUCACCAUUUUCAUCAGUCCUCUCCUUGUAUAAGGCUUUACAACAUUCCUUCUUAGCCUUCACCUUUGUUUGUACCUCCUCAUUCCACCACCAAGAUUCCUUUUGGUGUGGGGCAAAGCCCUUGGACUCUCCUAAUACCUCUUUUGCUACUUUUCGGAUACAACUAGCCAUGGAAUCCCACAUUUGGCUAGCUUCCCCCUCUCUAUCCCACACACAUUGGGUGAUUACCUUCUCUUUGAAAAUGGCUUGUUUUUCUUCUUUUAGAUUCCACCAUCUAGUCCUUGGGCACUUCCAAGUCUUGUUCUUUUGUCUUACUCUUUUGAUAUGUACAUCCCAUCACCAACAAGCGAUGUUGAUUAGCCACGCUCUCUCCUGGUAUAACUUUGCAAUCCUUACAAGUUAUACGAUCCCCUUUCCUCAUUAGAAGAAAAUCUAUUUGUGUUUUUGACGACCCACUCUUGUAGGUGAUCACAUGUUCUUCUCUCUUCUUAAAGAAGGUGUUGGCUAAGAAGAGAUCAUAUGCCAUUGCAAAAUCCAAGAUAGCUUCCCCAUCCUCGUUUCUCUCCCCAAAACCAUGGCCACCAUGAAAACCUCCAUAGUUGCCUGUCUCCCUGCCCACGUGUCCAUUUAAAUCUCCUCCUAUAAAUAACUUCUCCGUCUGAGCAAUUCCUUGCACCAAGUCUCCAAGAUCUUCCCAAAAUUUCUCCUUCGAACUCGUAUCCAACCCUACUUGAGGUGCGUACGCACUAAUCACAUUGAUAAGUUCUUGUCCUAUUACAAUCUUGAUUGCCAUGAUUCUAUCUCCUACCCUCUUGACAUCUACAACAUCUUGUACCAAGGUCUUGUCCACGAUGAUGCCAACACCGUUUCUCGUUCUAUUUGUGCCCGAAUACCAAAGUUUAAACCCUGAGUUUUCUAGAUCCUUUGCCUUACUACCAACCCACUUAGUUUCUUGUAGGCACAUAAUAUUUAUCCUUCUCCUCACCAUAACUUCCACUACUUCCAUAGAUUUUCCCGUUAAGGUUCCUAUAUUCCACGUUCCUAAACGCAUUUUGCUCUCUUGAACUCUACCCUUCUGUCCUAGCUUCUUCACCCUCCCCCGUCUAAUAGGAUCAAAGUACUUCUUUUGUGUGUCCCGGGUAAAGUUGAUAGGAGCAUAUGCUCCCAAACAACUUUGAGUGGAGUCGUUCGAAAAGAAGUUUCUAUAGCCCCCUUGCUCAUUUAACACUGCAUCCGGGUGCCGAUGGAGAUACAGCGACCCUUGCUCACUUAUCACUGUGCUCAGGCCACACAGCGCGCCACUUACGGGUGACGCCCUAGCUUUAGCGCGAUUUUGUUCUGGAUUCAUUUUCAUAAGGAUUCGACGUGAUCAUGGAGUGCCGGCUGUCGACUACCUGACGCCCUCCCCCUCCUCCUUUAUCCGGGCUUGGGACCGGCCAUGUAAGACAUAGGCGGAGUUAUCAACCAAAACUUUAAAAGAAAAUAAUUAGAAAACAUGAUUCAGGAGAGAAAUAACAAGUCCAUCACGUAUUAGAAAAUCAGUUUUGCCCAGUGAUCGAAAUCAUUACAGGAUUAAAAACUAGAAUCCGACUUUGGAAGAACUUCCAUUCUCUUCUAAAACAGCUUCCACCAACGACAAACGUUCUUGCAGAUGUUUAACUGCACAUAGCAAUGGAAAAAGAUAAUAGGUCAGAAGUUAAUAGUUUACACCCAUUUUUCAAACACGGUGGUUGUUUGUUUUGAACCUACACCAGGUUCACCCUGUAUCAGCGGUUUCCCAGUCACACUAGUAUGAACAUUAGAUAUGAGUUUGAUAACACAAAAAACUAGUAGAUUUGUGUAUGCCCCCUUGGGAACUAAUUCUGUGUGGAAUUUUGUUGUAUGGGCUAUGGAGUAAAUACAUGUUGCAUGACGUGACUUGUUCGAGUUCAUUAGAGGGUCGUGGCGAUGCCCAUGGAAAGACAAGCUCAGGUCCUUUCCAUGUUCUUUUGUGAUCUUUGUUUCACAGUUGGAACGGGGGAGGUUUUGAUUCUGUGAUGAUAUUUGGGUUGGGAUUCCUAUUUCAGUGUCAUUUUCUGCCAUCUGUAUAGGAUCUCUUUGCCAUAAUUAAUCACCCCAAAAAAAUUAUUUGCAUUUGAUUCUUUGCAUAAACUUAUCUUAUGAAUAGUUGAGUAUGCUUUAAUGUCAAUACUAAUUUGUCCGUGACUAUGUCUUUGGUUCUCUAUGUUGUGUAUGGACCAGGGAAUUUAAAUUUUAAAGUGCUAUAUAACUUAUGCUAAAAUAUGUUUGGAAUACCCUAGAAAAAUUAGAUAGAGGCUUGAAAGGACUAGAUCCAGUACAUUUGAAAGAGCUCUCAGUACAAGACAACUUUGUUAAGUGUUUUUGUAGUGGUGUUCUAAUAGCAGCUUCGUAGUUUUAGUCUAAUGUUUUUGUUGUACAUUUUUAACAACCGAAUCUAAAAUCCCUCCGUACUUUAAAGUCCCUCCUCCAGACAUCACAUUAGAGAAUUAUAACUAUUCAACAUCCUUGGUGCAUUGGCAGAUUAAUGAUUGUAUCACGGAAUUUUGGCUAAGUUCCUUGAAUUAUUGAACCGUUAAUGCUUUCCAAAUGUUUUACUUUGAUUCAUUGUCUCACAUUUUCCAUGGUACAAGUUUACAUGAUUGCAAGCCGAUAGAAAGAGAUAGAUGUAGGGAGAAGUGGGAAUUGGGGGAGAGAGAGAGUGAGUGAGGGGUGCGGUUGCUUUUUAAAGAUUUCCUUGAAAUUGUUUCUGCAGUUUUUUUUUUUGGGUGGAUUUUCUCGAGUUCUUUCUAUUUGUUUGGAAUUGUUUCAUUUUUACUGAGAUUCUUUUGGUCCCUGUCACUAAACUCUGAUUUCUACUAUUAAUUGCUGCUGAAAUGUGACUUUUGCUAUUAAUUUUGUAAAUUAAUUAAGAUGCUUAAUGUUCCCUUAAUUGUGAUUAAGAUGGUCACAAUCCUACCAUCCUCUGUAUGCUCUGCCAUGUCCGCCGCCAAUGUUUUAUGUUCCGAUUUUUACUUUUUAAUCCUUUCUUACAACAUUUAAAUAAUCAGGUUGAAAUAGUAAUUCUAUUUUUCGACAAACGAUAGGUUAAAUUGUUAGUUGUUAUGAGAGAAGGAGAUCGUUUUAGAGAUCAAACCCGCAUCAAAAUAUAUGAUGAUUUCUGCAAAUGCGAUCAGCAGUUGCAUUUUACAAUAUACAACUUCAGUUAGCAUCAGUUUCUUAAUGAGUGGCAUGUGAAUUCUUAAUUUAAUUUCGGAAAAAAAUGCAUUUAAAUUUGGUGGUAUGUGAUGAACUUAGCAUUCUGUCUUUUAUUAUAUACUGGUGAUGGACAUUUUUAGCAUAUUGGAUUUAUCAUUUUCUAUAAAAUGAAGCUUCAUUCUCGCUAUGUUGUUGAUGUUUUUUUGUGAUUUCAGUUUAUAGUGCUUCUAAAUGCUGUUUUAAUUUAGGAAUUUGAAUAAUUGUUUAAAUGGGAUUGGAGGGUGAUAAAUAUUUCUAGCUAGGGAAAGGUCGCAUCCAUGUGUUGGUCGAAUUGAUGGAUGUAAAAAAUGAAUAUGGCAAGGUGUAAAAAAUGAAUAUGGAUGAACGUUUAGCUACUGCAUGUAGAUUCAGCUUUCCUUUGCAUUUGAGUGAGUUGGAAACCGAGUGGAACAGUUUGAGAGAGGGAGGGACGGAGGGAGAGAGAGAGAGAGGACGAUGUUGGGAUUUUGGUAAAGAUUUGAGCUUUAGUGGUAAGCAUGCUGAUUUGAGCUCACAGAAAAACCCAACAGUAUGUAGAUUGAAUUGAGUUGGGAACUGAGUGGAAAAAUGUUAGAGAGAGGAUUGUGUAUAGUUCUCAAAGCUUCUUACGUUGUUUUCUGAUGCAUCUUUGAGCCACUGGCCUUAGGUGGAGUCUUAUACUGCAAUAUUAUGUGCUAAUCUAAUAAACCCUGCAACUUAUUCGUCUUUGUCAUGAGUAAGUUUUGGUUUUUUUCAUUGGAAUAGGGAUUUAGUGGAUGAUUGUUUUUAACGCAUAUUAGUUAAAAUGAGUUGAGUAUUGGGUGCCAAUCCCAUGUCUGCAAAUCACAGUAGCCUAAGGAAGAAACACUGUCUGCACGAUCUAUAAUACCUAUUCACGCAAGAAUCUUUUCCCAAACUAAAAAGCUUACAUUUCCAAACGUGUAAAGGAUGGGCCACUAUCAUCUUACUUUUUCAAUACCUAAACCAUGCAGUGAUGCAUGGGCUGGAUAUUGCUCCUUUCAAGUUUCAAACCAUUAAAUGCUAAAGAUUUCUGGAUAAAUCAUCGUAGAAGUCGAUUCUACAGAUUCCUUCUUAGUUACACUCAGAUGAUAAUGUAUUUAUUGUCCUUGACAUGUUUUUAAAGUUUGCAUUUUCAAUGUAUAUUUCAUUAACUAAGCUUUAUCAGCGGAAUAUCAUCGCAAAUUUGUUACGGAAAAUGCUAUUGCUAGAUUCUGAUAUAUCUACUUUAGUUUUAAGGAUUACACAUUGUUUUACGAUAUAAAAUAGAUGUUCUGCCUUGAUUUGAUGCGGGGGUAUGCAUUAGCUAACAUUAAUUCUGCUUAGUAUUUCUCAAAUUCAUUUUGGGUUAAAAAGUUGGAGCUUUGGAUCGGGUUUUUUCUUUAUUCAUGUUGGAAGAAUACAUGCAAGUCAUAUCUUGUGUUAAAAUGCAUGCAUGAAAUAAACUUGUUGGAUGACUAGUGAAGUUAGGCUAGUCAACAUUCUUUGUGUAAAAUGCAUGCAUGAAAUAAACAUGUUGGAUGACUAGUGAAGUUAGGCUAGUCAACAUUCUUUGUGUAAGUUAAGCAAGUUAGGCAAGUUAGGCUUAUGUCUACUUUCUUUUCCUAUAUAUAUGUUUCAUUUGUAAUUGUUUCUUCAUGAAAUACACAUAAAAAAUUCUACAUGGUAUCAGAGCAGGUUCAUUUGUAACCUGUCUCUGCCAUUCUUGCUGCUGCAAUUUUUUCUUUCUUUCAAAGUCUAAGUCAUGACUGAAGAAAGUUCUGUGAACCAUGAUGAGGAAACCCGGCACAAUCUCUCUCCAAACUUCUCAGACGUUGAGGUUAACACCAAUCAACGUUUGUGUUCAGUUCUCUUGAACGAGUUCAAUUAUCUUCCUUGGUCCCGAGCUGUUUCACUAGCUCUCGGAGGCAAAGGGAAGUUAGGGUUUGUAAAUGGAAGCGUGGAAGCUCCAGACAGUUCUUCCUCUACAUACAAUGCAUGGCUCUGCAAAGAUCAACUUGUCAUGUCCUUGCUGCUCAAACACCAUGGAGAAACAUGUUGCUGAAAUUUUUAGCUACUCCAAUUCCGCACAUGAUCUUUGGAAAGCUUUGCAGGAUAUGUAUGGAAAUCAAAACAACUAUGCACGGGUCUUCCAAUUAAAGAAGGACAUUGACAGUGCUCAACAAGAAGGGAAAGCAUUUGUUCAACACCUUGGGAGCCUCAAAGCCAUGUGGAAUGAGUUGGAUGUAUAUCUCCCUCAUACCACAGAUCCUACCAUUCUCCUAAAACGAGCUGAGGAAGACAAAAUUUAUCAGCUGUUAGGGAGUUUGAGCUCUGAGUACGAGGACCUAAGGAGUCACAUCUUGAUGAGUCAAGACCUGCCUACCUUCAACAAUGUUUGUGCAACUAUCCAACGAGAAGAAGUAAGGAAGAAGGUUAUGAAUGUUGAUCACAAUCCUAGAUUAACGGAGACUCGGGCAUAUGCAUCAAAGUACAAGAACUCAUAAGCCAAGGUAUACAAGGGAAGAAACACACAUCUAAAAUGCAAAUAUUGCAAUGGUGUUGGUCAUGAGGAAGACAAGUGUUGGGAACUUCAUCCUGAACUCAAGCCUAAGUUCAGCAAAGAUGGAAGGAUGAUACCAAGGUCCUCACAACAAUUUCAAACCUCAUUUCAAGGCACAACUUGCUAAUGCUCACGCUCCUACUAUCUCACAAGGAUCCAUGGAGUUCACUGCCAAUCCAUUGUCAUUAAUCAAUGAAUUUGCAGCUUACCUACAAAGUAAGGGGCACGGAGGAGGCUCAUAUGGUCAAGGCAAUGAAGAGGGUAGUCACACACACAGCUAUGUUGGGACAAUUUGCCGGAUUUCUUGCUGGAAAUGAGAAAGUUCCAAAGGGAGAAGCAUCAGGUAUACUCAAAGCCUUUACUACUGCCCUAUUAACUAGUACUGAAAUUGAUUGUUGGAUAAUUGAUUCAGGCGCCACAGAUCAUAUGACAAACAAAGUUACAAAUUUACAUCAUUUUAAAAAAAUUUCAAGCCCCUCACAUGUGUCUAUUGCAAAUGGAAAAAAUGUCUUAGUUUUGGGAAAAGGAGAAAUAAACUUACUCUCUCAAAAAACACCUUCCACUGCCCUCUAUGUACCAACCUUUCCCUUCCAACUUUUGUCAAUUGGAAAGAUCACCAACACCCCUAAACUGCCGUGCUAUUUUCUCACCAAAUAAAGUAAUGUUUCAGGAUGUUCUCACCAUGAAGAUGAUUGGUGAAGGGGUCUUCAUAAAUGGACUUUACUACCUGUGCAAGAAUGCAUGUUUCACUCAGGCUCUUCAAGCUCAAUCGAAGUCCAUAGAUGAAAACCAACUUUGGCAUAGGAGAUUAGCUCACCCCUCUGAACUUGUCUUGUCGAAACUGUUUCCAAAUUUUUGUAACCCCUAUCCUACUUGUGAUACUUGUCAAUUUUCUAAGUUUACUAGGCUACCUUUUGGUAAUUCAAUGUCUAGGACAAGUAAACCUUUUGAAAUGGUACACACCGAUGUAUGGGGACCUGCAACUGAAUCAAUGGAAGGUUUUAAAUAUUUUGUUCUAUUUGUUGAUGAUUUCUCUCGAACAAGUUUUCUAUAUCUUAUGAAAUCAAAAAGUGAAGUCCCUACCAUUUUCAAAGACUUUCACAUGCAUGUUAAAACGCAAUUUCAAUCAAACAUUAAGGUUUUAAGGUCAGAUAAUGGCACUGAAUUUCUAUCCAACAACAUGCUUCAAUACAUAAGUUCUCAGGGUAUCAUACAUCAAACCAGCUGUGUGGGGACUCCCCAACAAAAUGGAGUAGCCGAGAGGAAAAAUAGAGAUCUCUUGGAAAAAACUCGUGCUCUCAUGAUUCACAUGCACGUUCCAAAGAAAUUUUGGUCGUUUGCCAUCCUUACUGCCACUUAUCUCAUCAAUCGACUUCCAAGUCGUGUGCUAGGGUUUAAAUCUCCUUAUGAAGUUCUCAAGGGGAGGAAAAUAGAUUUGACACAUCUCAAGGUGUUUGGUUGUGUGUGUUUUGUUCACAUCCAAACCUUGAACCGUGACAAAACUAGAUGCCAGGGCAACCAAGUGUGUGUUUAUGGGAUACUCGACCACUCAAAAGGGAUACAAGUGCUUCAAUCCAGUCACUAAGAAGUGCACAGUUUCAAGAGAUGUGAAGUUCGAAGAAGACUAUCCCUAUUUUACAAGUCAGGGGGAGGAUUUAGUUGACAUGUUCCCACUCCCUCAAAACUUUAAUUAUCCGAUGUUGGAAAAGAGAUCAGUCAUUGUAAGUCCAGAUUGUGAAGAAGUUCAAACUGACCAAAUUACUGCCAGUGAAAGUGAAGACGAGCCCUACUCUGAUCCUUCUCCGCCCUCUACAGAGUCUCAGGUGAUUAAAAGAAAUCCUCCUCGAAUCAGAAAACCUCCAGCUAGGUUGCAGGACUAUGUUACAUAUGCCUCACGACAUCCAAUCAAUGAAUGUAUCAGCUUUAGUAAGUUCUCAACAUCUCAUGCUGCAUUUCUCAGUGAAAUUGAUAAGCACUAUGAACCAAGAAGCUUUCAAGAAGCUUCUCUUCUCCCACAAUGGAACCAAGCCAUGAAAGAAGAGAUUCGUGCACUGGAAGAGAAUUGCACCUGGAGCCUAGUUCAACUACCACCAGGAAAAAAGGCUGUUGGAAGUCGUUGGAUUUACAAGACUAAAUUCAAAGCUGAUGGAUCUAUCGAGAGACACAAGGCUAGACUUGUUGCUCGAGGUUUCACCCAAACCUUUGGUGUAGAUUAUAAGGAAACAUUCGCACCGGUGGCCAAGAUGAACUCAGUCAGGGUUUUACUGUCAGUUGCAAUCAAUUGUGGAUGGUCACUCUACCAAAUGGACGUGAAGAAUGUUUCCUUCACGGCGAGCUGCAGGAAGAAGUGUAUAUGCAACCUCCUCCAGGCUAUGAUGGUAUUAAAGGCAACAUGGUUUGUAAAUUGCACAAGGCAAUAUACGGAUUGAAACAAUCACCAAGAGCUUGGUAUGCCAAGCUCAGUUCUGUUCUGGAAAAGGCUGGAUUCAUGCGAAGUAAUGCUGAUUCUUCGUUAUUUGUAAGAACUGGCACCAGGGGGAAGUUGGUGGUCCUCGUCUAUGUUGAUGAUCUUAUCAUCACUGUAGAUAAUACCGUGGAGAUUGAGGCACUAAAACUCUCACUACAUCAAGCUUUCGCUAUCAAAGAUUUGGGGAGGUUAAAGUAUUUUUUGGGGAUCGAAAUGGCAACAUCUUCAAAAGGACUGUUUCUACAUCAACGGAAAUAUGUAUUGGACCUCCUUCAAGAAGCAAAAAUGCUUGACUGCAAGCCUGUUAUCACUCCCGUUGAUUGUAAACUGAAGCUCAGCAUAGAUGGAGAAGCCAUGCAUGAUGUAAGCUACUAUCAACGAUUAGUAGGCAAGCUCAUAUACCUCACUAUCACUCGUCCAGAUAUCACAUAUGCAGUGAGCUUGGCUAGUCAGUUCAUGCACUCUCCCACUGUUGAUCACCUUAACCUUGUUAAGAGAAUCCUUCGUUAUCUUAAGGGUUCAAUUGGGCAAGGAAUUACAAUGCAUAACAAUCAGUCCACUGUCAUUAGUGGCUACACAGAUGCAGACUGGGCAGGUAAUGCAAUUGAUAGGAAAUCAAUCACAGGCUAUUGUACAUUUGUUGGUGGAAACCUUGUCACAUGGAAGAGUAAGAAGCAACAGGUAAUUGCUCGUUCCAGCGCAGAGGCUGAGUAUCGAGCCAUGGCAGCCACUGCGUGUGAACUCAUUUGGCUUAAAGGGCUUCUUUCAGACUUAGGGUUUCCUAGUUCUACUCCUAUGAUGCUUAUGUGUGAUAAUCAGGCAGCCAUGCAUAUUGCUGCCAAUCCUGUGUUCCAUGAAAGAACCAAACAUAUUGAAGUGGAUUGUCAUUUCAUCAGAGCUCAAGUUCAAACGCAAAUCAUCCGGACCAUGUUCACACGAAGCCAUGAUCAACUAGCAGAUCUUUUUACAAAGGCACUAGCAUCAUCUCAGUUUCAUCGGUUAUUGGGCAAGCUUGGCUCAGUGAAUCCCCUCGAUCCAGCUUGAGGGGGAGUGUUGGAAGAAUACAUGCAAGUCAUAUCUUGUGUUAAAAUGCAUGCAUGAAAUAAACAUGUUGGAUGACUAGUGAAGUUAGGCUAGUCAACAUUCUUUGUGUAAAAUGCAUGCAUGAAAUAAACAUGUUGGAUGACUAGUGAAGUUAGGCUAGUCAACAUUCUUUGUGUAAGUUAAGCAAGUUAGGCAAGUUAGGCAAGUUAGGCUUAUGUCUACUUUCUUUUCCUAUAUAUAUGUUUCAUUUGUAAUUGUUUCUUCAUGAAAUACACAUCAAAAAUUCUACAAUUCAGCUAUCAUUUUCUGCUUAGGAGACUCUCUUAAACUGUGUGAAACUGUGCUCAUUAGGCUGGGCAGAGCAAUGACAAGCUAAAAACAAAACAAAAACAAGCAGAAUUAUCACAUGUAGUGCAGGAUAAAUUCUAAACGACCCAAAUCUGGAUGGUAAAAUACUUGGAGUUGGAAUUAAUAGGAUCGAUUGAAACAUGGAUUUUUUUUUUAUUAGAUUGGUAUAUCUGACUUAAUUAAGAAGUUGUUUAAGACACAGUCAUUAGGGAAUUUCUGUAAUUGAACGUAGUUGUUUUCAUGAGGUUAAAUACAAUAAGGUGAUUCUAUGCCAAGAAGUGAUUUUAUAUGGACACAUUGUAUGAUGUAAAAUGGUAAAAGGAGUACCUGUUCCUGUCCAGCCUUAUGUUUUCUGAGUCUUGCUUAUUUUUCAUUAGUCAUAUGAAAGAUGCUGCAAUAUCGUGGGAUCAAAAUAGCUAAGAAACUGGACGUGGACAUCUUUAUUCUAUAGAGCGUAUGUAAAAGUAAUUUAGACUUUAUUAGUUUAUAUUAAUCCUUCACUUCUGUUCAUAUAUUGUAAUUUCUAUAUGGUUUGUCCACAUUUGUCUUAGGAGACUCUGGGGCUGCUUAAAUUUUAUAUAUUCAGUUGCAUAGAGUCGGCAUGACAUGCACAGCGAUUGUCAGAUUGCCACCCUUAGUUGGUGAUAUUUUCUUUACAACACAUUCAAAUUGAGGAUUUAGAAAAUCUAAUAAUAAAACUCAAACAUAUGUUCGAUGCUUUUUGUUUUCAUUUUCGGUUAAAAGGUUUCAGCUUUGGAUUGGGAUUUACCUUUAUUAAUCUAUAAUUUUGUGCUCAGGACACCAUCUUGGGGGUCUUAACAUGAUUGUUCUUCUAUUUCAUAGACUCAAAACGUGUCUAGUGUUUCAUUGAAUUGGUAUACCUUUGCUCAUUUAACUCAAAUUUAAUACGGUUUGGUCCUCCAAUUUCUCUAAAUUGCCAACGGAUUUAUUUUCUUUGGAAAUUUCAGGAACUCUGGUUGUGGUAGGAACAAGCCGGCUCCUUGCUAUUUUUAGGUAUAUGAUUAUGUGCCCUGAUUGCAUGUUCAAAGUCUAAUUAGUUAUAUAAACUUUUAAUUUAUCUUUGCAAAGCUUUUGUACUUGGAUUUUAGUUUAGAUAUGCGAUUUGUUUGUGAAAAAUUAACGAGAAGACUAAUCAUGGGGACAUUCUUAUUUCUGAAAUUUUCUCUUCAGCAUUGUUUCUUGAAUAAAUUUGGAUUGGUAGAUGUAGGGGUAGAGUAACCCCCGUGGUGUAAAUAAAAGGUAUAGGCGUAAUGAUUUCUAGGUUUAGAAUUCAUUGAAAAAUAUGAUAUAAUGCUGCGUUCUCUAAUAUUUUUUUUUUUUUUGGCUGUUUGCUGUUCUAAACUUUUGAACUCCUUUUUGGAUUGAUCUUUGUUAUUUUUGUUUUUGGGGGUAUCUGAUUGGUCAAGGUUGCCCAAUCUUGGUUGUACUUUUUCCCAAGACAGGGCACAUUUGAAACUUUGAAUUCUUGAGUUUAUAUUUUAAUUCUCAUUAGUUAAUGCUUAAUAUUUGGCCUUUUAUUUUGAGAUUAGAAUGAAUACGUUUGGCCUGAAAGACAGUAAACUGAAUUAAAAGCUGGCUUAUUUUCCAUUGGCCAUCAAUUAGGGUGAGAAAACAUUGAAUUGAGAUCAUUAAACAGCACUUAUAUAGGGCACUAUACCAAAUGAGCUCGAAGAGGACUCAGCAAUUGAAGAACAAUUGAUGGCAUACACCUUGGACAUGAUUAAGUUAGUUGAACAUUAUACUAUAACAAGUACAUAUUUCUGGAGUCAGUUUCACACGCAGACACGCACACACACAUCUGACGUAAAGUUAGUCUAUUAGAUGGUUUCCAGAUUGACCCCCCCUUGCCAAAUCUAUUUCAAGGCUGGAAGGAGAGUUAAAACAUAUGUUAUUGUCUUAUAUGUUUGUAUUUGAAUGGUAACGAUGUUGUUCUUCUGGUGGAAAAUUUUUCCUUUGAAUCCAUUUCAGCUUAGGCUCUACUUUUUUUUUUUUCAUUUCAGCUUCAUUUUCAUGUUCAUCAUGUCCUGUUGGUAUGUGUUUUGUGUUGGCAUUGGAGGGUGGUGGGUUGUCGUUUUGUUUUUCUUUUCUCUGAUUGUAAGACCUUCUAACGAUUGAAUUUAUUUUAUGCUGAAACACUCAUUUUGAUCCCCUAGUUUGAGUUUUUCAGUUACGUAUCAAUACUUAACUGCUGGAUUUUUCUUAAGGAAAUUGGAUAUAGGCUAUAUACUAUGUGUAAAAGUCAUGGAGAUCAAGUUUUGUGCUUUCAUUUGUCACAAUGCAGUUUUUUGUUUUCAUAAAUCAAGUUUUGUGCUUUCAUUUUUCUUUUAAAUUUUAAUUUGUCUUUCAAUCAGUUUUUUGUUUGAGAGAACUCUUAAUUUUCAUGGAAAUAUAGUUAUUUGUGAAUAUGGAAACUUGAAUCUGUGUAGACAUCAGAGUUCUUAUGGUUGUGAUAUGAAAUUUAAAUACAAACUUCCCAAUUUGUUUUUGGAAUUUUAACUAAACUUGCGUUGUAGGUAGAUCAUGCUAUUAAGAUAACAAAAAAAUAGGUAGAUUUGUGUAUGCAAUGAGUUGUAGUGAACAUUUGGCAGUAAUAGAAAUGGUUUAGGUGUGCACAGUUUUGGCCUAAAUGGUUAUCACACGAGCGUAAAUGUUUGUUUCAUUUGUGAUUGAACUCGAAUUUGUUGGAAAGCUUUUCAAUUUAUGAAUAUGGAAAGCUUUUCGUCUUUACUUCUAAACUUAUUUUCUGCUUGGUUGUUGAGAAGGUGAUGGAAAUAUAGUUAUCUGUUAAUAUGGAAACUUGAAUCUGUGUAGACUCCUUGGGUUGUCUGUUGUGUUCAGUGGAGGUUUAGUGUUUUAAUUUUGAAUGAUUUGUUUUUCGUUUCAUGGAAAUGACCUAUUAUUUGAUUUAAUUGAGUAAUUUAAUGGAAGUAUAUUCUCUUUUUUUUCUUUUCCAUAUUUCGUUUUGUCUGCAACCAAACAGGGUAAGGAACUGUAAUCUUUUUAAUUACUCUGCUAUCUCCGUGAGUUAUGAAAAUCAGACCUUUUGUUUUAUUUCUGUAUAUGUAGUUCCGAAGGAAUCAAGUGCCAAAAUUAGAAUAAACAUCCUUUAGUCAAGUUACGCACUUUUCCAUAGAAUGUUUGGUUUAGGGAUCCCUUAUACAAGCACAAUAUUCUUAUGUAUUUAAAUCGUAGUUGACCGUCAUGGUUUAAUAAGUGUGAAAACUGUCUUUAAGUCUUAACUAUACCAUUGGAGCGAUACAGUUUUAGUUAUUUUAUUGGAUCCGUUUGUUAGCGCUUUGAAUUCUUACUCUGAAUCUCACUCAUUUUUUGCAGUUUAGAUUGGACUCUCAUCACGGCAUUGUAAUCUGCUCUUGCUGCUGCGAUUAAUCUAACGGUUCUGAGGCGUUGCAUUUGAAUCAAGACUUCGGUAUGCUAGCUGAACUUAAAUGCAUUCUUUUCCCAUUCUUUCCGUUUGAGGCAGCGCAACUUUAUGAUCUUUUAUAUUGAUUGUUUGGUUUGAUCACCUUUUGUUAUUCGUUUGCUUUAUGCUUUGUUUUUCAUUCUUGGUUGUCUCUGUGAUUGUCUCAUUGUCCAGAGGUCGGAUGGUUAGUUUUUUAUUUUUUUUGUUCUAAUUUUGUUUGUGCAAUUCCGUUAUUGUUUGAAGGCCCGUUGCUAUCUCUGUGAUUCUGGUUUAACCCGGUGCUCUUAAUUCUUUAUCGGAUGUUGUUGGUCAUUUUAUCUCUUUUAUUUUGUAUUGGUUGGUUGGUGUUUUCGUUUGGUUUUCUGAUGGUGAACUAUCUCAUCCUCCCCGAAGUGUUUUAACAUGUUUUGUUGAUAAUUGCGCUCUCUAAACGAACUCGACAUUUUUUUAGAAAAAUCACAACUUCCAUAUUUAAGAAAAUGUGUGGCUUUUUAGCAAUGCAUGAAUGCAGCUAAGAUGUUCUGAAAAAUUCAUGGAUAUUUUACAUUCAAACCACAAGUAUCAUUAACUUAUAAAUAAUUAAGUUAUGUAUUUUCUUUAUCGGCUAUCACUUCAAAAUUUGAACUAAAACACUGUCAAAAAGCUUUUUGGUUGUGUUUUCCUUAUUCAUUAUGUAAGUUUCGCAAAUCUUCUACAUGCUGCAUAUUUUUUUGUUUGAACAUCUAUGGUUGACGAGUUACCUGCUCAAACGCCACUUUUUCUGUGUUUUGCUAACUGCUAAGUGAGUUAUGUAGGUUGCAAAGCAUAUAUUUGGCCGUCUUAACUGCAGGGGCAAAAUAUGUGUGAAUUGCAGCUUCCUUCUGUUUCUACAGUUUCAUAUAUGGAAACAGGCCUUCUGUUUUUUUUUUUUUUUUUGCCUUUGAACAAUUAUGGUUCCAAAAUUAGCUACUUGAACAAGUCCUCAACACUUUCUGCUUUAAAUUACCUGUUGAACUAGCUGCCUACACUGCAGGACACAUGUUAUGUGUGAACUAAAUGUUUCUUCUUUUUCUUAAGCAAACGGAAAUUGUUUGGAAACCAUCUCUUUCUAAUCAAACACGUACAGUUUCUUCCCACUCAUUGUGCAUUGUGUUUAUAUGCCAACUCACUUAAAUAUGUAUAACAGCACAAUUGCUUAUCUUAUUGGGCUCAUUCACUCAUGUAUCCCUCUGUUUGUUUGUAAUUGUGUUGAAUUUAUUCAACUUAAAUGUGUUUUAUCCAUCCGAUUACGUCUGAAACAGUGGUUCCCGCAGCAGCGUGCGGGCGUAUUUUCUAGUUUUUAACAAAAUUUUGCAAACUAAAUGACACGAUUGUUGAUGAGUGGAUUAUUAUUUUAGUGUUGAUUAACAUGCUUAUUUUAUUGUGGUGACACAUCAUUUAGUUUGCAAAUUUAGUCUCCUUGUCAUUACCUAUUUGUGUAUGAUGGCGGAGGCAUCAAUAAUUAGUUCUCACCAUUUGAAUUUGUGCAAUUGUGACAACAGAUCAAGCUUCCAAAUCUCCAAGGAACUAGUCUUUGACUGUUGAUCUUCCCUUCGUCGAGUCUGUAUUUGUUGAUCAUAAGCGGAGUCAGAUUUGAACUUCCCUGUAAGUUCUUAUUAUUCACUGAAUAAUACAUUAGUUGUUUCUCAUUUUAUUUGAACUACUUUUUAUUCAUUUGUUUCUUCACUUAAUUUGUGCAGCUCUUCACCUCAAUAUUGCUCAAGAACGCUUCCUUAUUUCUUUGGUUGCUUGGAGUUCUCAGCGCUCCUAAGAUGCCACUUGGAGAGGUUUUUCUUGCGGCGUUUCUACAGUUGCUGCUUGACAGGUUGACCCCUCGCGACAUUCUCAACUACUUUGGAAACUUCCGGGGUGUUGGAAAGAAGCUGGAGAAGUGGAGGGCCACGUUAACUACAAUCGCAGCAGUGCUGAGCGACGCCGAUGAAAGACAACGGACUGACGAUGCUGUAAAACUAUGGCUCAAUAAUCUCAGAGACCUUGCUUAUGAUGUCGAAGACAUGUUGGACAAAUUUGCGACUCAAAUGUUGAAGCGCACGAUAGAGGGACGUGAUCAAGCCAGCACGAGCAACAAGGUGCGAAACUCACUUUUCAAAAUUAAAUUGAAUUGGAAUAUGAACUCCGAAAUGAAGAAGAUUACGGAGCGGUUACAAGACAUAUCUGACCGAAAAGUUAAGUUUAGCUUGAAAGAUACUGGGACGUCUGCUAAGGAAUCGCGAAGUCUACCAUGUUCAGGCGUGUUAGAUGAAAAGCUUCUUGUUGGAAGAGAUGGUGACAAAGGGAAGAUUAUUGAAUUGUUGAAAAAGUCUACCAAUUUUGGUGUGGUUGCUAUAGUUGGCAUGCCCGGAGUUGGGAAGACGACACUUGCUCAACUUGUAUUCAACAACAAAGAUGAUGCCAUGAAGGAGUUUGAGCUCAAGGUCUGGGUAUCUGUGUCCGAUGACUUCGAUGUUGUGCGAGUGACAAAGGCAAUUCUUGAAUCAAUGAAACCCCUACCCGUUCAAGUGGAGGAGUUUAGUAAAAUGCAGCAUGAUUUGAGUGAGCAAUUAAGAGGAAAAAAGUUUUUAAUCGUUUUAGAUGAUGUUUGGAACAAAGGUGACCGUGAUCUAAACGAUCUCUGGUUAAGACUUAAAUCCCCUUUUGGCGUCGGAGCAGGAGGAAGUAAGAUUAUUGUGACAACCCGUGAUUUAAAUGUUGCAAAGAUUAUGGGAGCCACUGGAUUUCAUAAUUUGGAAUGUAUGGCAAAUGAUGAUUGUUUGGAAAUAUUUGAGCGACAUGCAUUCGGGGAAGUUAAUAGUGGAAAACCAGUAAAUUAUGAGUUAAUUCGGACAAAAAUUGUUGAAAAAUGUUGUGGCUUACCAUUAGCUGCGAGGACUCUCGGUGGUCUUUUACGUUGCAAAGAAACAGAUGAGUGGGGAGAAAUAUUGGACAACAAACUAUGGAAUCUCGCAGAUAACUGUAACCUUCCCCGCGUACUAGAGUUGAGCUAUCACUAUCUUCCAUCACAUUUGAAGAGGUGUUUUGCCUAUUGCUCAAUACUUCCAAAUGACUACGAAUUUGGGGAGAAGCAGCUCGUCCUUUUGUGGAUGGCAGAGGGUUUGAUUCAACAAAAACCUGACAACAAUAAACAAAUGGAGGAUUUGGGCCGCGACUACUUUCGAGAGCUAUUAGCAAGGUCGCUGUUUCAAGAAUCAAGCAAAAACAAUUCACGAUAUGUAAUGCAUGACCUCGUUUCUGAGUUAACACGAUGGGCUGCAGGAGAAAUAUGUUUUAGGUUGGAAGAUAAGCAAGGUGAUAACUUGCAAAGCACUUGCUUUCGAGGGGCUCGCCAUUCGUCUUUCAUUGCUGGUGAAUUUGAUGGAGUUAAGAGAUUUGAGGACUUUCCAAAAGCUGAACGUUUGCGAACAUUCCUGCCACUUUCGCUUUCAUAUUCCACGGGAUGGUUAAAAUUUUUGUCUCGUCAGGUUACUUUUAAGCUAUUACCACAGUUGCAAUACUUACGAGUGCUCUCGUUCAAUGACUACAAAAUAACUGCGCUGCCAGAGUCAAUCGGUGAUUUGAGGUUGUUACAGUAUCUUGACCUUUCCUACACAUAUAUAACUAGUUUGCCUAAAUCGAUAAGUACUCUUUACAACUUGCAGACAUUGAUAUUGGAACACUGUUACUAUUUGAAGUCAUUGCUUGCGGACAUGAGUAAUUUAAUUAAUUUGCGCCAUCUCAACAACUCAUAUGUAUCUUCGUUGGAAGGAAUGCCUCCAAAUCUAGGUAGCUUGGUGAAUCUCCAAUCUUUGCCUAAUUUUGUGGUCAGUGGUGGAAGUGAUCAAUCAGGAAUAAGAGAGAUAGGGCCCCUAUCGCAUCUCCGAGGGACAUUGUGCAUCUCAGGAUUGGAGAAUGUGACUGAUGUCGAGGAUGCCAGGAGGGCCAACUUGAAAUGCAAGGAGAGGCUUGAUUCGUUGGUCCUAAAAUGGUCUCAUUCAAGCGACACGAGAGAAACGGAAUCCGUUGUGCUUGACAUGUUAGAGCCUCAUACAAAGCUCAAGGAGCUCACCAUCAAGAGUUAUGCCGGAGAGGAAUUUUCAUCAUGGGUUGGAGGUCCUUUGUUCUCUAAUAUGGUGCUUGUGUGCUUACAGAAAUGUAACAAUUGUUUAUCGUUGCCUCCUCUCGGACAAUUGCCUCAUCUCAGGGAACUUUAUAUUAGUGGAAUGAAUGCAGUGGAAAGUGUUGGUGCUGAGUUUUAUGGAGAGCGUAUGUUGCCUUUUCCGGUAUUAGAGACUCUUGAGUUUGUGGAAAUGCAGCAUUGGAAGGAAUGGCUUCCUUUCCAAGCCGAUCACGAAGGUGGUGCUUUCCCUUGCUUGAAAACACUCUUAGUAAAAAAAUGUUCUAAACUGGAGGGUAAACUGCCAGAGAACCUCAAUUCUUUAGCUAAGCUUAAAAUUGUUGAAUGUGAAGAAUUAGUGGUUUCAAUUGCCAACUGCAAACAACUUCGUCAAUUAAACAUUGACGGUUGUAAAGUGUUGGUGCAUACAGCUGCUAAGGUUGAGUUUGAGUUGUUAGAGUC
rnacentral:lncRNA from 1 species